rnacentral:lncRNA from 1 species
GCCACCAAAGAGGUUGUACAUUAAUCGCUGCAUUUUCUUCUUGAUUCGAUCUCACGGUGCUGCCGGCGCUUGGUCCCGAGCUGACACGGUGCGACUCCAUCCACGGCGGCGUCGCCGGCCACUUCCUCCAUGGCGUCGCUCCCUCGGCGGCGACGUCCACAUCAGUAGGAGCUGCUGCUGCUUUAGCUCUCGCUCGCACUGCUUCUCUGAUCUUGCUCUCGGUCCCCUACCUGGUCUGCUCUUGCUCUUGCUCUUGCUUGCGAUGCUGCUCCGAUUUAGCUACACUUCAGUCGACUAAAUCGACUUUUGGGUCAGUCGAUUUUCAGGGGGGGCUCGCCGGAGUUAAGGAAGAACCAACCGCAGUGGGGAGGGGGCUCGCCGGAGAGGUACCCCACUAUCUAUCUUAGGGUUCAGGGUGGGGGCGGUGGUCGCCGACGAUGGUGUUGCGGUGGUGUGGGGAUCGCCGGAGAAAAAGCUCGGCACGGGGGGGCCUACAGGGAUGGCUGGGGCGGCGGCGGACCGGUGGUGGGGAGUAUUUUCGGGGCGGGCGGGGCAGCGCACCGCCAGCCGCGGGCGGCAGGGGGCGGCUGUUUGGCCGGUGGUGGCUGGCGGCUCAGGGGGGUGGAGGUUGAAGAUGAAAUGCAGGCCCUUGAUUUCGUAUCCAACGUCUGCAAAAUCGACUGACCAGAGAUGAAAAAGUCAGUCGACUGACUUGUAGCCUCACCUCUAGUGCGUUCAGUUUCGAUAGUAAAAUUCAGUUUUGACAUCUUCAGUUUCAACAGUUAAGUUUAGUUUCAACAGUUAAAUUCAGUUUCGACGGUUAAGUUCAGAGAUGAGCGGCUGAUGUAUACAUCUAGCACUUUGUGGUUAUGUAUUUUACGUCAUCUAUUGGAGAUGCUACUAGAAUUCCACUUAGGUUAACGUUGUCUCUCUUGUCCUGCUUUAGCCUCGGUGUCGUACAACUCACCAGAGCUGCUCCAACGACGAAACCCUCCAUCACAGCGGAGCAGUACCUCGGGCUCCAUCUCGAGACGCCUAAGAUCUUCUUCCCCUCCUCCGACAGCCAAGUCAGCUGGAGCAUCCUCACCGGCCAACCCAAUCAUGCUGAGAUCGACAUGGCUUCGCCAAAGAGGAUGUACACUUCUUGUGGUUUGACUUAAGCUCACCAUGCUUCUUUGCAUCCUGUGAUCUUCCAAUUCUUGUGAACCAAACACCCAGAUUGGCAGAAAUCCUAUGUUUUUAAAUUCUCUAUUUUGCACGUGCAUUCCUAUCCUAUUCAUGUCUAUUUCCUAUCCCUGCAUUGUUAGAAUCCUCAAAUUCAAACAAGCCCUUACACAAUUACUUCUGUUACAGAUAUGUGUCAAAGAAAACCUUGUGUGGUUUGUCCUGCUCCUGCGGUGCUGUGUUCCACCCCAGCUCAGCUGCUCCAACGAUAGAAGGGUUCACCACAGCAGGGAUCCGCUCUCCAGACUGUCUUUCGCCGCCUCAGAUCUUCUUCCCCGCCGCCGGCAGCCACGACAACUGCAUUACCAUCAUCAACUGAGCAGAUGACCUUGAGGACUACACGGGUCCGCAAGAGAGGUCGCACUCUUCCGUGUCUGCUUACGUUAUGCAUUGCUUAGGCCCUGUUUAGUUCGGCUGUGGAUUUCUAAAAGCAGCUGUGGAAAAGCAGCUGUGGAAAAUAUGAUCUGAAAAAGAUGUAGGUCAUUUGGCAAACCAGCUGAUACAGCUUUUUCAGAUUUUGGCCCACAGCGGAAUCAGAUUUUGGAAAGCACGUCAUGGGCUGCUUCCGCUUUUGGUUUAGAUUUUGGCAGCGGAUUUCUAGAAUCGGAUUCUGCUGGGUUCGCCCUUUGGUUCAGAUUCUGCUGCGCGGCAGCGGAAUCCAUUGAUAAAAGCUGAACCAAACAGGGCCUGAAUAUGAUGACAUGCUACUUUAUUGUCGUGUUCACCUAUUAGACUCCGACUCAGGUCCAAACUUAUGCUAAAACUUGAGUUUUUAAAUGGUUGUGGGUACAUAUUGGGGAAGCAAUCAGUACUAUAUGUCUACUAUUUGGUUAAUCUCGGGUGUCUACUAUGAGUUUCAUGUUGGGUGCAAACAAACAUUAAAGGAGCCAUUAUCUGUAUUUUUUAACUAAAGCUAUUAUCUGCCUGCUAUCAUUGUUUUGGGUCUAUCCACAGUUUGCUACCAUCACUCUGGAUUUGUGCAUGCACUCCUUACAUAAUCUCACUAUGUUUUAUUCCUAUGCAUGUUAGUUAUUGUACACAAUGCAACUGAACAUGUAGAUCAAAAGAGAUGAGCCUUGCGUGGUAAUAAAAUUUCAUGCAGACGUCGCUCCAUGGUGGGCGCAAAGGCAGCCCCCCUCCACCCAUUUCGGAUCGUAAUCAAGAGGAAGAUAACUGUUCUGAGGGGGGUUCAGAAGUAGAAGACCACUCCUAUUUACCCCAUGAGGUCUUCGCUCUAACUUGGCAUGUUGAUGUUGGUAAUAUCAUGCAUAUGGUGCCUUUCAUUGCUUACUGUAUACAUUAAAGAUGUCAUCUGCUUAGUUUAGACAUGCUUUGUGUCAAUGCCAUCUGUUUAGUUUCUUUAUCAUAUAUGUGAAUCAUGCAAUGCCAUCUUGUUUAGCCAGGCAUCAUAUAUGUGAAUUUUGCAAUGCCACCUUGGUUAGCCAGUCAUCUUAUAUGUGAAUUAUAUAAUGACAUCAUUUUUUAUUAUGUGUUAAAUUUGUCAACAAUUUUAGUACAUUCAAUUACUCUUCAUGUGCAUCAGCCAUUCGGCACGGUCAUGGAAAAAUCUGAAGUGGAAACAAGGUCUUCAGAGCAGACAAUGCUAUCUGACGAAGCGCAUGUCUUGCUGGUNNNNNNNNNNNNNNNNNNNNNNNNNNNNNNNNNNNNNNNNNNNNNNNNNNNNNNNNNNNNNNNNNNNNNNNNNNNNNNNNNNNNNNNNNNNNNNNNNNNNNNNNNNNNNNNNNNNNNNNNNNNNNNNNNNNNNNNNNNNNNNNNNNNNNNNNNNNNNNNNNNNNNNNNNNNNNNNNNNNNNNNNNNNNNNNNNNNNNNNNNNNNNNNNNNNNNNNNNNNNNNNNNNNNNNNNNNNNNAUGCAUAUGGUAUCUUGCAUUGCUAUGUCAUUUGCUUAGUUUAGACAUGUUUUGUGUGAAUGCCACCUGUUUAGUGUCUAACUACCAUAUAUGUGAAUUAUGCAAUGCCAUCUUCUUGGAAGACAUUAUAUAUGUGAAUUAUGCAAUGCUAUCUUGUUGCAAGGCAUUAUAUAUGUGAAUUAUGCAAUGUCAUGUUGUUUAGCCAAGCGUCAUAUAUGUGAAUUAUAUCAUGUCGUCCUUUUUUGUAUUUCUCAUUGCUUUUGUUGACAAUGUUUGUAUAUUCAAAUGCUCUUCCUGUGCAUCAGCCAUUUGAAUUGGUGAUGGAGAAAUCUGGAGUGAAAACAGGGUCUUCAGAGCAGACAAUGCUACCUGGUGAAGCAGAUAUCUUGCUGGUUACAGAUAGCUCUUCAGAGGAGGAUUCAGAGGCAGAUGACCAGUCCUAUUAUCCCCCUGAGGUGUAUGCUCAAACUUGGCAGGGUUAUAUUACUCAUAUCAUGCAUAUGUUGUAUUGCAAUGCUUAGUUUUUACAUCAUAUACACGAUAUUGAAUGCCAUCUCCUUAGUUGACACAUCAUAUAUGUGAUUGCCCUCUGCUCACUUCCUUAGUAUAUAAAUCAUAUAUUUGAAUUAUAUCAUGCCAUGAUGUUUACAUAGACAGCAUGUAUCUGAAUUAUGGCAUGCCAACCCAUUUUCUAAAAACAUAAUAUAGUUAUAUCAUCUCAUCCUGUUCACAUAGUCAUCAUAUUUUGAAUUAUUUCAUUCUAUUCGUGAAUUAUAUCAUGCCAUCAUGUUUCCAUCGACGGCAUGUUUGUGAUUUAUGGCAUGCCAACCACUUUAAUAGACACAUCGUAUAGUUAUAUCAUGUCAUCCUGUUUACAUAGUCAUCAUAUUUUGAAGUAUGUCAUUCUAUCCUGUUUAGUUAGCCAUCAUACAUGUGAAAUUGUGUCAUGCUAUCAUGUUUAAUUAGCCAUCAUGUAUGUGAACUUAUGUCCUGCUAUUCUGUUUGGUUAGACAACAUAAAUGUGAAUUAUUUCAUGCCAUGUUUUCUUCCCUACUAUCCAUUGCACCUGUCUAUCUUACAAUGUUUGUACAUUCAAUUACUUUUCUUGUUUAUCAGCCAUUUCAAUUGGAGGGGGUGAUGGCAAUAUCUGUGGGAGUAAAAACACGGUCUUCAGAAAAGAUUGUGCUACCUGUCGAUGGAGAUAGAACCAUGGUUGUACUUGCCCAAGAACCAGCCCCACCACACAUAACCCAGACUCACGCAGAUUGUACCCCUACCCAGUUGGACAGAGAACCAACUACGCCCCUUCUAACCCCAACCCCAGCAGAUAGUAACCCAGUUCCCGUUGACACAGCACCGUCUCCACCACAGAGCACCCAAACACGAGCAGUUAGUAAGGCAACUGCAGUGCCCAAAGCACAAGGACCACCACCUCGAACCCCAAGUCAACGCUUAAAGCAGAAGAAGAAUUGUUCUCAGGUCAGGUUCCGUAGCUAUGGUUCAUACUACUUUGCUCUUGCAUCACUGUAUUUACUCAUGCCAACUAAUUUCAAAUUUGAAGGAUGCAAUUGAAACUCCAAUGGUGCAACAGGUAUGUUUUAAACCUGUUUCUUUAACGUGUUUGCUGUUGUAACUUGCUCCAUGUUGAUUUCAGUUUCAAUUGAAUAAACAGUUAUAUUCUCAUGUCAUGCACCUUACAAGUGUUGUUAUUGUUGUGUAGUUUCCCACACUUAUAUUCUGUCUAAGCUGCUUUGUCUUAAAUAGAUAUGAUUUGAACUGUAUCUAUCUUGAUUUGGCAACAUAAAGUAGAAUGAUAUAGACCAUACAGUGACCAUACUACAUAGAUAUAUGUUUGUUUCAUGCUGUUAUCCUGUCCACCUUACUACUGAACUGGUUUACCAAAAUGAGUUUCAUAUACUACAUUGUAAACCUGUGAUGUGUUUGUUUGUUUCUCUUUUAGAAUGCGGAUAAAAUAUUGGAGAAGAGUACCCCGUUAUGCAAAUGGUACAGGAAGUAAUGCAGAUAAAGUUCAAGAUAGUGAGACAUCCCUGUUGGUCUCCAAGAAGCUGAUAAAAACUAUAUUGAAGACACUGAGACAACCCCAAAGUCCUGUCUUGAUGUAGUGUUCGAGUUACUGGCUACUACUGCUGGCACCAGCUCUUCGAACUCGCUGCCUGAAUCAGUUCAGCUUCUUGAGUCUCAACUUCAAGUUGAAAGACAUCGAUCAGAUGUUAUGCGACAGGAAGCCAAAGGACUGGGGAAGUCCCUGCAGAAUUCAGAUGCAUACUUUCCGGUGCAACAGCAAGUGUUGGAGGAUCUAAGGGCCAAACAAGAGAAAGUUAAUAAGCUUUCUAAGCAUCUUGCCAGCAUUAUGGGUACCCAGGAUAUUGUUUCUUGAGAUCUUCUGAAGUGGUUUCAGUUUUGGACUUGUUUUGUUGCGGUGUUUAUAUGCUGCUUUGCUCCUUAUAUUUGCACUGGUGGCAAACUUUGAUGCCCAGUGGAUGUAAUAUGUGUAAUAGCCGUGAUAGCCUAGCGUAAGUUGCUUGCCUAUUUAUUUCCUUAUUGUCUUGUUUAUUUGUUUUCUUGUAGUCAGUGCAGUUCUUUUUCCGCGGUUUGCUAGUGGCUGCAAUAGCCUAUUUUUUUAAACUAGGCCACAUUAACCAUGGGCUACAUAUUUACUGUAGUUAACAUGGGCCUCCUAUGGGCCGUAGAAACAAUGGGCCCUUCUAAGGGCCGUAGAAACAAUGGGCCUUCUAAGGGCCGUAGACACAAUGGGCCUUCUACGGGGCAUAGAAACAAUGGGCCUUAUACGGGCCGUAGACACAAUGGGCCUUCUACGGGUCGUAUCAUCAAUGGGCCUUCUACGGGCCGUAUGAUUGGUUGGCCAAACAUGGGCCAAUAACAGACCACAUUAUGGCCGUAAAUGGGCUAGAGUUGAAAUCGUUCGUUCAUGGGCCGACCAUAACGGGCCGUCGUUAAUCGGCCGUAUUUGAUAACGCUAUGAAAACGGCCCAACGUAUUAACGGGCCACAAAUGGGCCGACUGUAACCAUAGGCUGAAUUUGGCCCACAAGCAGAAAAUGACAGUAAUGGGCCGAAAGUAAACGAAUGCUGGAAAUGAGCCCAAGAAUAAAUGGGCCCUAAGAAGGCCGAAAGAUAACAUGGGCUGGAAACGGCCCAACGGAAUAAUGGGUCGUUAAUGGGUAUAAAGUGAUACAUUGUUCAUUACGGGCCAGUUUUACCACGGGCCGUUAAUGGGCCGAGGGUUACUAAGGGCCUUAUAUGGGCCGAACGACGUCAUGGGCCAUACAUGGGCCAGAAGUUACAACGGGCUGGAAUUAUAUUGGACGGCCCAGAUGACGCUACCGGGCCUAAUUCAGAUAGGCCGUAAACGGGCCCUGGGUUAGCGGGCUGUAAAUGGGCUAUAUGCGAACAUGUCGUUAACAGGCUUGCCAUGGGCCGGCCCGCCACCUUUUGACCAAGUAAAACGGGCUAUCCUUUUCACAGGAAUGGGCCUCUGUUGGGCUGUGCCAGGUGUCGACGUAUCAUGGGCGCUUUGGGUCCAAUGAGUGGAUGACAUCUGUCUCAACAGCGAGCCGACACGUGUUCCCUCCAGCCAAUGAUGAUUUUACACGUGGAAAAUCCCCAUUGGUCGGGGCUAUUAAUGGGUUAUCAGAUCCAAAACCGGACCUGAUAGCUUAACGGUGUUCCGUUAAGGUGGAUUCCACGUGUCGGUCACCCUUGAUGAAAGCACUUCUGUGAUGCGCGAUUUAUCGUCAUGGAAGUGGACACUUCCAUGAUGAUAAUUUUGGUAAUGUCAUGGAACACUUCUACGACAGCACAGGUAUGACUAUCUUGAUUCUGUCAUAAAUUUGUCAUGGAUGUACAUGCAUGACAGAAAACGUGACCUACUGUGACAAACACGUACCAUCACGGAAGUGUAUUUUUUUGUAGUGCACAGACAUGACGAGGAGUCUCGAAAUGGUCGAGACAUAAAGAUUGAUAUAUUGGAUGACUAUAUUCGGACACCGGAUGAGUUCCGGGGGUCACCAGAUAAUUAUCAGAGUGCCGGGGGUUAUCGGAACCCCCGGGGGAACUAAUGGGCCACAUGGGUCUUAGUGGAGAGAGAGAGGCCCGGCCAAGGCAGGGCCGCGCGCCCCUCCCCUCUGGUCCGAAUUGGACUAUGGAAGGGGGGCGGCGCCCUCCUUUCCUUCUCUUCUCUCCCUCUCCUUCCUUCCCCCUUCCUCCUCCUAGUAGGACUAGGAAAGGGGAGUCCUACUCCUACUAGGAGGAGGACUCCUCCCCUCUUGGCGCACCCCAAGGGUCGGCCAGCCUCCCCCCCCCCCUUGCUCCUUUAUAUACGGGGGCAGGGGGCACCCUAGAACACACAAGUUGAUCAUUGAUCUCUUAGUCGUGUGCGGUGCCCCCCUCCACCAUAAUCCACCUCGGUCAUAUCGUCGUAGUGCUUAGGCGAAGCCCUGCGCUGGUAGCUUCAUCAUCACCGUCAUCACGCUGUCGUGCUAACGGAGCUCUCCCUCGACACUCAGCUGGAUCGAGAGUUCGUGGGAUGUCACCGAGCCGAACGUGUGCAGACCACGGAGGUGCCGUACUUUCGGUACUAGGAUCGGUCAGAUCGUGAAGACGUACAACUACAUCAACCGCGUUGUCAUAAUGCUUCCGCUUACGGUCUACGAGGGUACAUAGACAACACUCUUCCCUCUCGUUGCUAUGCAUCACCAUGAUAGAUCUUGCGUGUGUGUAGGAAUUUUUUUGAAAUUACUGCGUUCCCCAACACUAUGUCCAUGGCUCGCUCUCAUAUAUUGUGUGAAAAUUGAAAAAGUUUGAAAAGGCUAAGUAUGAAACAAUUGCUUGGCUUGUCAUCAGGGUUGUGCAUGAUGGGAGCAUUUUGUGUGACGAAAUUGAAGCAUUGGCCAAACUAUAUGAUUGUAGGAAUAAGCUUUUUUGGGCUAUGUUAUUUUGAUAAGACAUAAUUGCUUGGUUAGCAUGCUUGAAGUAUUAUUAUUUUUAUGUCAAUAUUAAACUUUUUUUCUUGAAUCUUUCGGAUCUGAAUAUUCAUGCCACAACAUUGAAAAUUAUGUUAGGUAGCAUUCCACAUCAAAAAUUCUGUUUUUAUCAUUUACCUACUCGAGGACGAGCAGAAAUUAAGCUUGGGGAUGCUUGAUACGUCUCCAACGUAUCUAUAAUUUUUUAUUGUUCCAUGCUAUUAUAUUAUCUGUUUUGGAUGUUUAAUGGGCUUUAUUAUGCACUUUUAUAUUAUUUUUGGGACUAACCUAUUAACCGAAGGCCCGGUGCAAAUUGUUGUUUUUUGCCUAUUUUAGUGUUUCGCAAAAAAGGAAUAUCAAACGGAAUCCAAACGAAAUGAAACCUUCGUGAGGAUAUUUUUUAGAACAAACCUAAUCCAAGAGACUUGGAGUGGAGGUUAAGGGAGCAACAAGGCAGACACGAGGUAGGGCGGCGUGCCCCCACCCUCGUGGGCCCCUCGUAGCUCCACCGACCUACUGCUUUCGCCUAUAUAUACUCUUAUACCCUGAAAACAUCCAGGGGAGCCACGAAACCACUUUUCCACCGCCGCAACCUUCUGUACCCGUGAGAUCCCAUCUGGGGACCUUUUCCAGCGAUCUUCCGGAGGGGGAUUCGAUCACGGAGGGCUUCUACAUCAACAUCAUAGCCUCUUUGAUGAUGUGUCAGUAGUUUACUAGAGACCUUCGGGUCCAUCAUUAUUAGCUAGAUGGCUUCUUCUCUCCCUUUGAUCUUCAAUACAAAGUUCUCCUCGAUGUUCUUGGAGAUAUAUUCGAUGUAAUACUUUUUGCGGUGUGUUUGCCGAGAUCCGAUGAAUUGUGGGUUUAUGAUCAAGAUUAUCUAUGAACAAUAUUUGAUUCUUCUUUGAAUUCUUAUAUGCACGAUUUGAUAUCUUUGCAAGUCUCUUCGAAUUAUCAGUUUGGUUUGGCCUACUAGAUUGAUCUUUCUUGCAAUGGGAGAAGUGCUUAGCUUUGGGUUCAAUCUUGCGGUGCUCGAUCCCAGUGACAGAAAGGGAACCGACACGUAUUGUAUUAUUGCUAUCGAGGAUUAAAAGAUGGGGUUUAUAUCAUAUUGCUUGAGUUUAUCCCUCUACAUCAUGUCAUAUUGCCUAAUGCGUUACUCUGUUCUUAUGAACUUAAUACUCUAGAUGCAUGCUGGAUAGCAGUCGAUGUGUGGAGUAAUAGUAGUAGAUGCAGAAUCGUUUCGGUCUACUUAACACGGACGUGAUGCCUAUGUUUAUGGUCAUGCCUAGAUAUUCUCAUAACUAUGCGCUUUUCUAUCAAUUGCUCGGCAGUAAUUUGUUCACCCAGCGUAAGAUAUGAUAUCUUGAGAGAAGCCACUAAUGAAACCUAUGGCCCCCGGGUCUACUUUACAUCAUAUUAUUUUCCCGUCAACUAGCUGUUUUUGUCACCGUUUAUUUUGCAAUCUUUAUUUUCAAAUCUAUACAACAAAAAUACCAAAAAUAUUUAUCUUAUUAUCUUUAUCAGAUCUCACUUUUUCAAGUGGUCGUGAAGGGAUUGACAACCCCUUUAUCGCGUUGGUUGCGAGGUUCUUAUUUGUUUGUGCAGGUACUAGGUGACUUGCGUGUAGUCUCCUACUAGAUUGAUACCUUGGUUCUCAAAAACUGAGAGAAAUACUUACGCUACUUUGCUGCAUCACCCUUUCCUCUUCAUGAGAAAACCAACGCAUGCUCAAGAGGUAGCAACGAUAAAUUUUAAAAUGAGGACAUCCAAAACCGGAGCCAAGCAGGCCAUGACCCACGGUUCUAGAAUCCACUUUCUUGUUUCGCUCACGCUAUCAUGCUCUAACGAACUCCAUGUUGGAGGAAAUGAAAAUCAUGCGCGCAAAUACUAUUCUCCACUUGGCAUGUCAUUUGUGUGCUCAAAUAAGUUAGGGUUGCUGCAUCACCCAGCUAUCCUGCCUAGUAAGAGCAUAUUCUCCUCAAAUCCAAAACAGCCCUCCCGCUAGAUGUCCUCAAUUUUAAAAAGGACAUCUGCAUCGCUGUCAUCGGGGAGCAAAUGCUCCACGAGCCAAAACGGCCCUCACGCUGUCAUGCUAUAACGACCUCCACGUUGGAGAAAAUGAAAAUCACACGCUCAAAUGAUAUUCUCCACUAGCCAUGUGAUUUGUGCGAGCAAAUAAGUUAAGGUUGCUACAUCGCCUAGCUCUCUUGUGCAAUAAGAGUAAGCGUCUUUCAGUUUGGCCCAACUUGGUUUAUCUUCCUUCAGUUCUCAUGCUACAAUGAUCAUCUUGCCUCAGUGGCAGCCCGACUUCCCCUGUUGUGGUGUGAAGAUGAAUAUGUUGGUUUCCAGACUUCUUCCAUCUAUGACAUGAAGAUGCACAUGUUGUCAUUACGAAGUCGAUAUACAUCGUACUCACUAAAACAGAUCAUAACGUCCAAACAUUUUACAAUCAUUGAUUGUGUAACAACAACUUAGUGCAAGCUACUUCCUUCGUCCCAUAAUAUAAGAGUCUUAGUGUCAAAAAUGCUCUUAUAUUAUGGGACAGAGGGAGUACUUAAUAUUUUCCUGCAGUAUCGGAACUUGAAUCUAUUAUUGUGCGCCAGGAAUUCCAACCAUUGUUCGUAGAACUAGAUUGGAGCUGAGAACCAUGGCGAUGUGAAUGUCGUCCGGGUGAACUGAUGCACGAUACGUCUCCAACGUAUCUAUAUUUUUUGAUUGUUCCAUGCUGUUUUAUAAUCAAUCUUGGAUGUUUUAUAGUCAUUUUAUAUCAAUUUUUUGUACUAAGCUAUUGACAUAGUGCCAAGUGCAAGUUGCUAUUUUUCCCAUGUUUUUUACAUCGCAGAAAAUCAAUAUCAAACGGAGUCCAAAUGCCACGAAACUUUACAGAGAUAUUUUAUGGACCAGAUGGAAGAUAUUGGGCCCUAGUUGCACCUGGGGGGAGUACCGAGGAGGGGACAACCCACCAGGGCGCGCCAGGAGGCCCAGGCGCGCCCUGGUGGGUUGUGCCCACCUCGGGUGCCCCCCAGACCGCCUCUUUGCUCUAUAAAUACCCCAAAAUCCCAGAACCCUGGGGGAGUCGACGAAAUAUUCAUCCAGCCGCCGCAGAGUCUAGAACCACCAGAUCCAAUCUAGACACCAUCACGAAGGGGUUCACCACUUCCAUUGGUGCCUCUCCGAUGAUGUGUGAGUAGUUCUUUGUAGACCUUCGGGUCCGUAGUUAGUAGCUAGAUGGCUUCAUCUCUCUCUCUCUUGAUUCUCAAUACAAUGGUCUCUUGGAGAUCCAUAUGAUGUAACUCUUUUGCGAUGUGUUUCUUGGGAUCGAUGAACUUUGAGUUUAUGAUCAGAUCUAUCUUUUUAUAUCCAUGAAAGUAUUUGAGUUUCUUUGAUCUCUUUUAUGCAUGAUCUCUUAUAGCCUCGUAUUUCUUCUCCGAUAUUUGGGUUUUGUCUGGCCAACUUGAUCUAUUUAUCUUGCAAUGGGAAGAGGUGCCCGGUAGUGGGUUCGAUCUUACGGUGCUUGAUCCCAGUGACAGAAAGGGAACCAACACGUAUGUAUCGUUGCUACUAAGGAUAAAAAACACGAGAUCUAUAUCUACCACCAUAUAGAUAAACGGAUCUUGUCUACAUCAUGUCAUCGUUCUUAUUGCAUUACUCUAUUUUUCCAUGAACUUAAUACACUAGAUGCAUGCUGGAUAGCGGUCGAUAUGUGGAGUAAUAGUAGUAGAUGCAGGCAGGAGUCGGUCUACUAAUCUUGGACGUGAUGCCUAUGUAAUGAUCAUUGCCUGGAUAUCGUCAUAAUUAUUUGAGGUUCUAUCAAUUUCCCAACAGUAAUUUGUUUACCUACCGUUUGCUAGUUUUCUCGAGAGAAGCCACUAGUGAAACCUACGGCCCCCGGGUCUUCUUUCUCAUAUAUUUGCCUGUGCAAUCUACCUUUUUAUUUGCUUUUAUUUUUAGAUCUAUUAAACCAAAAAUACAAAAAUAUCUUGCUGUAAUUUAUUUUAUUUGGCAUUCGAUCUAUCAAUAUUUACAACUUUAUCUCCCGUCAUACGCCGUUUCUGGUGCCGUUACCCAAAAGGGAUUGACAACCCCUUUAACACGUCGGGUUGCGAGUGGUUGUUAUUUGUGUGCAGGGGUUGUUUACAUUGUGUUGUUUGGUUCUCCUACUGGUUUGAUAACCUUGGUUUCAUAUAUGAGGGAAAUACCUACCUCCGCUGUGCUGCAUCAUCCCUUCCUCUUUGGGGAAAAACCGACGUAGCUUCAAGCGACAUCAAUGCACCAGUGUCGUCCACCUGGGUUUCUUUUCUAAUGAUCAUGAUCAAUGCUAAGGCACCAUACACCAAGGUCUCGUAGAUCACGGCAUGUUAGAUCUUCAUAGGCAUGUCCCUUAGUUGGUAACCCGGUCACUAAUCAUGGCGCACCUCUAAUCACCCUUCUAUCAGCCAUAGAAAGUAGUCAUUCGACUAAGUAAAGCUAACUUUGUAUAGAACAAAGUCAUUCUAUACACACGAUAAAUUUUUAAAUGAGGACAUCCAAAACCGGAGCCGAGGAGGUCGUGAACCACGGUUCUGGAAUCCACUUUCUUGUUUCAUUCACGCUAUCAUGCUCUAACGAACUCCACAUUGGAGAAAAUGAAAAUCAUGCGCACAAAUACUAUUCUCCACUUGACAUGUCAUUUGUGUCAUCAGAUAAGUUAGGGUUGCUGCAUUGCCCAGCUCUUCUGCCCAGUAAGAGUAGAUGCUCCUCAAAUCCUAAGCAGCCCUCCCGCUAGAUGUCCUCAAUUUUAAAAUGAACAUCUGCAACGCUGUCAUCCGGGAGCAUAUGCUCUCAGAGCCAAAACGGCCCUCACGCUGUCAUGCUCUAACGACCUCCACGUUGGAGAAAAUGGAAGUCAUGCUCGCAAAUGCUAUUCUCCACUAGUCAUGUUAUUUGUGUGAUUAAAUAAGUUAAGGUUGCCGCAUCACCCAGCUCUACUGUCCAAUAAGAGCAAGCGUAUUUCAGUUUAACCCAACUCUGUUUAUCUUCCUUCAGUUCUACUGCUACAAUGUUCGUCUUGGCUCGGUAGCAGCGAGACUUCCUCUAGUUGUGGUAUGAAGAUGAAUAUGUUUGUUUCCGGACUUCUUCUAGCUAUGAUAUGAAGAUGCACAUGUUGUCGUUACGAAGUCGAUAGACAUCGUACUCACUAAAACAGAUCAUAACGUUGAAACUUUUUACAAUCAUUGAUUGUGUAACAACAACUUAGUUGUUAAACUUAACGUUGAUGCUUCUUUUGACCACGGCCUUCUCAGGGGUACGAUCGGGGUUGUCUUAAGAGAUGACAAAGGUAGGUUCAUCGGUGGGGGAAAUGGUAAGAUUGACUGGUGUGUAGAUGUGUUGAUGGCUGAAGCUUUGGCGUUAAAAUUUGGCCUAUCGCUUGCGCAAAGGACGGCUUGUAAUCGCAUAAUUAUUAACUCAGAUAAUAUGGAGGUGAUCGAGACCAUGAACGAAGGAGGACGAUCGUCGGGGGGCAGCAGCUGCAAUUUUUGAUGAUUGUUUUCACUUAGCUUGCGAUUUUCCUAUUUCUAGAUUCGAGCAUUGUAAUAGAGAAGCAAAUAAAGUUGCUCAUGAACUUGCCAAGUUGGCUAGAUUUUCAUUCAUUUCUGAUUGGUUUGAGGAACCACAUAAUGCAAUUGUACCAAUCCUCAUAAACGAUGUAAUGAUUAUUUCUAAUGAAUAAAGCUCGAACUUUCUUUCAAAAAAACAACUUAGUGUAAUCUACUCCCUCUGUCCCAUAAUAUAAGAGUGUUAGUGUCGAAAACGCUUUUAUAUUAUGGGAUACAGGGAGUAAUUAAUAUUUCUCCUACGGUAUCGGAACAUGAAUCUAUUAUUGUGCGCCAGGAACUCCAACCAUUGUUCGCGGAACUAGAUGGGAGCUGAGAACCAUGGAGAUGUGAAUGUUGUCUGAGUGAACCGAUGCACCAAUGUUGUUCGACUGGGUUUCUUUUCUAAGGAUCAUGAUCGAUGCUAAGGCACCUUACACCAAGGCGUCAUGGAUCAUGUCAUGUUAGAUCUUCAUAGGCCUAUCCCUUAGUAGGUAACCCGGUCACUAACCAUGGUGCACCUCUAAUCACCCUUCCAUCAGCCAUGGGAAAGUAGUCGUUCGACUAAGUCAAGCUAACUUUCUAUAGAAAAAAGUCGUGCUAUACACACGAUAAAUUUUAAAAUGAGGACAUCCAAAACCUGAACCGAGGAGGCCAUGAACAAUAGUUCUGGAAUCCACUUUCUUGUUUCGCUCACGGUGUCAUGCUCUAAUGAACUCCACAUUGGAGGAAAUGGAAAUCAUGCGCGCAAAUACUAUUCUCCACUUGACAUGUCAUUUGUGUGAUUAGAUAAGUUAGGGUUGCUGCAUCGCCCAACACUCUUGCCCAGUAAGAGCAGAUGCUCCUCAAAUCCAAAACAGCCCCGCCGCUAGAUGUCCUCAAUUUUAAAAUGGACAUCGGCAUCGCUGUCAUCCGGGAGCAUAUGCUCCCAGAGCCAAAAUGGCCCUCACGCUGUCAUGCUAUAACGACCUCCGCGUUGGAGAAAAUGAAAAUCAUGCGCGCAAAUGCUAUUCUCCACUGGUCAUGUUAUUUCUGUGAUCAAAUAAGUUAAGGUCGCUGCAUUGCCCCACUCUCCUGUCCAAUAAAAGCAAGCUUCUUUCAGUUAGGCCCAACUCUGUUUAUAUUCCUUCAGUUCUCAUGCUACAAUGAUUGUCUUGCCUCGGUGGCAACCAGACUUCCCCCAUUUGUGAUAUGAAGAUGAAUAUGUUGGUUUCCAGAUUUCUUUCAGCUGUGAUAUGAAUAUGCACAUGUUGUCGUUACGAAGUCGAUAUACAUCGUACUCACUAAAAUAGAUCAUAACGUCCAAACUUUUUACAAUCAUUGAUUGUGAAACAAGAACUCAGCACAAUAUACUCCCUUCGUCCCAUAAUAUAGGAGCGUUAGUGUCAAAACGCUCUUAUAUUAUGGGACAGAGGGAGUACUUAAUAUUUUUCCUGCGGUAUUGGAACUUGAAUAUAUUAUUGUGCGCCAGGAAUUCCAACUAUUGUUCGUAGAACUAGAUGGGAGUUGAGAACCAUGGCGAUGUGAAUGUUGUUCGAGUGAACCGAUGCACCAGCGUCGUCUAAUUGGGUUUAUUUUCUAAGGAUCAUGAUCGAUGCUAAGGCACCUUACACCAAGGUCUCAUGGAUCACGUCAUAUUAGAUCUUCAUAGGGAUGUCCCUUAGUAAGUAACCCGGUCACUAACCAUGGCGCACCUCUAAUCACCCUUCUAUUAGCCAUGGGAAAGUACUCAUUCGACUAAGCCAAGCUAACUUUGUAUAGAAAAAAAAGUCAUGUUAUACACACGAUAAAUUUUUAAAUAAGGACAUCCGAAACCGGAGCCGAUGAGGCCAUGACCAACGGUUCUGGAAUCCAGUUUCUUAUUUCGCUCACGCUAUCAUGCUCUAAUGAACUGCACAUUGGAGAAAAUGAAAAUCAUGCGCGCAGAUACUAUUCUCCACUUGUCAUGUCAUUUGUGUGAUCAGAUAAGUUAGGGUUGCUGCAUUGACCAGCUCUCUUGCCUAGUAAGAGCAUAUGCUCCUGAAAUUCAAAACAACCCUCCCGCUAGAUGUCCUCGGUUUUACAAUGGACAUCUGCAUCGCUGUCAUCCAGGAGCAUAUGCUCCCAGAGUCAAAACGGCCCUCACGCUGUCAUGCUCUAACGACCUCCACGUUGGAAAAAUGAAAAUCAUGUGCACAAAUGCAAUUCUCCACUAGUCAUGUCAUUUGUGUGAUCAAAUAAGUUAAGGUUGCUGCAUCGCCCAUCUCCCUUGUCCAAUAAGAGCUAGCAUCUUUCAGUUAGGCCCACCUCUGUUUAUCUUCCUUCAGUUCUCCUGCUACAAUGAUCGUCUUGCCUCGGUGGCAGCCUGACUUCCACCUAUUGUGGUAUGAAGAUGAAUAUGUUGGUUUCCAGAAUGCUUCCAGCUGUGAUAUGAAGAUGCACAUGUUGUUGUUGUGAAGUCGAUAUACAUCGAAAUCACUAAAACAGAUCAUAACAUCCAAACAUUUUACAAUCAUUGAUUGUGUGACAACAACUCUGUGCAAUCUACUCCCUCUGUCCCAUAAUAUAAGAGUGUUAGUGUCAAAAAUGCUCUUAUAUUAUGGGACAGAGGGAGUCCUUAAUAUUUUUCCUGUGGUAUCGGAACUUGAAUCUAAUAUUGUGCGCCAGAAAUUCCAAUCAUUGUUCGCAGACCUAGAUGGGAGCUGAGAACCAUGGCGAUGUGAAUGUUAUCCGAGUGAACCGAUGCACUGGCGUUGUCCGACUGGGUUUCUUUUCUAAGGAUCGUGAUUGAUGCUAAGGCACCUUACACCAAGAUCUCAUCGAUCACGUCAUGUUAGAUCUUCAUAGGCAUGUCCCUUAGUAGGUAACCCGGCCACUAACCAUGGCGCAGCUCUAAUCACCCUUCCAUCAGCCAUGGGAAAGUAGUCAUUCGACUAAGUCAAGCUAAUUUUAUAUAGAAAAAAGUCAUGCUAUACACAUGAUAAAUUUUAAAAUGAGGACAUCCAAAACCGGAGCCGAGGAGGCCAUGACCCAUGAUUCUGGAAUCCACUUUCUUGUUUCGCUCAUGCUAUCAUGCUCUAACGAACUCCACGUUGGGGGAAAUGAAAAUCAUGCGCGAAAAUACUAUUCUCCACUUGUCAUGUUAUUUGUGUGAUCAUACAAGUUAGGGUUGCUCCAUCGCCCAGCUCUCCUGCCGAGUAAGAGCAUAUGCUCCUCAAAUCCAAAACAGCCCUCCCGCUAGAUGUCUUCAAUUUCAAAAUGGACAUAUGCAUCACUGUCAUCUGGGUGCAUAUGCUCCACGAGCCAAAACGGCCCUCACGUUGUCAUGCUAUAACGACCUCCACGUUGGAGAAAAUGAAUAUCAUAAGCGCAGAUGCUAUUCUCCACUGGUCAUGUGAUUCGUGUGAUCAAAUAAGUUAAGGUUGCUGCAUCACCCAACUCUCUUGUCCAAUAAGAGUAAACGUCUUUCAGUUUGGCCCAAUUCUGUUUAUCUUCCUUCAGUUCUCAUGCUACAAUGAUCGUCUAGCCUCGGUGGCAGCCAGACUUCCCCCAGUUGUGGUAUGAAGAUGAAUAUGUUGGUUUCCAGACUUCUUCCAGCUGUGAUAUGAAGAUGCACAUGUUGUCGUUACGAAGUUGAUAUACAUCAUACUCACUAAAACAGAUCAUAACAUCCAAACAUUUUACAAUCAUUGCUUGCGUAACAACAACUCAGUGCAAUCUGCCCCCUUCGUCCCAUAAUAUAAGAGUGUUAGUGUCAAGAACGCUCUUAUAUUAUGGGACAGAGGAAGUACUUAAUAUUUUUCCUGUGGUAUCGGAACUUGAAUCUAUUAUUGUGCGCCAGGAAUUCCAACCAUUGUUCGUAGAACUAGAUGGGAGCUGAGAACCAUGGUGAUGUGAAUGUCGUUCGAGUGAACCGAUGCACCAACGUCAUCCGCCUGGGUUUCUUUUGUAAGGAUCAUGAUCGAUGCUAAGGUACCUUACACCAAGGUCUCAUGGAUCACAUCAUGUUAGAUCUUCAUAGGCAUGUGCCGUAGUAAGUAACCCGCUCACUAACCAUGGUGCACCUCUAAUCACCCUUCCAUCAGCCAUGGGAAAGUAGUCAUUCGACUAAGUCAAGGUAACUUUGUAUAGAAAAAAGUCGUGUUAUACACACGAUAAAUUUUAAAAUGCUGACAUCCAAAACCGGAGCCGGGGAGGCCAUGAACCAUGGCUCUCGAAUCCACUUUCUUGUUUCGCUCACAUUAUCAUGUUGUAACGAACUCCACGUUGGAAGAAAUGAAAUCAUGCGCGCAAAUACUAUUCUCUACUUGACAUGUCAUUUGUAUGAUCAGAUAAGUUAGGGUUGCUGCAUCGCCCAACUCUCCUGCCCAGUAAGAGUAGAUGCUCCUCAAAUCCAAAACAGCCCUCCCGCUAGAUGUCCUCAAUUUUAAAAUGGACAUCUCCAUCACUUUCAUCCGGGAGAAUAUUCUCCCAGAGCCAAACCGGCCCUCAUGAUGUCAUGCUCUAACGACCUCCGCGUUGGGGAAAAUGAAAAUCAUGCGCUCAAAUGCUAUUCUCCACUAGUCAUGUUAUUUGUGUGAUCAAAUAAGUUAAGGUUGAUGCAUUGCCCAGCUCUCCUGUCCAAUAAGUGCAACCUUCUUUUAGUUAGGCCCAACUCUGUUUAUUUUCCUUCAGUUCUCAUGCUACAAUGACCGCCUUGCCUCGGUGGCAGCCAGACUUCCCCAGUUGUGAUAUGAAGAUGAAUAUGUUGGUUUCUAGACUUCUUCCAGCUGUGAUAUGAAGAUGCACAUUUUGUCGUUACGAAGUCGAUAUACAUCGUACGCACUAAAACAGAUAAUAACGUUCAAACUUUUUACAAUCAUUGAUUGUGUAACAACAACUCAGUGCUACUCCCUCCGUCCCAUAGUAUAAGAGUGUUAGUGUCAAAAACGCUCUUAUAUUAUGGGACAGAGGGAGUACUUAAUAUUUUUCUUGCGGUAUCGGAAAUUGAAUCAAUUAUUGUGCGCCAGGAAUUCCAACCAUUGGUCGCAGAACUAGAUGGGAACUGAGAACUAUGGCGAUGUGAAUGUUGUCCAAGUGAACCGAUGCACCGGCAUCGUCCGACUAGGUUAAUUUUCUAAGGAUCAUGAUUGAUGCUAAGGGACCUUACACCAAGGUCUCAUGGAUCACGUCAUGUUAGAUCUUCAUAGGCAUGUCCCUUAGUAGGUAACCCAGUCACUAACCAUGGCGCACCUCUAAUUACCUUUCCAUUAGCCAUGGGAAAGUAUGCAUUCGACUAAGCCAAGCUAACUUUAUAUAGAAAAAAGUCGUGUUAUACACAUAAUAAAUUUUAAAAUGAGGACAUUCAAAACCGGAGCCGAUGAGGCCAUGACCCAUGGUUCUGGAAUCCACUUUCUUGUUUCACUCAUGCUAUCAUGCUCUAACGAACUCCAUGUUGGAGAAAAUGAAAAUCAUGUGCGCAAAUACUAUUCUCCACUUGUCAUGUCAUUUGUGUGAUCAGAUAAGUUAGGGUUGCUGCAUCGCCUAGCUCUCCUGCCCAGUAAGAGCAUGUGCUCCUCAAAUUCAAAACAGCUCGCCCGCUAGAUGUCCUCAAUUUUAAAAUGCACAUCUGCAUCGCUGUCAUCCAGGAGCAUAUGCUCCCAGAGCCAAAACAGCCCUCACGUUGUCGUGCUCUAACGACCUCCAUGUUGAAAAAUGAAAAUUGUGCGUGCAAAUGCUAUUCUCCACUAGUCAUGUCAUUUGUGUGAUCAAAUAAGUUAAGGUUGCUGUAUUGCCGAGCUCUCUUGUUGAAUAAGAGCAAGCGUCUUUCAGUUAGGCCCAACUCUGUUUAUCUUGCUUCAGUUCUCAUGCUACAAUGAUCGUCUUGCCUCGGUGGCAGCCAGACUUCGCCCUGUUGUGGUAUGAAGAUGAAUAUGUUGGUUUCCAGACUUCUUCCAGCUGUGAUAUGAAGAUGCACAUGUUGUCGUUACGAAGUCGAUAUACAUCGUAUUCACUAAAACAAAUCAUAAUGCCCAAACUUUUUACAAUCAUUGAUUGUGUGACAACAACUCAGUGCAAUCUACUCCUUUUGUCCCAUAAUAUAAGAGCGUUAGUGUCAAAAACGCUCUUAUACUAUGGGACACGAGUACUUAAUAUUUUUCCUGUGGUAUCGGAACUUGAAUCUAUUAUUGUGCGCCAGGAAUUCCAACCAUUGUUCGCAGAACUAGAUGAGAGCUGAGAACCAUGUCGAUGUGAAUGUCAUCCGAGUGAACCGAUGCACCAGCGUCAUCCGACUUGGUUUCUUUUCUAAGGAUCAUGAUCGAUGCUAAGGCACCUUACACCAAGGUCUCAUGGAUCACGUCAUGUUAGAUCUUCAUAGGUCUGUCCCUUAGUAGUCACUAACAAUGGAGCACCUCUAAUAGUGUUCCAUCAGCCAUGGGAAAGUAGUCAUUCGACUAAGUCAAGCUUACUUUGUAUAGAAAGAAGUCGUGAUAUACACACGAUAAAUUUUAAAAUGAGGACAUCCAAAACCGGAGCCGAGGAGGCCAUGACCCACGGUUCUGGAAUCCACUUUCUUGUUUCGCUCACGCUAUCAUGCUCUAACGUACACGUUGGAGGAAAUGAGAACCAUGCGCGCAAAUACUAUUCUCCACGUGUCAUGUUAUUUAUGUGAUCAAAUAAGUUAAGGUUGCUGCAUCGCCCGGCUCUCCUGCUGAGUAGAGCGAGCAUCUUUCAGUUAGGCCCAACUCUGUUCAUCUUCCUCCAGUUCUCAUGCUACAAUGAUCACUUCGCCUUGGUAGUUGUCAGUCUUCCUCCAGUUGUGAUAUGAAGAUGAAUAUGUUGGUUUUCCAGACUUCUUCCAGCUGUGAUAUGAAGAUGCACAUGUUGUCGUUAUAAAGUCGAUAUACAUCAUUUUCAUUGAAACAUAUUAGAACGUCCAAACUUUUACAAUCAUUGAUCGUGUAACAACUAGGUGAAAUCUACUUGAUUUUUUUUCUGCGGUAUCAGAAGUUUGAAUCUAUUAUUACUACUUCCUCCGUCCGGAAAUACUUGUCAUAGAAAUGGUUUAGCAUUUCUUGGACAAGUAUUUCCGAACGAAGGGAGUAUUAGAUUGCGCCAGGAAUUUCACCCAUUGUUCGCAGAACUAGAUGGGAGCUGAGAACCAUGGUUUACAGAGGCAAGAAAGGGAUAUGGGCAAUAGAUAAGCUCAUCUUAUUUACACGGUUCUUUUCACUAUAUAUGUGCCUGGAUGGCACAGAAAAGGACUGACUUGGAACAAAACCCCAACUCUACUGCAAGUACUCCCUCCAUUCGAAAAAGCUUGUCCCUCAACUAUCUAGCACCAAGUUAGUGCUAGAUACAUUCAUUUGAGGGACAAGCUUGGGACAAGUUUUUUCGGACGGAUGGAGUACCCAACAACUGCAACAUUUCUACACUCAUGAAGGGCAUGUGCAUCACAUAUUUUGUGAAGGAAAAGGUAGGACGCUCUCUACCUUAGAUGUACAUCCCAUUUAAAAGAUUGGGUUGCACCAUAUCUUACUCUUGAUAACUGGGGCCAUCCCAUGGUUAUCUUUUUACAGUAGGCAAGUCCUACCACUCAACGAAACAGCUUAACCGCUGGGACUCGGUCAUUUGUGCACACUCUAAUUCUCUAUUGUCAGUACGUGUCAAUCGAAGUGCAUGUUUUGAUCUCCUGCUGAAGCAAAGCCCUGUGUGUGCUCGCUUUCAAAUGUGGCAAGUCGAGAAUCUGAUAGAACGGAGAACAUCUGUGUUUCCACGAAGAGCUGUAAAACAUAUUGACUGUUGUAAGAAUACGUGGGAACAACAGUGACAAGUGACAAUAUACUCCCUCCGUCCCGAAAUAAGUGUCUCAACUUUGUACUAACUUUAGUACAAAGUUAUACUACGCUUGAGACACUUAUUUUGGGACGGAGAGACUAUAUAUGAAGGAAAUCACUCCUGUAUGUAAAACUAAAUUGAAAAGCACCUUCAUGAACGGUCGAUCCUUCGAGGGGAAAGAAUCAAGAAAACUGUCCUUCAGAAGCAAGGAAACCUGGGUCAGUAGAAGACCAACAUCAUUUAGUGCAUUUUACAAUGUGUUUCCAAAAGGCAAAACGUCCAAGUGGCACCAUGGUGUAGAGUGCAGAUAGAAGUGUAUACAGUUCUAACCCUGUCAUUAUCUGACUACAUUGGUGAUGGUAUGAUAGCGCAAUUCAGAACAAAGUGACUCCAAGUAUGUUCUCAGAACAUUUAAGAACUGCCAAGAUGCCUUAGCCUGCAAUAUCAGGCAAACAAGUACCAUCUUUAUCUUAAGAACUAACUAACAUGGAGUUUACACAAAUUUGCUGUACAUGAACAGGAUCUGAAGGAGAUAAAACUUUCUUCUUAAUGAAGAAAUAAUGGCUUCCAAAGAGGAUGGAGCCGCAUUCCACAUAGUAAACAAAAAUUAAUACCUGAACUUCGUUGCAUUUAUACAUAGGAUGUUUCUUCGCCAAAGCAUUCUCACAUGAAAGUUUAGCAUGAAUUGGACUGAGAUCAGAAACAAGGUCCUUGUAACGUGGAAGAUGAGGCAAUAAAUUUGCCUUGACCUGCAUUAUUAAUAAAUAAAAACUAACAUUAAGUACGGAUGAAUCUUUUCUGCCAUUACAGCACCAAAUAUGCUCGCACUGCAGUGCACAAGUCUCUAAAACGUCUUAUACUCCCUCCGUGACAUAUUAGUUGUCACUCAAACAGAUGUAUCUAGCACUAAGAUACAUCUAGAUACAUCCGCUUCUGCGACAACUAAUAUGGGCCGGAGGGAGUAUUUGUUUAGAGGGAGUACGCUUCAUACAAGUAAAAUACUACAAAUCAGACAUGAUCAGAUCAGGAGAUACGUGGUCAUUACACAGAUGUGGAAUAAUUAGACUGGAUAGUUUAUUUCCAUAGAGAGAGAGAGAGAGAGAGAGAGAGAGAGAGUUUAACAUCAGGAAAGAACAUGUCACACUUGCCUGAUCUUUCUGUACAUUGAUUCUGACAAGACUGGACGCUUUCAUCUUGAUAUCAGGGGGUUUAUGUUGGAUACCAGCCUGUAGAGAGAGAGCAUAAAAUCCCUGAAAGGUUGGCUAAUAUGCAGAAAUUGGCAGAAACUGGCAAAUGCAGUCACUGGUAGUUCUUUGAAAUAGCAGCAACCCAAUAAAUGAGUUUCAAAUAAUAGUCAAACUUACAAUGAAAGGGACGGGAGCAUCAAUGAAAUCAAUCAAUUUUCCUGGUAGAACCUGCAAAGCAAUUGUUUGUACUUCAGGACAGAAUAAUGUUGGGAGACAUGUAUGAACUAAAGAUCUAUCACUCUUUUAGUUGAACAUAAUCUCAACAAGUAUGGUUAAUUAACAGACUCUUUUACUGCAUAUAAAACAUAUAAAUAUGGUUGGGUAACAUGCGCAAAUACAUAAAACAAUCCAGCAUAUUUUACUGAAUUUAGUGAACAUGUGAACCGACUAUUUUUUUUCUUUUGAAACGGAGGCAAAAGAUUUGCCUCAUCCAUUAAUUAAGCAGAAGAGAGUUGCCCGGUUAAUUAACAGAAAACCGGGCGAAAACCAGCACAAAUUGCUGGGCGGCACACCCAGGAUACUCUAAACACACAUCUGCGAAGAGUGCCUCGCCGAAGUAGCACAUUGGCAUCAUCGUCAUCACUUCACCCCAAGUAGGCGACGUCGUCAUCCCUUCUUCCUAGGCAAGCGACUCCAACUUUGCCGCAGAUGACCAUCGACCCAGCCCAUACCAUAGAGGUUGUGCAUAGCAACAUGAAGAUCACACGGAUCUGGGGUUUUCCCCGAAGCUGCAAAGGUUGAGGGUGAGAGUACCUCGGCGAUGCCAAAUGGAAACAGCGCUAGAAAGUGUUGCCAUCGCCGGCUCCGGACACGGCCGGAGACAAGCUUUCAUGCAGGUCAACCUCUCGAGACCCGCACAGCACACAUCAGCAAGCCAUCCAUCGAGCCGCAGCAGUCAAAUCUGGCCGGAUGUGACCACCUACUCGCCAGGCCAAUGCACUGGACACCUCCACUGGCGCUUAGCAGAGCCCACAAGCCACAGAAGCUUGCCCACAACCUCUGCCCUCGCUGGCGCUUGCAGACAGCGCGCCGACGCCAGAAACCGGCCAAAACCACGCUGGCCAUGAGCAACACCACAUCCAGGCCCGCCCGCUUGGCGACAACCAGCCCCACACCAGGGCUGGCCCGCGCGACUCACAUCACUUGCGCCUGUAGAAUCCACUGCCACACACACAGCCGCGACCUUCUCUGGUCCAUGGCGGACCACACCUCCAGAUCCACAUCCAGUCACCCGAAUGACGGACAGCAAGGCCACCGGCCACACCACUGAAGCACACGCCAACACCGCCGUGCACAAGUGCCUCGACCACCUCCGCUGCAGCUCCGGUCGCGCGGCAGAUCCAGCCUACACGCAUGCCGCCAGCCCUGCCAUGCAGCCUCAAGUGCAACCCGGACGCCCCACGACCACCACUGCACGCCGUGGAAGGGGGUGAGCACCACCGCCAACUCGACCAGGGAGCGCCGCCCCGGCCGCUGCACGCAGACAAGCGCCAUGAAUACUGCCCCAGCAGCACCAGCGGGCUGCCGCCGCAACCUUCCAGCCCCCAGGGACCUUCGGCGCUGGGCCUGCCGCCAACGCCAGUGGCAGUGGCGGCGCUAGGGUUCGCCCCGACGUGGUGACGCGGGAGCGCUUCCUCUCUUUAUCUUGAACCAUUAACAAAUCAUUGUUUCACAAAAUAUCAGCGACACUUUGUGUCAUAGUGAAAUGUAACAAAGAGGCAGACCUGCUGAGCAACUUUACAAAUUACAGACCUUGUUCGCGACAAUUGUCUAUUUAAGUUACCGGUUUAUUUGCCAAAAAGGAAUUACUCCCUCCGAUCCAUAAUAAGUGUCGCAGUUUUGAACUAAGGUUGAACUAACUUCAGUUCAAAGCUGAGACACUUAUUUUGGAUCGGAGGGAAGUGCCAGUUUAUAUUUUUCAAAAAAUGUCCAUCUACAACUUGAUUGAAUAACUUAAAUAAAAGGGUGGUGGAUCAUUUUCAAGAAAAAAUAGUACUGAUGGCAGCCAAUAGUUUCGGCAGUUUCUAGCUAACACGGUCCUUAUGACAUAUUGGCAUAUAAUAAGAUGCAAAAGAAUAGACAAAACUGAGCAAAAUGCAAAACAAANNNNNNNNNNNNNNNNNNNNNNNNNNNNNNNNNNNNNNNNNNNNNNNNNNNNNNNNNNNNNNNNNNNNNNNNNNNNNNNNNNNNNNNNNNNNNNNNNNNNNNNNNNNNNNNNNNNNNNNNNNNNNNNNNNNNNNNNNNNNNNNNNNNNNNNNNNNNNNNNNNNNNNNNNNNNNNNNNNNNNNNNNNNNNNNNNNNNNNNNNNNNNNNNNNNNNNNNNNNNNNNNNNNNNNNNNNNNNNNNNNNNNNNNNNNNNNNNNNNNNNNNNUACUAAUAUGGUAUUACUAAAAUCAAAACAGGAUAGAAACUUCAACAACUACAGGAUACAAUAUUACUUACAGGAAGCAGUAAACUUUGCCACUGGAAUGGCCUUAUCAUUGGUAUAAUUGAUAAAACAAUUGCUGACAGUACGCCCUGCAGUUAAGCAUCCGAGAGAGCUGCUAGAAUCAGCAGGAUCAAGUAUAGCAUAAAACCAGAACACAUUGUCACAAAGCUCAGGUACUUGAAAGACCAUACCAGAUUUGGGCAUAUUACCACAAUUUGCUUCUCCAGCAGAACUCCAGUGAAUAAUGCUAGCAUCUGCAGGAGAAAAGAAACAACUUUACACACACAAAGCCAACCAUGAUGGCAGCCAAUCACUUAUAUAAUGUCUAGGGAGUUAUUGUAGGCCUCAAAAAGGAAAAGAAAAAGGGAAAGAAGUAAGUCUCGCUGCAAUCUUCUAAACAAAUUUCCCUGAUACAUGAUCAAUAGUACUCCCUCUGCCCUAUAAUAUAAGAUGUUGUUACAACCGAUAUACUCACAUGCCGAUUGUAAUAACAUCUUAUAUUAUGGGACGGAGGGAGUAAUACAAACUAAUGGAACUCCUUAACUGAACCAAAAAAAAGAGUAAUGCAACAUACACUUUCCAGGGAUAAAGCACGACAAACUGUAGCCAUAGUCCAUAUUGAUAAUGCAAGAGCUUCUUCUGCAGCGACCAAACAGGCAUUCACAAUGACCUAAAUAAAAAUUAUGAUUAGUGAAGGGACGAUGUGCUACAGAUAGUGCCGUAAAAAGUCAAUUAUCUACCACAUUUGUUUCUGCCGAAUUCAAAUCAUUGUCCAAAUUUGUGUCUCCUAACCCCAAUGAUGAUAAUCCAGGCCGGGAGUAUUUAACAGGCUGGAGAUGUUCAAGGGGUUGGAAGACAACUUCUCCUCCGCGAGGUGGCAGAGGAAGAGCAUGGUAACCACAAACAAUUUGUAGAGGUUCAUUAUUGUGUGCCUAAAAUAAGAAUGAUCAGUAAGGACAAGAACCAUCAGAUGGAAUUCUUCCAACUUGAUAUUAUAGACAAACCUUAGCCCAUCCCAGAACUUUGCCAUCAUCAACACCACUUUCAUUCUUCACAUUUACCUCAUCGUCUUCUUCAUCUGACCCAGCACCUUUGACUGAACUGUCACAAACCAUCAGGAUGCUCAAUUAAUAAGGUAAAUGGUGUGAUAAUAAUACUAGACGUGUCAUAGUUCACAAUGAUCUAUGCAUUCCAACAUCAUCAUUAAUAAGAUCCUAAACAGAUUACUCAUAACUUCAGAAUUCAGAUAAAUCCUAGCAGAUCUGAUUGACGCCAUAAUUGUACUUCACAAUUGCAGGAAUUAUUUUUCAAAUUAUCAGGGUUACCUGUGUAUUGACUCCAUACUCUGUGUGUGUUCUAAUCUUGUAGAGAUAGGAGAAUGCAUGGAAAGAAGAUCUGGGGAAGUAUGUCCAUUCUCAUAAGUACUACUUGCUCUUCCAAAGCUGUCGCAGCGGGAUUCCGAGUUCUGUGAUAUACAAUCUUCGUAUUGUUGGAAACUAUGUCUUCCUUCCUUCUCAGGUUCUUUUGCAUAACUAGAAUCUGAAGUCUCACUAGCCGACAUACUUUCAGGAGAAUUAGGUUCCCAACUCCUGAACAAAUAUGAAGGGACAUCUCUUUCUGAUGUAAGUCCUGGUGAAGAAACAAGACCUGAUAUACUGUUGACAGGUACAGCAUAGUCUGUCCAGUCAUUGUACGGAAGACCACUUGGAGAUUCAAAAUCCCCGUCUGAUUGAUCUUCUAACUGUUCUCUCAAGGAACGGGGGACUGGCCCUGCCAGAGCAAUUUCACUGGCAAACUGUGUUAUCCUUUCAAGCCUCUCCUGUGAAAUUAUGCUGUUCAUAUAAUUGACAGCCAACACACCGAUCAUAUCUUAGUACUGAAUUGGGGAGAUACAAAACUAGGGGCGUUAUGCAUGGUUGUUAGCUCAGACAAAUAGAAGUAUAUAUGCUGGACAAACCUGUUUAACAUCUCAUAAUGUAGCUCAAAAAAAGGUACUCUUGUAAGUAAACAGUAACAACGUGGUGCAGAAACCAAGAAACGGCUUGGCUUGUAGGAAGUCUGAUUUAGGGGUGAGACUGCUCCUAGUAUACCAGGGGCUCUUUGAACAAUUUCCUGGACGUGAAGGCAAACACCAUAUAGUGGUGCAUUGUCCGAUACCUGGUGUCAUCAACAACAAUUAAUAAGAAAAGAGUAAUCGAGAUACCUGAAUACAAUCAUCCAGGAAUAUCAAAAUUGAAAAUGAAUAAACAAACAAACCUUUAGGAAGAAGAUAAAGGACAAAUCAUCUCGGCACAGAUGUUCCUAUGUAAAAGAUGUCAUACAAGUUAGCAAGUUCUAUUCAAAAGAAAGCCUCCAUUAAGUAUGAAAACUGGAAAGCUCAAGUUGGAACAUCAUGUGCAAGGGACCAUCACAGAUAAAGUUGAAAAGUAUAAACAAACACUGGUCUACACUUUAAACAAGAGUAUCAUGUUCUCAACGAAAAUAAGGUUAGCAGAUUAUUCAUUUACCCUAAACAGGAUUCCUAUAUACCGCAGGUGGCCGGUAAAACAAAAAACUGCUAAUAUAAGGAGGUUUCCAAAUCCUGCUACAACUAAUUUUCACCUGCCCAAAUAUCACUUCAUUUAGAUCACUCAUGGAAGGAGUCCUCUCGACUAAGCGAGCCUGAAAUAUUGAAUUAAACAAGAAUCAAGAAAAUUGCAGCAUAAAAUAUAUAAAAGGAUUAAAAUGAACAGAAAAGGUUAAGAACUUUCUUAAAGAAGCCAAUAGGAGCAGUACAGUUUCAGCAAGAACAUUAUUUAUCUAACCUUUACACCUUCAGGAAAACAGAAUGAGGGUAAAUCAGCCUCUCUAAUAUCCUCUUUCUUUCCAGGUGGAUAUUUGAAAAGAAUCUGCAAGUAAAAAAAGGAAAAAGUAGAUCAGAGAUGAUUUAUCAGAACAGGCAAGUGAGUCUAGAAUCGCUCCUGGAGAAAUCAGGAUUAAAGUUUGCUGUCUGUCCCAGUGUACAAUAGGAUAUUGAAGUUUCCAGAGCUUAGCUAUCAAGGCUUUACAAGAUGGAAACUAGUAUUACUGCCAAAGAACAAGGCUUACAAGAUGAUGACACGGAUACUGAAAGUACAUGUGAACCUUCAUAUGAACUUGAAAUAAAAUUUGUGAUAAGGAGAAAUUCAGGUUGUCACUCUGGGAUUAUGUUCAAAUGAUCUAAAAUUUUAUCCAGAUCACGAUUCUCACUCCUAUGAAAAGAAUUAGCUACAAGUAUGCAGAGUCACACAAGCACAGCAGUUCAGCACUCAAUUGAGAACACGCAGUUGUUAAUCCUCUCUCCCUACCCAAAAAGAAUAGCCACCGACCAUUGAUCCAAAGUGCAAUUUACUCUAAACAAAAUACCCACAAGCUGCAUCCAUUAAAGAAAAGGUAGUACAUUCCAGUUUCUAUAAAGAAAGAUUAUUGCAUGCUUUUUGGUAUUACCAUGCUGCAGACAGAUAGGGGUGCUCUAUAAGCCUUUUCAUGCUACAGGAAACAUAUACUAACAUGAAUACAGAAAAAGAACUUGUUAUGGUAAAUAACUUUGCAUGCAUUAUCAAUGAAUACAGUUAUAAUUGAUUACUACCCGAACCUUGGAGAUAAUUAAUAUGUAUCCUUUGUUGCGCUGUGAGUAAAUAAACUUAUGGAUGGGCGAACAGUGGUCCUUGAAAAUAUGCAAAACAUGACACAAUCCUACCUAACCAAUAGGACCAAAAACCAAACAUGACACAAUUUCCCCUAAAAUAGAAGAACUCAUAGUCAACAAAGCACCCUACCUGUGGUUCCAUGGUUGGUAUUGGUCCAUGGUACUGAAUUUUAUUAAGAUCAACAACCUCUGAACAUGCUACGUUAGACUCCCAAGCUUUCCUUUUUGCAAAAGCAUCCUCAAUUACUGCAACAUUUGCAUAAAAAUGGAGUCCAACUACGAAAAAAUGUUCAAAGAGCGAAGAUGGUUCCUUAAAUUGAUUCUGAUCCUGCAAGAGAGAUUAAAAAAUAGCUUUAAGAAGGGGAAGUUCAUGCUAAGUACAGAUAAAAACUGCAAGAGAAACUAAAGGAAUAAGUGCAUGUAACCAAGUCUCAAAGCCCUCUCUAUAAACUUAAAAGUGCAGGAGAAAUUCCACACACUACCAGGAAAGCACUCUUGUAGUUGGACAUAUGCUCUCAAGAAAACAUACUUGGACAUAUUUAGCAAUUAUAUCCAAGCAGUGAGAGAUAACUUCACUUUAGCUGUUCUUCAAUCACACACUCAAAUACCUCAAAGAUAGUCUGUUCAUGGUAUGCCAAAUGUCCUAAGAGAAUGAAAAACAUUAUCACGCAUAAACUGCUUUGCUAAGAGUGUGCAAAAUUUCUCCAAUGUGGCCCCAAAAAAUAAAGUUAAUUAAGUAUAGUAAUAUGAUCAUCUGCUUACCAAUCUGACUAGUGACUGUUGCUGAACCGUAUAUAACAAACAGUGAAAAUAGGAAAGGGAGGUGUUAGAACCUGAUAUGUCAGCUGCUAUUUUACAUCUUCUUACGGUGUGAACCUGCACAUUCUAAGUAUGCUAGGACUCUCAAGCUAUUUGCAUGGAUUUACAACUUCAGCUAUCAUUUAUCUAUGCAGAUCACCCGGCUAGACAAAAGUUGCAUCCAAAUGCACAAGUAUGAUGAGCAGGAUUGAACAAAACAGCAGUCAGUAUACCCGCACCUUGGUGUGGACUUGAUACCACUGCCGCUUCUGGUUCGCCAUAGCCUCAAUGUUGACCGAAGUGCGCAGCAACUGCUCCCUGGGGCUCCUCUCGGCGCCUACUCCACCUCCGACAGGCCCCCACUUCCACGCGCGCUGCAUCUGCUGCCGGAACCGCUGGAAGCUGCUGGUCCGCACGUGGCGCGGGUGCGGCCUGAUCUGCGGCGCAGGCGACGACGACGGCCGGGGCGAAGGCGGUGCCGACGAGGACCUGGACCUCGAGUCCUCCAUCCCUGGCGAGCCUGCUGCCCCCGACGGGGCCACCCAAUUCCCCUCUUCCUCCUCCGCGCCCCUCGCGCGCUGCCCCGACGGCGAGGCGCUGCCCUCUCGCGAUUCGGAAACCGAAGGCGACCAUCCCGCGCCGUCAAUCCCCGGAGGCCCCGACGCUCCCGACGCCGGAGGUGACUCGUACGCUUCCUCCUCCUCGUCCGCGGCCCCCGCCUCGUCGCGCUGCGGUAUCGACACCGACAUCGACGGCGGUGCGGCCUCGCCCUCGCCCCAUGUCACCGGGUGCGCGGAGGCGGUCGGCGACACGUCCACCGCAUCCUCGAACAGCUCCACCUCCCGCACCUCCUCCUCCGCCAGCCUGAGCGGCUCCGGCUCCGGCUCCGGCGUCGGCGCGGCGGGGCCGCCGGGGAGCGCCAUACGCGCCGCGCGAUCGGAGCACGGGCUACGCCUCGCGCGCAAUUGAAUGCCAGGGAUCAAACCAAACGGAAGGGGGAGGGGAGGAGGACGAGAUCGUAGAGAGAAUUAAUAAUAAAUGGUAAAAACAGAAACGAAAAUGGAAAAGAAAAUAGCCCGAUGGAAAGGGAGCCGGGAACGGGAACGGGAACGGGGGUCACGUGGACGGAGGGGGAGGUGGGCGAGCGAGGUGGCCCACCUGGCAGGUGUGCUCUUUGUAAGGCUUGUGUCGCUGACAUGUGGGUUCACAAUACGACCGCAUCACGUGAGAUUUUGCACAUACUGUAUACACCAACGAAGCCAAAAGGCACGAACCUUUUCCGGUGUGAGCUUCGUUCGAGCUUUUUCUUUAUUUUUUUUAUUUCGAAAUAGCUCAACGUGAGAGCAAGUUGUGUGUAUGUUUCCAUUUCCAUUUCAAAAAAAAAAACAUGGGCCUUCACCUCCAUCUCGACAAAAAAAGGAGAAAAAACCUCACAUUCAUCUUUAAAAAACUUCCUCACUCAGCCAACCAGCAAGUGACACGUGGCAAAUUGUAUGCUUGUUUCCAUCUAAAAAAAGCACAUGGGUCGUCACCUCCAUAUCAGAAAUAAAAGUCGCAUGUUCAUCUUAAAAAAACAUCUCAAAGAAAAACCUCAACUCCGUCAGAAAAAGAAAAAAGAAAAAGAAAAAGUUCCCAUCGCAGCGAACCAGCGGACGCCACUUGGCAUAGCCCAGCGUUGUUCCUUUCUUUCUCAAAAAGAACCCUCACAUCUAUCUAAACAAGGAAAAAGAAAACGUUCCGCUUGUAGCCAACCAACGGGCGCCACUUAGCAUAGCCUAUAGUGGGCCCUUUCUUUCUCUGUAGUGGGUUUUAUAUGCGAAUUUGGUUUAUUUUUUUUUGGAAGGUACACUUUUGAAUUUGACAAUCUCAGGUUAGUCUCGAAUUUGGAUUAUUUUUGUGUGCUCAAAUUCUCAGAGCUCAAUAUGAUCUCCCCAAAGAGCAUGGUUGAAAAGUAGAGAUGAAGUAUAUUAAAGCAUCCCAACGCGGACCCUUAUUUUCUUUGCUAUAUGUCUGGAUAGAACGAUUCGAACACUUUUAGACCUUUAAUGCUAUUUCUCAUUUCAGUUAAAGAAAAAUGUGUCCUCCUUUGUCCGCAGACUGGACUGGACGUCUGAAAUGUACCGCUCUAUCCACAAAUUGAGGGAAUGAAUAGGGGAGUCUGGACAAUCUGCUCGACCCGCCGUCAGUCGAGCCACACCUUCCCAUAGCACACAUCUUCUCGCUCGACUUUUUCUCCUCACAGUUCGUCCAGCUCAUAGUCAGUCACAGUCCACAGCCAAAAAUGAGGGAUACUGUUGGAGGGCCUCUGCCCGGCCAACUGUCCAUGGACGGAGUGGGUGCAGACUGUGCUAGAGAUUUUUUUCUGCAUAACUAAACGACCAAUGACAAUUGCCAAGCAUGUGAAACAUGGGACUCUGGAGACCAUAGUGAUAAGAUGCUAUUCUAUAAAUACACCAAUAGUAUACAAAUAAUUUUGAAUAUUAACCGUUGGAUAAAGCCAGUCCAAUGUUAUAUAGCUUGCAAAUUCAAGCACUAUUACUCAUUUGUUGUCAUCUUCACUUCAUAGAUUCUAUCACAUCUACUGUCUAGAAGAUAGUAUAUCAUGGUUGAGAUUGAGUGCAAUGUACAAACCUUAAAACACAUGUAUUUCUCUUUUUUUUCAAUGUGCCAUACUUUAAUUGUUUACCAAAUCUUCUAAAUGAAUUACCAUUCCUUUUUUGCAUUUUGAAUUACAAUGUACAAACCUCAAACACACAAAACAUUUCUCACUUGUUCCAGAACCUUUCAAAUUUUAAUUACCAAAACUUUCUCUUUCAGGUGUAUUACUAUCUUUUUUUUUUACUUUGUAAUUUACUGUGCGCAAUAUGCACGAAACCUCACAUCAUAGACACUUCUCAUUUUGUUCUUCUUUCAUAUGUUAAUUCCUUAGGCGUUUUUCUUUUAAAGAAUUAUGAUAUUUUUUGUUCAAGCCUAUGACAACACGUUAGAUACUCAAAAAACUGCAAUGCGGGAUAUCUAAAGACAAAUGUGCGGGAUAUAUUUGACUUGAGUUUCCGUUAGUACCAUGCCAUGAAGUUUUUUGAUAUUCUUUACCUAUGGUUUGAUUUGUUUAUGAAUGAACUACGGGAAUUAAAUCAACAUCAACGGCAUGCAUAUACAAAACUCACAUGUUUACCUGUUAUAAUAUGGUCAUUCAUACUUUGGUUAUCUAAACUCCUACUUGCAAUGCAUUGUACUUUAUUAGUACAUUCAGUGGUUAUGCGCCAAACUACACAUGCACACACACAGGAUGCGUCUCUCAGGUGGCUAUAUGAGCGAUCUUAAUCCUCUGCUUUUUCGAUGAACGCGGCCAAGGUAAACGUUAGGGAUAACAUGCUAAGACUAGACCUGAAGCAAAACAUGUCAAAUUGAAUGUUGGUGCAGCUCAUCAUGAAGAUGAAGGUUUUGGUACAACCGCGUGGUUCAUUACAUUUGGCUAAUUCUCUGGGGAAUCAUUUGUUGCAGAUAGCACUAGAUUCAAUGGUCGUGAUCAAUUUAUAUACUGGACAGCCUCUGCAUGGAUUGUAUACAUGAAUACAAUGAUCGUGAAGGUCGAUUUUAUACAUUAUUAAAGAGUAGUGAAUGGUGUGGCUCAUGAACUAUGUAGGUCUUGUUUUCGUGACAAAAAAGCAUGUAAUUGGAUCAAUGAAUCUCCUGGUUUUGGGUUUGAGUAAACUUGAUAUAACAAUGAUUUAAUAUUAAUAAAGAUAGCUUUGAUGAGAACUUCUUUCCAAAGCUAGCUGGGCUCAAGGAAGCCCAUGGGGGUGCGUCAUUUUUUGCUGCUCGCUAUAAGACAAAUAGACAUGUCCCGAUCGCCAGGAGCAACUAAAGAGAGGUUACCCCCUGGGGGCGGGGGGCUCCAUAGACCAUGGGUCAUUUUUGGUGGCCUAGGAGUGCGCCAAGUGGUGUGUCCAGCUGCCGCCAUAUGUCGUGUGUUGUGUGCUCCCUCUAAUUUUUUUUAUGCUUGUUUGGGGUUUAGAUCAAAAUUUUCCUAUUUUUUGCCUGAUUUUCCCUAGAUUUUGGAGCUAUGUUUUUUCUACGGAACAUAGCUGUGCUUCUCAAAAAGAAAAAAAUAUAUGCUUCCACGAGAAGCGUAGAUUUGCUUCUAUUGGAAGUACAAAUUUGCUUUCGUGAAAAGUACAAGGACAUGCUUCUCAAUAAGAGGAAAAAAAAAGCUUCCACAAGAAACACAUAUUUGCUUUCACGAGAAACACUUCCCAAAAAGGAAAAAAAUGUGCUUCAAUGAAAAGCACAAAUUUGCUUCCGUGAGAAGCAUAACUUUGCUUCUCGGAAAAAAAAAUCUGUUUCUCAAAAAAAAAGGAUGGAAAAGUGCAAUCAUCUGUUUCUGAAACAUAUUUAGUUGAUCCCCACUACUUCAAUCUAUCUUAACAUGCACACUUGCCACAUCAUCAACUCCACUACGUUUAUUUCCCUUAAUGUGCAUGCAUGAAAAUGCAACCUAUGAUAAUUCUUUCACUCUAAAAAAAGAUAAUUAUUUCAACAUGCACACAUCCCAUUUUAUCAACACCGCUACUUUGAUUUCUCUCAACAUGCGUGAGAAAUACUGCUUAAUAAUUAUUUUAUAACUACAUAAUGAUCAAAUACAACAAAUCAUGUGUACUUUCUAUCUUUAAUCUCAUCUUUAAAUUCAAGACAAGCAAAUCUAAUCAAAAAAAAAUAUUGCUACCAAUUCCCGCAUGUUCUCACUACAACACGACGCCGGAUAUCAUCUAGUUCCAAUGAAGGCAGAGUCGUAUGAAUCUUUGUUCUGUGCAAUGCAACUAAAACAUAGCAAAAGUUUCCCGGUCAUCAGAAGUGAAUGUAACCAUUUAACAUGAAUAUAUAGAAUCAUGUGGCAAACGUAAUAAAGCAGAUGUAAUGACUACUCAAGCGACAUGUAUUUCGGCACAGAGGGAGUAUAUAAAAAUCCAAUCAUGAAUGCAGUUUCCUCCCUCCGUCAGUUGGUCGUGGGGUCAAGGACGUGCCCCGCGAACAGGGUAGCGCCGGACAUCUUCUCGACGACGAAGAAGCCAAACGGAUGGUCAGCCACGAAGUCCACAUGCGGCGCCUCACUAGUUUUCCAAGAACAUAAUGUCACGGUCGCAACGGUGGCAGCCGCGGCCUCGGUGCCUUCCUCGUUCGCCUCGGUGCCUUCUCCAGCGCCAGCUUCCCUGCGCCGUCUUCCGCCAUGUCGGACAAGUCGGCCUUCCCCGGCUCGAACGCCUCGUUGAGGCCCAUGUCCUGGAGAACGCCCUCCAUUGUCAUGCCGAAGCUGACCUUGAAUUUAGGCAGACGGAAAUCGCUGACCAUGACGUCGCCACACGGCAGGUGCUUGCGCACAAAGUCGGGGUCGCAGGCCAUCUUGUCGGUGAGCUCCCACAGCCCGUCGCGUGCGUCGGGGAGGAAGACGCACAUGGAGUAGAUCGGCGGCGGCUGCAGCUGGCCCGGCGAGGGGUGGCCUUGCAGGUAGCGGAGCUGGAGCACCUUGAAGCCGUCGUGGCAGGCGAUGUUGUGCCAGCCCAAGCCGCGCACGAAGGGCGCGUCCACGGCGGUGCCGUCGAGGCGGUGGAACUUGUCGUCCUUGGUGAGCUCCUUGUCGAACGGCUUCUCCCACCUGCCCCUGAAGUAGAUGGCGUUGGCGAGCACCAGGACGGUGCGGCUGGACAGCGCGUCGGGGCUGAGGAUGGAGGGGAUGAGGUCGUUCGUCGCAGCCGCCACCCAUGCGUUGAUCUGCUACGUUGCCUCCUCCGGCUGCACGUACCACGACCGACGUACAUAAUGACAACCGUAUACUAGUGCAUGCAUGCCAUGCCACAGAUCGAUCACGGUCACGGCCGAUGUGCACUGCUCACCUUUUGGCGGAAGUUGACGGCGCGGGCGACGGCCUUGUACGACUCGGCGGCGGCGGCGCGGUAGGCGGGGCGGAGGGGCAUCGUCACGUCGUGCCACACGCUGCAGGCGAAGCUGACGCGCGGGCCGCCCGUCCGGGACCCGUCGGCGAGGGCGUGCUCGGCCAGCGCGCGGACGUGGCCGGCGAGGAAGUCCCGGGAAGGCGUGCCGAGGACGCGGAGUAGCUCGUCGAGGGUGCCCUCGCGGGCGCCGGCGGCCGCCAGCGCCAGCGCCGCGUAGACGCACAGCGGCGACGUGACCAGGUUGCCGCUCCUGCCGGCGUCGUCGUCGGCGAGGCGCUUGUUCAGGCCGAGGGCGAACGCCUGCAGGCCGUCGCUGGCGGCGGGGGCGUGAUCGGGCUCGGGCUCGGCCUCCGCCUCCGUGCAGAGCCAUAGGCAGCGGAGGACGAACUCCCUGACAGAUUGCAUCGUGUCCUGCGUUGACGCGCGCUUGCUGCGGCCUGGCGAUUUCUGUGCUUAUGGUCCGAAGAAAACUACUAGAGCUAGUAAUGUGGGCACCAGUGGCAUCUGAUUCGGCAGGUGCCCAACGCCCAUUGGUCCACGCAUAGACAGCAGCAGCAUUUCAAAAGGAAAAAAUUACAGCUGAAGUUGUAGAGAGUGAAGGAGUGCUGGCGCAUGAUGAUGGGCGUGGAAGACUUCGAGUGGAGCUCGCUGGUUGCGCCAACGCCAAGAGCCCAAGAUGCCUGCGGAGUGGAGCUGAGGGCAUGUGGAAUGCCAGGAACAUGGUUAACGCCAUCGCUGCUCCUCGCGUUCAAAGCUUUGGUGCCUUGCAUUGCAGGGGCCAAGUAUUUGAAUAAUGUAGUACCACAAGCGAGAGUAACGUUUUGUAAUUCGGCCUUUGGCCAAAAACUCUAAACUUUUUUCUUAAUCAAUGAAAGUGGCAAAUCUUUUGCCCAGUUUCAAAAAAGAAAAUUCCAAAAGAAAAAAAGCAUCAGAUCAAUCAAUCAGAUCACCGUAAUUAGCAAUUCAAAAAUAAACAUUGUAUCAAUCAGUCAAAGCACUGUAAUUAGCAAUCUAAAGAAAUCGCAACUCAAAAUGUUUCCAAACAAAUCGACCUGAUCCAUAGACUACGACCCUGUAAGCGAACCGUGCCACCGUCGGCGUCUCACCCCCACCAUCAGUGAUAUUCAUAUUCACUGGUAGCAAGACUGAUUAAGUAAAUCUGGAGAAGCAAAACAUAGAAUAAUAAAGAUAAAAAAAUUGAAUCAUGCGUUGCAUGUACAUAAUUACUAGCAAAAAAAUCUUCUGAAUAUUUUUUCUCCUUUUUGGUUAUUAUAUUUUGUUUCUUCCCAUUUCUGUUGUUUUUUCUUUUUUUGUUCUGUGUACAUUUUUAUACAUAAUAAAUUUCCAAUAUUUUUACAAAUACAUGAGCAUUUUGUUACAAAUGUGUGAACACCUUCUGAGUUACAUGAAUAUUUAUUUUCAAUACAUAAACUUUUUCUUAAAAAGGUUCAUUAUGUCUUGAAAAAAUGUUCUUCGCGUAUUGAAACAUUGUUAAGCGAUAUUAAUAAUUUGUCCUUCAUGUUUUACAUAAAUUAUCAACAUAAACGUGUGUAGAAAAUUUACUUGUCAUGCUUUAAAAAUGACUCCUCAAGUAUUAAAAAAAUGUUCAUCACAUACAAGAAAAUGUUUGUCGUGUGUUAAGAAAAGGGAAAAGUUUGUUUUUGCCACUCUAGUUUUUGCCUACUUUGCUUAUGCCACUCUAGAAUUUGACAUAUCACUUUUGCCACUCCUAGUUUUUGACAAUACAUCACAAAUGUCAUUCCAUGGCAAAAGCAAUAACUUCUCAUUUCACUUUUGCCACUCCUAGUUUUUGACAAUACAUCAUAAAUGUCAUUCCAUGGCAAAAGCAAUAACUUCUCAUUUCACUUUUGCCACUCUUAGAUUUUGACAAUGUAUCACAAUUGCCACUCUAAAUUUUUUGCUUUUGCCACAGAAUGGCAAUUGUGAUGUAUUGUCAAAAAUUAGGAGUGGCAAAAGUGAUAUGUCAAAUUCUAGAGUGACAUAAGCAAAGUGGUCAAAAGUUAGAGUGGCAAAAACAAAGUUUUCCCAUAAGAAAAUGUUCAUCAUAUUAUUACACUUUUGUUCUCAACUUAUUUCUGUUGUGCUUUUUUUCACUUUUGUUCUGGAACACUUAUUUUCUAUAUAAAAGUUCCAAAUACUUUUACAAAUACAUGAACAUUUUGUUACAAAUGUGUGAACACUUUUGAAUUACAUGAAUAUUUAUUUUUCCAUGCAUGAAAUUUUUCUUUAAAAGGUUCAGUAUGUAUUUAAAAAUUCUUCGCAUAUUGAAACAUUAUUAGGCGCAUAUUAAUAUUUUUUUCCUUUCAUGUUCUACAAAAAGUUCCAACAUAAAUGUGUAUCAAAUAUUAUUUACCAAGUUUUAAAAAAGACUCCACAAGUAUUAAAAAAUGUUCAUCACAUACAAGAAAAUGUUUGUCACGUGUUAAGAAAUGUUUAUCAUAUUAUUUCCAAGAGGUUGAUGUGAUUGGUAAAUAAAUGUUUAUCAAAUCCUGCCAGUGAUUUAUUAUCCAGCUAAAUAAUUUUUAGGAUUUUAUUUGGUAAUCAUUUUUUUGUAAGAAAAUAAAAUUAAGCACGAAACUAAAAAAUAAAAAUUAAAAAACAUGAGAAACAAACAAACACGAAAUGAGAGAACCGCAUGGAAAACUAGACCGGAGAACCAGAAAAGCCGUGCAGUGGUUUCUUUGUGGGCCUGCCCAAUAAACCUUCGUUGAAGGCGACGCGAUUUUCUGGCUCCUCUAGGCACCGCCGCUUCCCUCUUUUUUUCGAUGAUCAGGGGCUCCCNNNNNNNNNNNNNNNNNNNNNNNNNNNNNNNNNNNNNNNNNNNNNNNNNNNNNNNNNNNNNNNNNNNNNNNNNNNNNNNNNNNNNNNNNNNNNNNNNNNNNNNNNNNNNNNNNNNNNNNNNNNNNNNNNNNNNNNNNNNNNNNNNNNNNNNNNNNNNNNNNNNNNNNNNNNNNNNNNNNNNNNNNNNNNNNNNNNNNNNNNNNNNNNNNNNNNNNNNNNNNNNNNNNNNNNNNNNNNNNNNNNNNNNNNNNNNNNNNNNNNNNNNNNNNNGAAAGCGAAGCCCAACACAGGUCUUUUACACGGCACAUGCCAGAAUUCACACACACACCGACCCAAAGCAAAAUCACAUUAACCAAACUACUACGACAGACUCCUCGACGCAUACCAAAACCAUCCACAUCUGGGGCACAACAGCGACAACUUGGACAGAGGAAAACAUCAGAAAACCAGAGAAGACAACAUCAAUAGCAUCAGCUUCCUCCGGAUGCAUCUUUUGGUAUUCCAGCGACGUCCUGCCCCCAUGUCCAGCUUCACUUACCGUUGCCCUCCACGAUCCGCAUCCAACACCGUGCAUCUCCCGAUCCACCUAGUUCUAGCGCAAAUGGUACUUUUAAGAUCCCCCACAGCUCUUUCUGAAAUUUGUCCAACAGGCCUCCUGGCAGAUCCUUGGAUAUCUUGGUCCAGGCUCUCAGGUACCCAAAGAUUGGUCCCAGGACCUGUUUCAUAGAUAUCCGUGAGCAUCUAUUAAAAAUAAUAGCAUUUCUAGCAUUCCACAGCCCCCACAGGACUGCAGAAGAGACAAAGUUAAAAUGAAGAUUCUUCUUGUUACAUAACCAACGUCUAGCAAUCGACUCAAAAUAUAUCACAUCUAUCUGGAAUAUCUUCCUAACAAUAUUGCAGACAUUCCUAGCUACCACACACUCAAAGAAUAAGUGAUAAACUGACUCUAUCUCCUUACAGUGCACGCACUCUAAAGGUUUUGCCAUCCCUCUUCUUCUUAGAUUAUCACAAGUCAUGAUUUUGUUCUGUGAAAAUAACCACAGGAACCCUUGAAUUUUUGGGGGCACUUUGAUAUUCCAAACAGCAGGAAGGAAUAUUGGUUGCAUCCCUCUAAAAUUGACAAUACCGUAUAGGGACUUGGAAGAAUAAACCCCGUUCGACUCAUAAUGCCAGAUAAGGUUAUCCUCCUCCCCAUCUAAAUGAAUCGACUCUACUAUACUACACAGAUCCAACCAUUGCCCCAUAAGGUCAUCAGAGAAAGUUCUUCUGAAAGUACACUUAAGCUCAACACCGUCCCACAGAUCGGCAAGAGUUUUGUUCUUUUCCUGAACCAAGAAAUACAGAUCCCAAAACUGGGUAGCCAGAGGAGCAUUUCCAUGCCAAAUGUCCUCCCAGAACCUAACUGAUCUCCCAUUCCCUAUCUUCCACUUAUAACCAAACUUCACAGCCUGUAAAGCCCACAAGAAGCUUUUCCAAAAUUGUGAUGGAUGAUUAUCAUGGCAACAUAAGAUAUUGGGAUUUCUAGUAUUGUAUUUACUAUCUACUACUUUUUUCCACAAGGACCCCUCUCCUGCAAUAUAUCUCUUAACCCAUGCACCAAUCAGGCACAAGUUCAUGUCUUGCAGAUUCAGGACCCCCCAUACCCCCAUAUUCUUUCUUCAUACAAAUAAACCCCCAAUUAGCUAGAUGAAUCUUAUGAACCCCUUCACUAUCACUCCAGAGGCAGUUUGCCAUGUGAGCAUUAAUCAGUUUAAGAGCCCACUUAGGAAACUUAAAAAAGGAUAAUAGGUAUAAAGGAAUGCUAGCUAGACAUGCUUUAAUCAGGGUGAUCUUUCCUAAAUAUGACAGUAAUUUCCCUCUCCAUCCUGCAAUCCUAGCUAGAAUCUUAUCUAUCAAAUAUUGCAGAUUUUCUCUACCCAGCCUAUUAUAAUGAAGAGGAAUACCUAGAUAUUUAAUUGGAAAUCCCCCCACAACACAUUGAAAGAUUUGGAUAAAGCUCUCCAUGUUAAUAGGGACUAAGGCACUCUUAUGGUAAUUGAUUCUCAUCCCAGAAACCUGCUCAAAGCAGGUUAAAAUCCACUUCAAAUUAAGCGCUACUCUCUCAUCAUUUUCCAAGAACAAAAGAGUAUCAUCCGCGUAUUGCAAGCACAUGACACCCCCUAACAAGUUUAGGGCAUAAACCCUUUACCAAUCCAGCCUGUGUUCCUUUCACCAGCAUCCUAGAGAACACAUCUACAACCAAAUUAAAGAGAAGAGGGGAUAUUGGAUCCCCCUGUCGAAGGCCUUUUCCAGUGAGGAAAAAGUCACUCUCUUCUCCAUUUAAUUUGACUCCCACAGAGCCAUUUUCAGUUAAACUUCUGAUCUAGCCCAGCCACCUUGGCCCAAAACCCCUAAGAGCUAGGAUCUCAUACAGAAAAUCUAAGUUCACUUUAUCAUAGGCUUUUUCAUAAUCAAUCUUAAACAUCAGGCCUUUCCUACCAGUAGAAUGCACCUUAUGCACUAUCUCAUGAGCUGUAACCACACUCUCUAAAAUGAAUCUGCCCCUCACAAAAGCAGACUGAGCUUCAGAGAUCAGUCUACCAAUUAUGAGAGCCAACCUAUUUAGUCACCACCUUAGUGAAAAUCUUAAAAGAGCAGUUUAGUAAACUAAUAGGUGACGCCUAAACUUAUUCAUAGUCCUAGCCUCAUUCUCCUUACGAAUCAAGGUAAUCAUAGCAAACUUAAGCCUAAAUAUAUCUAGGUUUCCCUCAAACCAGGCAUCAAACAUCUUAAUCAAAUCCUCUUUAAUUACAUCCCAGAAUUCCUGAUAAAACAUAAAAGGUAGACCAUCCAGUCCAGGUGCUCCAUCAGAGUAUGAACUAAACACAACAAUUCUAAUUUCCUCUUCAGUAAAUCUAGCCUCUAGUCUAGCAUUCUCCUCUACAGUAACUUUUUCCCCUUCAGUGAAAAAGUCAGUUUUCAACCUAAUAUUAGGUCUAGGUUCCCAUUUGAAUAGUUCUUUAUAAUAAUUCACAGCAAUCUUACUCAUCUCAUCAUUAUCUGUAACUGGGCCAUCAUCCCCAUCUAACACAUGGAUCAACUUCUUCCUCCUCCUUUGGUUAGCCACUGCUUGAAAAUAAGCAGUGUUCCUAUCUCGUUCCACUAUGUCUCUAUCCCUGGAAUGUUGCCUCGCUUUAAUCUCCUCAACAAGCCACAACUCAUUGAGUUCUUUAAGGAUGUCAUUCAUCCUAUUGUGUUCAUCUGCAGACAACUCUCCAGUUUCUGCUUUGACAUCCAAGAAAUCAUACUCAGACAUAAGCUCUUUCUUAUUCUUUCUAAGCAAAGCUUCUAUAUUUCUACUCCAACCACUAGCCAACCUCCUAAAGGUUCUCACCUUAUGUUGCCACACAUCAACAGUGUUGCAAGAGUUACAUCCACCAGCCCAAGCUUUGUGAACCAGAUCUUUAAAAUCAGGUCUUGUAAACCACCACUUUUCAAACUUAAAACUACUUUUUCUACUCCUCUGCUCCACCCCAGACUCCCAAACUACUGGAGUAUGGUCACUACCAACCCUAGGUAACACUCUGGAACUAGCCAUAGGGAAGGAGGCAUCAAAAUCUAUGGUACAGAAGAUCCUAUCAAUCUUAGACAUAAUCAUAUUUUCCUGAUUAUUACCCCAAGUAUAAUUCCUGCCAGACAUAUCAAUCUCCAACAGAGACCACAUGUCUACCCAGGCAUUAAACCUAUCUGCCCACCUAAAAUCUACAUUACCAUUACUUUUGUCCUCCUGGAAUCUCACCAGGUUAAAAUCUCCUCCCACAAUAGUAGGGCCAUCCCAAUUUAAAAAAAGGGAGUGAAGCUCCGAGAGGAAAUCUUGUUUCUUAUCAUCAUAAGUGGGACCAUAGACAGUAGUAAUUCUAGAAACUAGAUUAGUAACUUUAUCUUUCACCACCACACUAACAGAAAAAGAUUUAAUCUCCCAACUAACCACUUCAAAACAAUCAACAUCCACACCCACCAGAAUGCCUCCAGCAGAUCCAGUAGAAGGGAGAUGAUUCCAACUAAAGUUUCUAUUGCCCAUUAAAUUUUUGAGAUAAUUCUUAGAGAAGUCCUGCUGCUUAGUUUCCUGAAAACCAAUAAUGCCAGGUUUCAGAGGCCAAAUUGAAUCCUCAAUACAUUUUUUUCUUCCAGGGGCCAAAAUUCCCCUGAUGUUCCAGAAAAUGUAUUUCAUUGGAAACGCUUAUUGGGAUGCUUGCCCCAUCUAUUCGAUAUAACCGGGGACCAACCCCCCAUCUCUUCCUCCCACUCAGUUCUACCAGAGCUAACAACUUCAAGCCUACUAUUAACAAUAAAACCAUCACUACUACUGACACCAUGAUCUAUAUCCUUCAAAUUUUCAUUAAUUUGGACUCCCACAGAGUCAGUCAUAUCUAGAAUCUCAUCUACAGGAAGCACAUUAAAAGGAUUGGAUGAAGAUAUACCUUUCAUAGUUUUGGGCAGUUCCAGAUUCUUCCUCAUCUUGAAUAGCUUAGCUUUCUCCACAAUAUUCUGUGAACUAUCCACCCUUGCACUUUUCCUUGCUGCUUGUACUGGACCCCAGGUCUUCUGUUUUUUCCCUGUUUUCCCUUUCUCUCCAGCACCCUGUGGUAUGGACUUCUCCUUAGCUGCCACCAGAUCACCAAAGUCAGGCAUAAUAUCAUCUGGCAGUACCCUUUCUGCCUCAUGUUGUACCUCAGUGCUCUCCAUGAUUGAUACGUCCAUUUUGCAUCAUGCUUUUAUAUCGAUGUUUAUUGCAUUAUGGGCUAUUAUUUCACAUUAUGUCACAAUACUUAUGGCUAUUCUCUCUUAUUUUACAAGGUUUACAUAAGGAGUGAGAAUGCCGGCAGCUGGAAUUCUGGGCUGGAAAAGGAGCAAAUAUUAGAGACCUAUUAUGCACAACUCCAAAAGUCCUGAAACUCCAUGGAACAUCUUAUAAUAAAUAAUGAAAAAUCCUCGCCAAAGAUGAAGACCAUGGGGCCCACAUCCUUCUCACGAGGGUGGGGGGCGCCCCCUAGGGCACGCCCCCUGCCUCAUGGGCCCCCUGGUGGCUCUCCGAUGGCCAUCUUCUCCUAUAUGAAGUCUUUCGUCGAGAAAAAAAAUAAGAAGCAAUCUUUCGGGAAGAAACUCCGCCGCCACGAGGCGGAACCUUGGCGGAUCCAAUCUAGAGCUCCGGCGGAGCUGUUCUGCCGGGGAAACUUCCCUCCCGGAGGAGGAAAUCAUCGCCAUCAUCAUCACCAACGCUCCUCUCAUCGGGAGAUGGCAAUCUCCAUCAACAUCUUCAUCAGCACCAUCUCAUCUCAAAACCCUAGUUCAUCUCUUGUAUCCAAUUCUUGUCUCCAAGUCCGGGAUUGGUGCUAGUAGGUUGCUAGUAGUGUUAAUUACUCCUUGUAGUUUAUGCUAGUUGGUUUAAUUGGUGAAGAUCAUAUGUUCAGAUCCUUUAUGCAUAUUAAUACCCCUCUGAUUAUGAACAUGUUUAUGCUUUGUGAGUAGUUACGUUUGUUCCUGAGGACAAGGGAGAAGUCUUCCUAUUAGUAGUCAUGUGAAUUUGGUAUUCGUUCGAUAUUUUGAUGAGAUGCAUGUUGUCUAGCCUCUAGUGGUGUUAUGUGAACGUCGACUACAUAACACUUCACCAUUAUUUGGGCCUAGAGGAAGGCAUUGGGAAGUAAUAAGUAGAUGAUGGGUUGCUAGAGGGACAGAAGCUUAAACCCUAGUUUAUGCAUUGCUUCAUAAGGGGCUGAUUUGGAUCCAUAUGUUCCAUGCUAUGGUUAGGUUUACCUUAAUAAUUUUGUUGUAGUUGCGGAUGCUUGCAAUAGAGGUUAAUCAUAAGUGGGAUUCUUGUUCAAGUAAGAACAACACCCAAGCACGGGUCCACCCACAUGUCAAAUUAUCAAAGUACCGAACGCGAAUCAUAUGAACGUGAUGAAAACUAGCUUGACGAUAUUCCCAUGUGUCCUUGGGAGCGCUUUUCCUUAUAUAAGAGUUUGUCCAGGCUUGUCCUUUGCUACAAAAUGGAUUGGGCCACCUUGCCGCACUUUAUUUACUUUUGUUACUUGUUGCUCGUUACAAAUUAUCUUAUCAGAAAACUAUUUGUUACCACUUAUUUCAGUACUUGUAGAGAAUACCUUGCUGAAAACCGUUUAUCAUUUCCUUCUGCUCCUCGUUGGGUUCGACACUCUUACUUAUCGAAAGGACUACGAUAUAUCCCCUAUACUUGUGGGUCAUCAAGACUCUUUUCUGGCGCCAUUGCCGGGGAGUGAAGCGCCUUUGGUAGGUGGAAUUUGGUAAGGAAAAAUUAUAUAUUGUGCUGAAAUUUACUGUCACUUGUUACUAUGGAAAGUAAUCCUCUGAGGGGCUUGUUCGGGGUAUCUUCACCCCGACCAGUAGAGCAAAGAGUUGCUCCUCAACCUACUGAACCUAUUGAAAAUGAAUAUGAAAAUGAAAUUCCUUAUGAGUAUCCUUCGGGUAUGAUAGAAAAACUGCUAGCUAAUCCUCUUACAGGAGAUGGAAAAAAGCAUCCUGAUGAACACCUAAUAUAUGUGGAUGGAGUUUGUGGAUUAUUUAAGCUUGCAGGUAUACCCGAUGAUGUUGCUAAGAAGAAGGUCUUCCCUUUAUCUUUGAAGUGAGACGCGUUGGUAUGGUAUAGGCUAUGUGAUGAUACGAGAUCAUGGAAUUAUUGAAGAUUGAAAUUGGAAUUUCAUCAAAAGGAUUACCCUAUGCAUCUUGUUCAUCGUGAUCGUAAUUAUAUAUAUAAUUUUUGGCCUCGCGAAGGAGAAAGCAUCUCUCAAGCUUGGGGGAGGCUUAAAUUAAUGUUAUAUUCAUACCCCAACCAUGAGCUUCCAAGAGAAACAAUUCUUCAAAAAAUGUAUGCUCGACUUUCUGAUAACAAUCGCACCAUGCUUGAUACUUCUUGUGCUGGCUCUUUUAUGAUGAAGACUAUUGGAUUUAAAUGGAAUUUAUUGGAUAGAAUUAAACGCAACUCUGAAGAUUGGGACCUCAACAAUGGUAAGGAGUCAGGUAUGACACCUAAGUUUGAUUGUGUUAAAUAUUUUAUGGAUACCGAUAUUUUCCAUAAGUUUAGCACUAAAUAUGGACUUGAUUCUGAGAUAGUAGCUUCUUUCUGUGAAUCUUUUGCUACUUAUGUUGAUCUCCCUAAGGAGAAGUGGUUUAAAUAUCAUCCUCCCAUAGAAGUAAAAGUAGCUGCACCUAUUAAAGUUGAAGAAAAGACUAUUACUUAUAAUGAUCCUAUUGUUCCUCCUUCUUAUGUUGAGAAACCACCUUUCCCUGUUAGAAUAAAAGAUCAUGAUAAAGCUUCAACUGUGGUUCGUAAAAGCAAUAUUAAAACAUAUACACCUCCUGAGCAAGUUAAAGUUGAACCUAAUAUUGCUAUUGUUAAAGAGCUCUUGUCUGAUAAUAUUGAUGGGCAUGUUAUUCAGUUCUGCGGUGAAACUGCUAGAAUUGCUAAACCUUGUGCUAAAGAUAAACAUAGACCUGUGGUAGGCAUGCCUGUUAUUUCUGUUAAAAUAGGAGAUCAUUGUUAUCAUGGCUUAUGUGAUAUGGGUGCUAGUGCUAGUGUUAUACCUUAUGACUUGUAUAAAGAAAUCAAGCAUGAAAUUGCACCUGCUGAGUUAGAAGAUAUUGAUGUCACAAUUAAACUUGCUAAUAGAGAUACUAUUUCAGCAAUGGGAAUUGUUAGAGAUGUUGAAGUCUUGUGCGGGAAAACUAAAUAUCCUGCUGAUUUUCUUGUUCUUAGUUUCCCACAAGAUAGCUUUUGUCCCAUUAUAUUUGGUAGACCCUUCUUGAAUACAGUUAAUGCUAGGAUAGACUGUGAAAAGAAUGUUGUUACUAUUGGCUUAGACGACAUGACUCAUGAAUUGAUUUCUCUAAAUUUAGUAAACAACACCGUGAAGAAGAAUUACCUAGUAAAGAUGAAGUUAUUGGUCUUGCUUGUAUUGCCGUACCUCCUAGUAAUCCUUUAGAGCAAUAUUUGCUAGACCAUGAAAAUGAUAUGUUUAUGAAUGAAACAAGGGAAAUAGAUGAAGUAUUCUUUAAACAAGAACCUAUGCUAAAACAAAAUUUGCCAGUUGAAAUCCUAGGGGAUCCUCCUCCACCUAAGGGUGAUCCCGUGUUUGAGCUUAAACCGUUGCCUGAUAAUCUUAAAUAUGCUUAUCUUGAUGAAAAGAAGAUAUAUCCUAUUAUUAUUAGUGCUAACCUUUCAGAGCAUGAAGAAGAAAGAUUAUUGAAAACUCUGAAGAAGCAAUGUGCUGCUAUUGGAUAUACUCUUGAUGAUCUUAAGGGAAUUAGUCCCACUCUAUGUCAACAUAAAAUAAAUUUGGAAGCAGAUGCCAAACCAGUUCGUGAUCCUCAACGACGUCUGAAUCCUAAAAUGAAAGAAGUGGUAAGAAAAGAAAUACUAAAGCUUCUAGAGGCAGGUUAUCCUGUUGCUGAUAGUCAGUGGGUAAGUCAUGUUCAUUGUAUCCCUAAGAAGGGAGGUAUUACUGUUGUUCCUAAUGAUAAAGAUGAAUUGAUUCCACAAAGAAUUAUUACCGGUUAUAGGAUGGUAAUUGAUUUCCGCAAAUUAAAUAAGGCUAUUAAGAAAGAUCAUUACCCCUUACCUUUUAUCGAUCAAAUGCUAGAAAGAUUAUGCAAACAUACACAUUACUGCUUUCUAGAUGGUUAUUCUGGUUUCUCUCAAAUACCUGUGUCGGCUAAAGAUAAAUCAAAGACUACUUUUACAUGCCCUUUUGGUACUUUUGCUUAUAGACGUAUGCCUUUUGGUUUAUGUAAUGCACCUGCUACCUUUCAAAGAUGCAUGAUGGCUAUAUUCUCUGACUUUUGUGAAAAGAUUUGUGAGGUUUUCAUGGACGACUUUUCCGUCUAUGGAUCCUCUUUUGAUGAUUGCUUGAGCAAUCUUGAUCGAGUUUUGCAGAGAUGUGAAGAAACUAAUCUUGUCUUGAAUUUUGAAAGGUGCCACUUUAUGGUUAAUGGAGGUAUUGUCUUGGGGCAUAAAGUUUCUGAAAGAGGUAUUGAAGUUGAUAAAGCCAAGGUUGAUGCUAUUAAAAAGAUGCCAUGUCCCAAGGACAUCAAAGGUAUAAGAAGUUUCCUUGGUCAUGCCGGAUUUUAUAGGAGGUUCAUUAAGGACUUCUCAAAAAUUUCUCGGCCUCUGACUAAUUUAUUACAAAAAGAUGUACCGUUUGUCUUUGAUGAUGAUUGCGUAGAAGCAUUUGAAAUACUUAAGAAAGCAUUAGUCUCUACACCUAUUGUUCAGCCACCUGAUUGGAAUUUACCCUUUGAAAUUAUGUGUGAUGCUAGUGAUUAUGUUGUAGGUGUUGUUCUAGGACAAAGAGUUGAUAAGAAAUUAAAUGUUAUCCAUUAUGCUAGUAAGACUCUAGACAAUACUCAAAGAAAUUAUGCUACUACUGAAAAAGAACUUUUAGCAGUUGUAUUUGCUUGUGAUAAUUUUAGACCUUAUAUUGUUGAUUCUAAAGUAACUAUCCACACUGAUCAUGCUGCUAUUAAAUAUCUUAUGGAGAAGAAAGAUGCUAAACCUAGACUUAUUAGAUGGGUUCUCUUGCUACAAGAAUUUGAUUUGCAUAUUGUUGAUAGAAAAGGAGCUGAGAACCCCGUUGCAGACAACUUAUCUAGGUUAGAGAAUGUUCUUGAUGACCCACUACCUAUUGAUGAUAGCUUUCCUGAUGAACAAUUAAAUGUCAUAAGUACUUCUCGUAGUACCCCUUGGUAUGCUGAUUAUGCUAAUUACAUAGUUGCUAAAUUUAUACCACCUAGCUUCACAUACCAACAAAAGAAAAAGUUCUUCUAUGAUUUGAGACAUUACUUUUGGGAUGACCCACAUCUUUAUAAAGAAGGAGUAGAUGGUGUUAUUAGAUGUUGUGUAUCUAAGCAUGAACAGGAACAGAUCCUACGCAAGUGCCACUCCGAAACUUAUGGAGGACACCACGCGGGAGAUAGAACUGCACAUAAGGUAUUGCAAUCCGGUUUUUAUUGGCCUACUCUCUUCAAGGAUGCCCGUAAGUUUGUCCUAUCUUGUGAUGAAUGUCAAAGAAUUGGUAAUAUUAGUAGACGUCAAGAAAUGCCUAUGAAUUAUUCACUUGUUAUUGAACCAUUUGAUGUUUGGGGCUUUGAUUAUAAGGGACCUUUUCCUGCCUCUAAUGGAUAUACACAUAUUUUAGUUGAUGUUGAUUACGUUACUAAGUGGGUAGAAGCUAUUCCAACUAGUAGUGCUGAUCAUAACACUUCUAUUAAAAUGCUUAAAGAAGUUAUUUUUCCGAGGUUUGGAGUCCCUAGAUAUUUCAUGACUGAUGGUGGUUCACAUUUUAUUCAUGGUGCUUUCCAUAAAAUGCUUGCUAAAUAUGACGUCAAUCAUAGAAUUGCAUCUCCGUAUCACCCACAGUCUAGUGGUCAAGUAGAAUUGAGUAAUAGAGAACUCAAAUUAAUUUUGCAAAAGACUGUCAAUAGGUCUAGAAAGAAUUGGUCCAAGAAACUUGAUGAUGCAUUAUGGGCCUAUAGAACUACAUAUAAAAAUCCUAUGAGUAUGUCUCCAUAUAAAAUGGUAUAUGGAAAAGCAUGUCACUUACCUCUCAAACUAGAACAUAAGGCAUAUUGGGCUAUUAAAGAGCUCAACUAUGAUUUCAAACUUGCCGGUGAAAAGAGGUUAUUUGAUAUUAGCUCACUUGAUGAAUGGAGAACCCAAGCUUAUGAAAAUGCCAAGUUGUUUAAAGAAAAGGUUAAAAGAUGGCAUGACAAAAGGAUACAAAAGCGUGAGUUUAAUGUAGGUGAUUAUGUAUUGCUAUACAACUCUCGUUUAAGAUUUUUUGCAGGGAAACUUCUCUCUAAAUGAGAAGGCCCCUAUGUUAUCGAGGAGGUCUAUCAUUCCGGUGCCAUAAAAAUCAACAACUUCGAAGGCACAAAUCCGAAGGUGGUAAACGGUCAAAGAAUGAAACAAUAUAUCUCAGGUAAUCCCAUAAAUGUUGAAACCAAUAUUAUUGAAACCGUAACCCCGGAGGAAUACAUAAGGGACACUUUCUAGAACGUUUCAGACUCCGAAAAGGAAUAGGUAUGUGGUACGGUAAGUAAACCGACUCCAAAACAAUUUUUAAGGAAAUAUUUCUCCGUUUUGGAAUAUUUAGAAAAAUAGAAAAUUAAGUAGCAGUCAGGGAAGGACACGAGGGCCUCACGAGGGUGGAGGGUGCGCCCUACCCCCCUGGGCGCGCGCCCCUACCUCGUGAGCUCCUCUUGUGCCUUCCAGACUCUGUUUUCUUGCACGAUACGUAUUUUGGUCGGUAAAAAUUCAUUAUAUAAUCUCCCAGGGGUUUUGACUCCCGUAUCACGCAAAAAUCCUCUGUUUUUGUUUUGAGCUGUUGCUGCUGCAGAUUAGAGCAAGAUGUCUUCUCAAGAGUCAGUCGGGGAGAGCCGAGUAUCUAAUCCGGCACCGGAACCAAGGGCAAACAGCGACCCUGACCACUUUGGGCCAGCAACGGAGGAAGAGAUGGAGGCUGACCUAAUGAGGGUAGAUGCCAUGGAGGAUCAAGAAGUCACCUCUCGCUUCCAAGCUGGAUUCACAAUGGGAGAACUGCAGAGCUCAGCUAUUCCAAACUCGGUUAUCCCUUCCAAUGUUAGAUUUCUUUCUUAUGAGAAUAUGAAAAAGAGUGUUACUGGUUCUCCCGCAGCUAUGCAGCACCCUUGGGUGCAGGGAGCUUUGGCUGUUACAGGAAAACUCCGAAAGGAAAUAAUGGAUCUCAAGUAGCAAGUCAACAAGCUUGAGGAGGAGAAUCGUAUUUUGAAGGGCAUCAUCGCCAAAAACAUCACAUCACCAUCCCCGAAAAGAGAGACAUAAUCACAUGGGUAUGGGCACUCCCCUUGGCAACCGCCAAGCUUGGGGGAGGUGCCCCGGUAUCGUAUCACAAUCACAACUCCUAUCUUUACUAUUUUCCUUAGUUCGAUCCUAUUAGUAGUAUUUUGAUCUAGUAGAAUAAAGUUUAUGGCAUGAUUUAGUUGUGAGUUUUGCUUUAUUACCCUUCUAUGUAAUCGAGUCCGUGAGCUAUAUAAUAAAGAUUAGUGUUGAGUAAAGGGCUUGAUUAUUUUGCCAUGAUCCUAAGUGAAUAAAAGAAAAGAGAAAGAAAUAAAAAGAAACAAAGAGAUCAUAUGGAUCUCAUGGAGAGUAAUGAGCUAACAUAGAAAAAGUAUGAUGAGUAAAAGUUGUUGAGAGUUGACAAGCAUAGUUUUGGUCAUCGUUAUAAUUAAUAGGAAGUAAUAAAGAAAGAGCGGUCUUCACAUAUAGAUAUACUAUCUUGGGCAUCUUUUAUGAUUGUGAGCACUCAUUAUAAUAUGACAUGCUAAAGAGUUGACAUUGGACAAGGAAGACAACGUAAUGGGUUAUGUUUUCUUACACCUGAGAUAAAUUAUAUUGUCUUGGAUCCUCCAACAUGUUGAGCUUGCCUUUCCCCCUCAUGCUAGCCAAAUUCUCAGCACCAAGUAGAGAUACUAUGUUUGCUUCCAAAUACCCUUAAACCAGUUUUGCCAUGAGAGUCCACCAUAUCUACCUAUGGAUUGAAUAAGAUCCUUCAAGUAAGUUGUCAUCGGUGCAAAGUAAUAAAAAUUGCUCUCUAAAUAUGUAUGAUUGAUUGGUGUGGGAGAAAUAAGCUUUAUACGAUCUUGUGAUGUGGAAGUAAUAAAAGCGACGGACUGCAUAAUAAAUGUUCAUAUCACAAGGGGCAAUAUAAAGUGACGUUCUUUCGCAUUAAGAUUUUCUGCAUCCCACCAUAAAAGCGCAUGGCAACCUCUGCUUCCCUCUGCGAAGGGCCUAUAUUUUAUCAUUAUCUUCUACCUUAUGCAAGAGUCAUGGUGAUUUUCACCCUUCCUUUUUACACUUUAUCAUUUGGCAAGCACAAUAUGUUGGAAAGUGAUACGUCUCCAACGUAUCUAUAAUUUUGAUUGCUCCAUGCUAUAUUAUCUACUGUUUUAGGCAAUAUUGGGCUUUAUUUUCCACUUUUAUAUUAUUUUUGGGACUAACCUAUUAACUGGAGGCCCAGCCCAGAUUUGUUGUUUUAUGCCUAUUUCAGUGUUUCGAAGAAAAUGAAUAUCAAACGGAGUCGAAACGGAACGAAAUCAACUGGAGAAGUUAUUUUUGGAAUGAAAGCCACCAGAUAGACUUGGACUCCAUGUCAGGAGAUACGGGAGGUGCUCACGAGGGUGGGGGGCUCCCCCCCUAGGGCACGCCCCCUACCUCGUGGGGCCCCCGUGGCUCCUCCGACGUACUUCCUGCACCCAUAUAUAUCGUCGUACCCUCAAACUUCCAGAACGCACAAGAGAUCGGGAGUUCCGCCAGAAGCCUCCGUAGCCACCGAAAACCAAUCUAGACCCGUUCCGGCACCCUGCCGGAGGGGGCAAUCCUUCUCCGGUGGCCAUCUUCAUCAUCCCAGUGCUCUCCAUGACGAGGAGGGAGUAGUUCUCCCUCGGGGCUGAGGGUAUGUACCAGUAGCUAUGUGUUUGAUCUCUCUCUCUCUUGUGUUCUUGAGAUGAUACGAUCUUGAUGUAUCACGAGCUUUGCUAUUAUAUUUGGAUCCUAUGAUGUUUCUUCCCCCCUCUACUCUCUUGUAAUGAAUUGAGUUUCCCCUUUGAAGUUAUCUUAUCAGAUUGAGUCUUUAUAGAUUUGAGGACACUUGAUGUAUGUCUUGCCAUGGAUAUCUGUGGUGACAAUGGGAUAUCACGUGAUUCACUUGAUGUAUGUUUUGGUUAUCAACUUGCGGGUUCCGCCCAUGAACCUAUGCAUAGGGGUUGGCACACGUUUUCAUCGUGAUUCUCCGGUAGAAACUUUGGGGCACUCUUUGAGGUCCUUUGUGUUGGUUGAAUAGAUGAAUCUAAGAUUGUGUGACGCAUAUCGUAUAAUCAUACCCAUGGAUACUUGAGGUGACAUUUGAGUAUCUAGGUGACAUUAGGGUUUUGAUUGAUUUGUGUCUUAAGGUGUUAUUCUAGUAUGAACUCUAGGGCUGUUUGUGACACUUAUAGGAAUAGCCCAACGAAUUGAUUGGAAAGAAUAACUUUGAGGUGGUUUCGUACCCUACCAUAAUCUCUUUGUUCAUUCUCCACUAUUAGUGACUUUGGAGUGACUCUUUGUUGCAUGUUGAGGGAUAGUUAUGUGAUCCAAUUAUGUUAGUAUUGUUGAGAGGACUUACACUAGUGAAAGUAUGAACCCUAGGCCUUGUUUCCUAGCAUUGCAAUACCAUUUACGCUCACUUUUAUCAUUAGUUACCUUGCUGUUUUUAUAAUUUCAGAUUACAAAUACCUUUAUCUACCAUCCAUAUACCACUUGUAUCACCAUCUCUUCGCCGAACUAGUGCACCUAUACAAUUUACCAUUGUAUUGGGUGUGUUGGGGACACAAGAGACUCUUUGUUAUUUGGUUGCAGUGUUGCUUGAGAGAGACCAUCUUCAUCCUACGCCUCCUACGGAUUGAUAAACCUUAGGUCAUCCACUCGAGGGAAAUUUGCUACUGUCCUACAAACCUCUGCACUUGGAGGCCCAACAACGUCUACAAGAAGAAGGUUGUGUAGUAGACAUCAAGCUCUUUUCUAGCGCCAUUGCCGGGGAGGUUAGCGCUUGAAGGUAUAUCUUUAGAUCUUGCAAUCAAGUCUUUUAGUUUCUUGUUUUAUCACUAGUUUAGUUUAUAAAAGAAAACUACAAAAAAAUGGAAUUGUGUUUACCUCAUACACUUCAUCAUUUUAAUAUCUUUCGUGAGUACGAUGGAAAGGAAAAUUGUGCCAGAGUGUUAGAAGAAGAAUGCAUUAAAAUGUUUGGCACUAAAUAUUUGAAUGAUGAGCAUGAUUGCAAUGUUGUUAGUAUGAAUUCCUUGAAUAUCCAUGAUGCUAAUGAUAUGCAAAGCCACAAGCUUGGGGAAGCUAUGUUUGAUGAAGAUGAUAUUUUUUGUCCCCCAAGUUUUGAUGAGAAUAUUUAUUAUGAUGAAAUCAUGCCUCCUAUUUAUGAUGAUUAUAUUGAUGAAAGUGGUUUCGGAGAGGUCAUGACUUUAUUUAGUGACGAAUCCACUAUUUCGGAAGAGGUUCCAAUUGAUUAUGAGAACAAAGUUGUUAUCUAUGAUGAUUAUUGUGAUGACAUGUAUGCUAUAAAGAAUAAUGAUAUCCAUGAAACUUGUCAUCAUGAUUUUAGUUUUCAAUUGGAUUGUGCCUCGCAUGAUAAUUAUUUUGUUGAGUUUGCUCCCACUAUUAUUCAUGAAAAGAAUUUUGCUUGUGUGGAGAGUAAUAAAAUUUCUAUGCUUGUAGAUCAUGAAAAGAAUGCUUUAUGCGAUAGUUAUAUUGUUGAAAUCAUUCAUGAUGCUACUGAAAAUUAUUAUGAGGGAGGAAUAUAUGCUUGUAGGAAUUGCAAUAAUAUCAAGUUUCCUCUCUAUAUGCUUAAAGUUUUGAAGUUAUGCUUGUUUUACCUUCCUAUGCAAGUUGAUUCUUGUCCCCAUAAGUUGUUUGCUCACAAAAUCCCUAUGCAUAGGAAGUGGGUUAGACUUAAAUGUGCUAGUCAUAUUCUUCAUGAUGCUCUCUUUAUGUUACAAUUCUUAUCCUUUAUGUGAGCAUCAUUGAAAUCAUCAUGCCUAGCUAGGGGCGUUAAACGUUAGCGCUUGUUGGGAGGCAACCCAACUUUAUUUUUUGUUCCUUGAUUUUUGUUCCUGUUUAGUAAUAAAUAAUCCAUAUAGCCUCUGUUUAGAUGUGGUUUUAUGUGUUUAAUUAGUGUUUGUUCCAAGUAGAACCUUUGGGAAGACUUGGGGAAAGUCUUGUUGAUCAUGCUGUAAAAAACAGAAACUUUAGCGCUCACGAGAAUUGCUUCCAUUUUUAUUUGGAGAGUGCUAUUUAGUUAAUUAUUUUUGCAGAUGAUUAAUAGAUAAAUUCCUCAUGUCCAGAAAUUUAUUUGAGAAUUUUAUGAGUUACAUAAGUAUAUGUUUGAUUCAGAUUACUACAGACUGUUCUGUUUUUUGACAGAUUCUGUUUUUCAUGUGUUGUUUACUUAUUUUGAUGAAUCUAUGGCUAGUAAAAUAGUUUAUAAACUAUAUAGAAGUUGUAAUACAGUAGGUUUAACACCAAUAUAAAUAAAGAAUGAGUUCAUUACAGUACCUUGAAGUGGUGAUUUACUUUCUUAUACUAACGGAGCUUACGAGUUUUCUACUUUAAGUUUUGUGUUGUGAAGUUUUCAAGUUUUGGGUAAGGAUUCGAUGGACUACGGAAUAAGGAUUGGAAAGAGCCUAAGCUUGGGGAUGCCCAAGUCACCCAAAGGUAAUAUUCAAGGACAACCAAGAGCCUAAGCUUGGGGAUGCCCCGGAAGGCAUCCCCUCUUUCGUCUUCGUUCAUCGGUAACUUUACUUGGAGCUAUAUUUUUAUUCGCCACAUGAUAUGUGUUUUGCUUGGAGCAGACAUUUAUUUUGUCAGGAUUUGCAUGCUGUUAUUUAGAACAAUGUUUUGCAUCUUUUAUUUCAAUAAAAGUGGCAUUGAUAGCCUUUACUAUGCCUAUGUUACAAGUCCACAUGUUGCUGUUUGAAAACAGAAAGUUUACCGCUGUUGCAAUAAUUCCCUAGAAAAGUCAGAAUGUGAUAAAAUGUUGAAACCUUUUUCAUAUUAAGCUCUGAUAAAUUUACUACAGUGGGAAUUUUCUUUCAUAAUUUUUGGAGCUAGUGAAGUAUGGAUGUUGCUGCAUUCUUUACAGACUAUCCUGUUUAGACAGAUUGCUGUUAUGUUUGCAUUGUUUGCAUAUGUUUGCUUGUUUAAUGAUUCUAUUUGAGGAUAGGACUAUUAAAUAUGCGGAGGCAUUUAGUAUGCAAUGUUGAAUAAUAAUUUUUAGUGAUUUGCUAUAGUAGAGUAUGAUAAGGUUUUGGCAAUGGUUUAUACUAACUUAUCUCACGAGUCCUUGUUGAGUUUUGUUUGGAUGAAGCUUUUGAGAUUUAGGGAGACCGUGAUAUGAGAGGAAUUAAGGAGACACAAAAGCUAAAGAUUGGGGAUGCCCAAGGCAUCCCAAGAUAAUAUUUCAAGAAGUCUCAAGCGUCUAAGCUUGGGUAUGCCCCGGUUGGCAUCCCACCUUUCUUCUUCAACAACUAUCGGUUAGUAUCGGUUGAUCCUAAGUUUUUGCUUCUUCACAUGAUGUUUGCUAUUCUUAGAUGUAAUUUUCUUUUGAUUUGCUUGCUUUUUGAAUAAAAUACCAAGAUCUGAAAUUCUUAAAUGUUAGAGAGUCUUCACAUAGUUGCAUAACUAUUCAACUACUCAUUGAUCUUCACUUAUAUCUUUCGGAGUAGUUUGUCAUUUGCUCUAGUGCUUCACUUAUAUCUUUUAGAGCAUGGUGGUAGUUUUAUUUUGAAGAAAUAGAUGAACUCUCAUGCUUCACUUAUAUUAUUUUGAGAGUCUUAAAUAGCAUGGUAAUUUGCUUAAAAUCCUAAUAUGCUAGGUAUUCAAGAAUAAUAAAAUUCUCUUAUGAGUGUGUUGAAUACUAAGAGAAGUUUGAUACUUGAUGAUUGUUUUGAGAUAUGAGGAUGGUAAUAUUAGAGUCAUGAUAGUUGAGUAGUUGUGAAUUUGAGAAAUACUUGUGUUGAAGUUUGUGAUUCCCGUAGCAUGCACGUAUGGUGAACCGUUAUGUGAUGAAGUCGGAGCAUGAUUUAUUUAUUGAUUGCCUUCCUUAUGAGUGGCGGCCGGGGACGAGCGAUGGUCUUUUCCUACCAAUCUAUCCACCUAGGAGCAUGCACGUAAUACUUUGCUUUGAUAACUUGUAGAUUUUUGCAAUAAGUAUAUGAGUUCUUUAUGACUAAUGUUGAGUCCAUGGAUUAUACACACUCUCACCCUUCCACCUUUGCUAGCCUCUCUAGUACCGUGCAACUUUCGCCGGUACCAUAAACCCACCAUAUACCUUCCUCAAAACAGCCACCAUACCUACCUAUUAUGGCAUUUCCAUGGCCAUUCCGAGAUAUAUUGCCAUGCAACUUUCCACCAUUCUGUUUAUUAUGACACGCUUCAUCAUUGUCAUAUUGCUUUGCAUGAUCAUGUAGUUGACAUCAUAUUUGUGGCAAAGCCACCGUUCAUAAUUCUUUCAUACAUGUCACUCAUGAGUCAUUGCAUAUCCCGGUACACCGCCGGAGGCAUCCAUAUAGAGUCAUACUUUGUUCUAGUAUCAAGUUGUAAUCAUUGAGUUGUAAAUAAAUAGAAGUGUGAUGAUCAUCAUUCAAUAGAGCAUUGUCCCAAAAAAAGAAAGGCCAAAUAAAAAAUAGAAAGGCCAAAUAAAAAAAUAAAAAUAAAAGGGACAAUGCUACUAUCCUUUUCCAUACUUGUGCUUCAAAGUAGCACCAUGAUCUUUAUGAUAGAGAGUCUCUUGUUCUGUCACUUUCAUAUACUAGUGGGAAUUUUUCAUUAUAGAACUUGGCUUGUAUAUUCCAACAAUGGGCCUCCUCAAGUGCCCUAGGUCUUCGUGAGCAAGCAAGAUGGAUGCACACUCACUAGUUUCCUUUGUUGAGCUUUCAUACAUUUAUAGCUCUAGUGCAUCCGUUGCAUGGCAAUCCCUACUCACUCACAUUGAUAUCUAUUGAUAGGCAUCUCCAUAGCCCAUUGAUACGCCUAGUUGAUGUAAGACUAUCUUCUCCCUUUUUGUCUUCUCCACAACCACCACUCUAUUCCACCUAUAGUGCUAUAUCCAUGGCUCACGCUCAUGUAUUGCGUGAAGAUUGAAAAAGUUUGAGAACAUCAAAAGUAUGAAACAAUUGCUUGGCUUGUCAUCGGGGUUGUGCAUGAUUUAAAUAUUUUGUGUGGUGAAGAUGGAGCAUAGCCAGACUAUAUUAUUUUGUAGGGAUAACUUUCUUUGGCCAUGUUAUUUUGAGAAGACAUAAUUGCUUUGUUAGUAUGCUUGAAGUAUUAUUAUUUUUAUGUCAAUAUAAACUUUUGUCUUGAAUCUUUCGAAUCUGAAUAUUCAUAUCACAAUUAAGAAGAUUUGCAUUGAAAUUAUGUCAAGUAGCACUCCGCAUCAAAAAUUAUCUUUUUAUCAUUUACCUACUCAAGGACGAGCAGGAAUUAAGCUUGGGGAUGCUUGAUACGUCUCCAACGUAUCUAUAAUUUUUGAUUGCCCCAUGCUAUAUUAUCUACUGUUUUAGGCAAUAUUGGGCUUUAUUUUCCACUUUUAUAUUAUUUUUGGGACUAACCUAUUAACCAGAGGCCCAACCCAGAUUUGCUGUUUUAUGCCUAUUUCAGUGUUUCGAAGAAAAGGAAUAUCAAACGGAGUCGAAACGGAACGAAAUCAACUGGAGAAGUUAUUUUUGGAACGAAAGCCACCAAAUAGACUUGGACUCCAUGUCAGGAGAUACGGGAGGUGCUCAUGAGGGUGGGGGGCGCCCCCCUAGGGCGCGCCCCCUGCCUCGUGGGGCCCCUAUGGCUCCUCCGACGUACUUCCUGCACCCAUAUAUAUCGUCGUACCCUAAAACUUCCAGAACGCACAAGAGAUCGGGAGUUCCGCCGCCAGAAGCCUCCGUAGCCACCGAAAAACAAUCUAGACCCGUUCCGGCACCAUGCCGGAGGGGGCAAUCUUUCUCCGGUGGCCAUCUUCAUCAUCCAAGUGCUCUCCAUGACGAGGAGGGAGUAGUUCUCCCUCGGGGCUAAGGGUAUGUACCAGUAGCUAUGUGUUUGGUCUCUCUCUCUCUCGUGUUCUUGAGAUGAUACGAUCUUGAUGUAUCGCGAGCUUUGCUAUUAUAUUUGGAUCCUAUGAUGUUUCUUCCCCCCUCUACUCUCUUGUAAUGAAUUGAGUUUCCCCUUUGAAGUUAUCUUAUCGGAUUGAGUCUUUAUAGAUUUGAGAACACUUGAUGUAUGUCUUGCCGUGGAUAUCUAUGGUGACAAUGGGAUAUCACGUGAUUCACUUGAUGUAUGUUUUGGUGAUCAACUUGCGGGUUCCGCCCAUGAACCUAUGCAUAGGGGUUGGCACACGUUUUCGUCGUGAUUCUCCGGUAGAAACUUUGGGGCACUUUUUGAGGUCCUUUGUGUUGGUUGAAUAGAUGAAUCUGAGAUUGUGUGACGCAUAUCGUAUAAUCAUACCCACAGAUACUUGAGGUGACAUUUGAGUAUCUAGGUGACAUUGGGGUUUUGAUUGAUUUGUGUCUUAAGGUGUUAUUCUAGUACGAACUCUAGGGCUGUUUGUGACACUUAUAGGAAUAGCCCAACGGAUUGAUUGGAAAGAAUAACUUUGAGGUGGUUUCGUACCCUACCAUAAUCUCUUCGUUCGUUCUCCGCUAUUAGUGACUUUGGAGUGACUCUUUGUUGCAUGUUGAGGGAUAGUUAUGUGAUCCAAUUAUGUUAGUAUUGUUGAGAGGACUUACACUAGUGAAAGUAUGAACCCUAGGCCUUGUUUCCCAGCAUUGCAAUACUGUUUACGCUCACUUUUAUCAUUAGUUACCUUGCUGUUUUUAUAAUUUCAGAUUACAAAUACCUUUAUCUACCAUCCAUAUACCACUUGUAUCACCAUCUCUUCGCCGAACUAGUGCACCUAUACAAUUUACCAUUGUAUUGGGUGUGUUGGGGACACAAGAGACUCUUUGUUAUUUGGUUGCAGGGUUGCUUGAGAGAGACCAUCUUCAUCCUAUGCCUCCUACGGAUUGAUAAACCUUAGGUCAUCCACUUGAGGGAAAUUUGCUACUGUCCUACAAACCUCUGCACUUGGAGGCCCAACAACGUCUACAAGAAGAAGGUUGUGUAGUAGACAUCAGAAAGAUCCUAGUAUAUAUGGCUAAUUGGAUGUGGGUUUUCAUGAACUAUUACUGUUGACAUUACCCUUGGGAUAAAACGUUGGGAGGCAAGACUAUAAGCCCCUAUCUUUCUCUGUGUCCGAUUAAAACUCCACACCCAUAAGUAUUGCGUGAGUGUCAGCAAUCGUGAAAGAUUAUAUGAUAGUUGAGUAUGUGGACUUGCUGAAAAGCUCUUAUACAUUGACUCUUUCCUAUGUUAUGAUAAAUUGCAAUUGCUUCAAUGACCGAGAUUGUAGUUUGUUAGUUUUCAAUGAAGAUUACGAUUCAUACUUGAUAUUGUGAUUGAAUUAUUACUCUAGCAUUAGAGAUCAUAUGACAAAAAUUAUAUAAGUUGCUAUUAUAAGAAUGAUCAUGAUGCCCUCAUGUCCGAAUUUUAUUUUUAUCAACACCUUCAUCUCUAAACAUGUGGACAUAUUUUUUGAUUUCGGCUUUUCGCUUGAGGACAAGCGAGGUCUAAGCUUGGGGGAGUUGAUACGUCCAUUUUGCAUCAUGCUUUUAUAUCGAUAUUUAUUGCAUUAUGGGCUGUUAUUUCACAUUAUGUCAUAGUACUUAUGGCUAUUCUCUCUUAUUUUACAAGGUUUACAUAAGGAGGGAGAAUGCCGACAGCUGGAAUUCUGGGCUGGAAAAGGAGCAAAUAUUAGAGACCUAUUCUGCACAACUCCAAAAGUCCUGAAACUCCACGGAACACCUUAUAAUAAAUAAUGAAAAAUCCUCGCCAAAGAUGAAGACCAGGGGGCCCACACCCUUCUCACGAGGGUGGGGGCGCCCCCCUAGGGCGCGCCCCUGCCUCCUGGGCCCCCUGGUGGCUCUCCAAUGACCACCUUCUCCUAUAUGAAGUCUUUCGUCGAGAAAAAAAUAAGAAGUAACCUUUCGGGACGAAACUCCGCCGCCACGAGGCGGAACCUUGGCGGAUCCAAUCUAGAGCUCCGGCAGAGCUGUUCUGCCAGGGAAACUUCCCUCCAGGAGGGGGAAAUCAUCGCCAUCGUCAUCACCAAUGCUCCUCUCAUCGGGAGAGGGCAAUCUCCAUCAACAUCUUCAUCAGCACCAUCUCAUCUCAAAAUCCUAGUUCAUAUCUUGUAUCUAAUUCUUGUCUCCAAGUCCAGGAUUGGUGCUAGUAGGUUGCUGGUAGUGUUAAUUACUCCUUGUAGUUGAUGCUAGUUGGUUUAAUUGGUGGGAGAUCAUAUGUUCAGAUCCUUUAUGCAUAUUAAUACCCCUCUGAUUAUGAACAUGUUUAUGCUUUGUGAGUAGUUAUGUUUGUUCUUGAGGACAAGGGAUAAGUCUUGCUAUUAGUAGUCAUGUGAAUUUGGUAUUUGUUCGAUAUUUUGAUGAGAUGCAUGUUGUCUAGCUAUUUUGAUGACAAGGGAGUAGUUAUGUUUGAUAUUUUGAUGAGAUGCAUGUUGCUAUUAGUGGUGUUAUGUGAACGUCGACUACAUAACACUUCACCAUUAUUUGGGCCUAGAGGAAGGCAUUGGGAAGUAAUAAGUAGAUGAUGGGUUGCUAGAGUGACAAAAGCUUAAACCCUAGUUUAUGCAUUGCUUCAUAAGGGGCUGAUUUGGAUCCAUAUGUUUCAUGCUAUGGUUAGGUUUACCUUAAUACUUUUGUUGUAGUUGCGGAUGCUUGCAAUAGAGUUUAAUCAUAAGUGGGAUGCUUGUUCAAGUAAGAACAACACCCAAGCACCGGUCCACUCACAUGUCAAAUUAUCAAAGUACCGAACGUGAAUCAUAUGAACGUGAUGAAAACUAGCUUGACGAUAUUCCCAUGUGUCCUCGGGAGCGCUUUUCCUUAUAUAAGAGUUUGUCCAGGCUUGUCCUUUGCUACAAAAAGGAUUGGGCCACCUUGCUGCACUUUAUUUACUUUUGUUACUUGUUGCUCGUUAAAAAUUAUCUUAUCACAAAACUAUCUGUUACCACUUAUUUCAGUACUUGCAGAGAAUACCUUGCUGAAAAUCAUUUAUCAUUUCCUUCUGCUCCUCAUUGGGUUCGACACUCUUACUUAUCGAAAGGACUACGAUAGAUCCCCUAUACUUGUGGGUCAUCAAUGAUCAUCAUGUCCUCAUUAUCUACUUCAACACUCUGAUUUUGCCGCCUUGCAUCUCCUCCAUUCACUUCCAACAUGAAGCCCUCAGCAUACAAAUCCUCUAUCUCUUGAUCAAUGUCAGUAUCAAUGUUCUCUUCCCCCAUCAUUUCAAAGUUUAGUCCUCCAGACUCUAUCUCUUCCACUGACAUCUGCAACUCAGCAAAUAUGAAGGUAGUAACUUCUUUCUCCUGUUCUACUUCAGUUAGUAUUACCCCACAGUCCAGUCCAGCAUCACACAGAUCUGCAUUCCCUGUGGCCUCCUGAUACGUCUCCGUCGUAUCUACUUUUCCAAACACUUUUGCCCUUGUUUUGGACUCUAACUUGCAUGAUUUGAAUGGAACUAACCCGGACUAACGCUGUUUUCAGCAGAAUUACCAUGGUGUUAUUUAUGUGCAGAAACAAAAGUUCUCGGAAUGACCUGAAACUUCACAUAACAUCUAUUUGGAAAAUAUAAAAAAUACAUGCAAAAGAUGAAGACCAGGGGGGCCACCACCUGUCCAUGAGGGGAGGGGCGCGCCUGCCCCCCUAGGGCACGCCCCCUACCUCGUGGGCCCCCUGGAGCUCCUCCGACCUCAAGACCAACUCUAUAUAUUUGCUUUCGGGGAGAAAAAAAAUCAGAGAGAAGAAAUCAUCGUGUUUUACGAUACAGAGCCGCUGCCAAGCCCUAAAACCUCUCGGGAGGGCUGAUCUGGAGUCUGUUCGGGGCUCCGGAGAGGGGAAUCCGUUGCCAUCGUCAUCAUCAACCAUCCUCCAUCACCAAUUUCAUGAUGCUCACCGCCGUGCGUGAGUAAUUCUAUUGUAGGCUUGCUAGACGGUGAUGGGUUGGAUGAGAUCUAUCAUGUAAUCGAGUUAGUUUUGUUAGGGUUUGAUCCCUAGUAUCCACUAUGUUCUGAGAUUGAUAUUGCUAUGACUUUGCUAUGCUUAAUGCUUGUCACUAGGGCCCGAGUGCCAUGAUUUCAGGUCUGAACCUAUUAUGUUUUUAUCAAUAUAUGAGAGUUCUUGAUCCUAUCUUGCAAGUCUAUAAUCACCUAUUAUGUGUUAUGAUCGGUUAACCCCGAAUUGACAAUAAUCGGGAUACUUACCGGUGAUGAUCGUAGUUUGAGGAGUUCAUGUAUUCACUAUGUGUUAAUGCUUUGUUCCGGUACUAUACUAAAAGGAGGCCUUAAUAUCCCUUAGUUUCCGUAAGGACCCCGCUGCCACGGGAGGGUAGGACAAAAGAUGUCAUGCAAGCUCUUUUCCAUAAGCACGUAUGACUAUAUUCAGAAUACAUGCCUACAUUACAUUGAUGAAUUGGAGCUAAUUUUGUGUCACCCUAGGUUAUGACUGUUACAUGAUGAACCGCAUCCAGCAUAAUUCUCCAUCACUGAUCCAUUGCCUACGAGCUUUCCAUAUAUUGUUCUUCGCCUAUUUACUUUUCCGUUGCUAUUGCUGUCAUCACUAGAAAAUACCAAAAACAUUACUUUUACUAUCAUUACCUUUUGCUACCGUUACCACUACUAUCAUAUUACUUUGCUACUAAAUACUUUGCUGCGGAUAUUAAGUUUCCAGGUGUGGUUGAAUUGACAACUCAGCUGCUAAUACUUGAGAAUAUUCUUUGGCUCCCCUUGUGUCGAAUCAAUAAAUUUGGGUUGAAUACUCUACCCUCAAAAACGGUUGUGAUCCCCUAUACUUGUGGGUUAUCAAGACUAUUUUCUGGCGCCGUUUCUAGGGAGCAUAGCUUUAUUCUUUGAGUCACUUGGGAUUUAUAUCUGCUUAUCACUAUGAAGAACUUGAGAGAUCCAAAAACUAAGAUUUAUCCCUCAACUACGAGGGGAGGUAAGGAACUGCCAUCUAUCUCUGCACUUGAUUCACCUUCUGUUUUGAGUAAGCUUGCGACACCUAAACCUGCUUCUGCUAUUCGUUCUGAUAUGCCGCAUGUUAUUGAUGAUGCCACUUCUGAUAUGCAUGAUACUUAUGAUGAAACUACUUCUAUGCUUGAUACUACUGUGCCACUUGGUGAAUUUCUUGAUGAACAACUUGCUAGGGUUAGAGAGAAUGAAAAUAUUGAAUCUAAUAAUACUAACGAAAGUGAUGAUGAAGAAUUGCCUGUUAUUCCUAAGGGUUAUGUUUUUGAUAAAGAAGUUUAUUUAGCUAUUUUAGCUUGCAAAGAUAGAUACGAACUCAAGAGGUUAUUAGCUAAAUGGAAUCAGCAAUCUCUAAAUGCUAGAAUGAAACCUGACCCUGCUUUUGCUACUUCACCUAUCUGUGUUACCGAUAAGGAUUAUGAAUUCUCUGUUGAUCCUGAUAUAAUUACUUUGGUUGAAUAUGAUCCUUUUUCAUGGCUAUGAAUCUAAAACUGUUGUGGCACAUCUGACUAAAUUAAAUGAUAUAGCUACCCUGUUCACUAAUGAUGAGAGAACUCGUUACUUUUAUAUCCUUAAAAUAUUUCUGUUCUCAUUAAAGGAUGAUGCUAAGAUAUGGUUUAAUUCUCUUAAUCCUGGUUGUGUGCGUAGUCCCCAAGAUAUGAUUUAUUACUUAUCUGCUAAAUAUUUCCCUGCUCAUAAGAAACAAGUUGUUUUAAGGGAUAUAUAUAAUUUUAUGCAAAUUGAAGAAGAGAGUCUCCCACAAGCUUGGGGGAGGCUUCUCAAAUUACUUAAUGCUUUUCCUGAUCAUCCUCUUAAGAAAAAUGAAAUACUUGAUAUCUUUUAUAAUGGACUAAUCGAUGCUUCCAGGGAUUACCUAGAUAGUUGUGCUGGCUCUGUUUUCAGGGAAAGAACACCGGAUGAAGCUGAAAUUCUAUUGAAUAAUAUGUUGACAAAUGAAAAUAAUUGGACACCUCCUGAGCCAGUUCCUGAGCUUAUUCCUAAACCAACUCCAAAGAAGAGAGGUAUUCUAUUUCUCAGUCCUGAAGAUAUGCAAGAGGCAAAGAAAUCUAUGAAAGAAAAAGGUAUUAAAGUUGAAGAUGUUAAGAAUUUACCUCCUAUUGAAGAAAUACAUGGCCUUAAUUUACCGCCCGUUGAAGAAACAUAUGAUCUUAAUCCAUUACCUAUUGAAGAAACUCAUGGUCUUGAUAACCCGACAUAGGUAGUAAAGGUAAAUUCUCUCUAUAGAUAUGAUAAAGCUGAAAUCCCAUUUACUAAAUUUGCUAGCCCAUGCUUAGAUGAGUUUGAUAAAUUUAUGGUUAAGCAAGAAGAUUUUAAUGCUUAUUUUGGGUAGACAAUUGAAAUAUAAUUCAAAUAUGCUUGAACACUUGGGUGAUUAUAUGGCUAAUGUUAAAAGUGAACUAAAACUUAUUAGUAAACAUGCUUCUAUGGUUACCACUCAAGUAGAAUAAGUACUUAAAGCUCAAAAUGAUUUGCUCAAUGAAUUGAAUAGUAAGAAUAAUGAUAAUGCUGUUAGAGUGGCUACUAGAACUGGUAGAGUGACUCAGGAACCUUUGUAUCCUGAAGGCCACCCUAAGAGAAUUGAGCAAGAUUCUCAGAGAAAUAAUAUAGAUGCACCUAGUCCUUCUAAAAGGAAGAAAAAGAAAAAUGAUAGGACUUUGCAUGCUUCUAGUAAACCUAUUACUGAAACACCUGAGAAUCCAAAUGAUAUUUCUAUCUCUGAUGCUGAAACACAAUCUGGUAAUGAACCUAAAACUAGUGAUAAUGUUAAUGAUAAUGUUCAUGAUGAUGCUCAACCUAGUAAUGAUAAUGAUAUAGAAACUGAACCUGCUGUUGAUCUUGAUAACCCACAAUCAAAGAGUCAACGUUAUGAUAAGAAAGACUUUGUUGCUAGGAAACACGGUAAGGAAAGAGAGCCUUGGGUUCAGAAACCCAUGCCUUUUCCUCCCAAACCAUCCAAGAAAAAGGAUGAUGAGGAUUUUGAGCGCUUUGCUGAAAUGAUUAGACCUAUCUUUCUGCGUAUGCGAUUGGCUGAUAUGCUCAAAAUGAAUCCUUAUGCUAAGUAUAUGAAAGAUAUUGUUACUAAUAAAAAAAGAUACUGGAAGCUGAAAUUUCCACCAUGCUUGCUAAUUAUACUUUUGAGGGUGGAAUAGCAAAGGAACCUGGAGAUCCAGGAGUACCCACUAUACCAUGCUCCAUUAAAAGAAACUAUGUUAAAACUGCUUUAUGUGAUCUUGGAGCCGGUGUUAGUGUUAUGCCUCUCUCUUUAUAUCGUAGACUUGAUUUGAAUAAGUCGACACCUACUGAAAUAUCUUUGCAAAUGGCUGAUAAAUCAACUGCUAUACCUGUCGGUAUUUGUGAGGAUGUGCCUGUUGUAGUUGCAAACGUUACUAUUUUAACGGACUUUGUUAUUCUUGAUAUUCCCGAGGACGAUAGUAUGUUUAUUAUUCUUGGAAGACCCUUUUUGAAUACUGCAGGGGCUGUUAUUGAUUGCACUAAAGGCAAUGUCAUUUUUCAUGUUAAUGGUAAUGAGCAUACUGUACACUUUCCGAGGAAACAACCUCAAGUUCAUAGUAUCAACUCUAUUGGAAAAAUUCCAUCGAUUAUAUUUGGAGGUUUUGAAUUUCCUCUUCCAACUGUCAAGAAGAAAUAUGAUAUUCUUAUUAUUGGGGAUGUGCAUAUCCCCGUUGAGGUAACAUAGUGUUAUUCGAAAUUUCUCCGGUUCCAUGUUAUUGGGAAUGAGUUCGUUAACAAGACUUGAUCAACCUUGUUAGUGGAUUCCUUUUGAUGAGCAUGAGAUGGAUGAAACUAGAAGGCACAACCUUCUGUAUCCCACUUUUACUUUCUGUUAUUUAUAUUAAAUAAAAUAAAAAUAGCAUUUUAUGUCUGUUAUCUGAAUUAUCCGUGCAAUAUAAAAAUACCCCGAAAAUAAAAGUUCUCCAAAUGCCCUGAAAUUUAAAUAUGAUUAUUUCUGGAAUAUUUGAGAAUAUUUGGCACUGAGAACACAGCAGGAGGAGCUGGCACCUGGCCAUGAGGGUCAGGGGCGCGCCCUACCCCCUGGGGGCGCCCCCUGCCUCGUGGGCCCACGGUGGCCCUCCUCCACUUAUCCUUUCACCCAAACACUCCUUCCUCCCACAAACACGAAUAACUAGCUCAAACCUGAGUCCAAGCUCGUUUUACUGCCAUUUUCGAUCUCCUUGCUCAAAGCACCUCUCACAAAACUGCUUGGGGAGAUUGUUUCUUGGUAUGUGACUCCUCCAUUGGUCCAAUUAGUUUUUGUUCUAGUGAUUUAUUCAUUGCAAAUUUGUGCGGCCUAGGUGACCAUGUUCUUGAUCUUGCAUGUCAAAUUUAUAUGGUUCCAAGUAGUUUUGAUGCAUGAUAUAGGCUCUAGGUACUUGUAGGAGUAGUUGCUAUCAAUAUUAUUGAGUUUGGUUUACUUUUAUUUUGAAGUUAUUAAAAAAAUUCAGAAUUUUUCAGAGGAAGAAAUAUGCUUAGGAAAAUGUUCCAAGGUGGUUCUUCAAGAAAGCAAGGACCCACGCUUGCAAUGCGUGAUGCUGAUGAAGAGCCAUCAAGAGACACUCCGGUGCGUCCUUGUGAAUGGCCUUUUGAAAACUUUAUGGAUCGAGCGGGAAUUAAGGAAGAAUUUAACGCAUAUUUGCGUAACGCUGAUCUUGUGAGCUUCGAGGAAGAGAAGUGCAGCCAAUAUCACUAUCUCACUAGUUCCUUUGUGAGGAGGUUUGAAUUUUCAUCUUCACGUAGUUCUCCAACUGUCCUGUUUGAUCUUUAUGAAAAUUCUUACACUAUGGACUUAGAGGAUUUUACCGCUGCUUGCAAACUUCCACAAUGGGGUAGUAUCAGGGAACCUUGCAAAUCUAAAUUUAGAGAUUUUCUUGCUAGUAUAAUUGUGGGGGAAUCCAGAGGUAUAACACAAGCUACCAUAGGGAGCAUUCAUUUUCCUGCUAUACAUUAUUUUGCUCUCUUCAUAGGUAGUUGCAUAAAUGGUAAAGAUGAAGCAUGUCAUAUGUGUGUUCCUGACCUCACUAUUUUUAGGAGUGCUGUGUUAGGAGAAAAAUAUUAUAUUUUGGGAGCCAUUGUUGCAUGUAAGUUGCAUCUUAAUAGAUUUAAUGGAGAUUUCUUUGGUGGAAUUUAUGCAACCCGCAUAGCUAUUUUUCUUCGUAUAGCCAUACGUGAAGAUGAUAUUAAAUUACCUCCUGCUUACCUAGACUUCAAUGCUAUGGUUCACCACUAGUUUGUCGAGAGGAAUGAAUCACCUCUCCAGUAUCGACUAAUCUUUGACAAACGGCGUGCUGUCCGUAUUACUCUCCCUGCUCCUGCCUUCUUUGAUUAUCAGGUAAAAGGAAUAUAUGUUAUUACCAGAGAGGAGGCAGACGAGUACGAGAGGAUGGCUGAGGCCGCUCGUCUCCACGCUGCAGCUCAGGAGGCGAUAGCUGCUGCAUCUCAGUAUGAUCCCAACUUUUACUAUGGAUAUCCGCCAGGCCAGCCGUGGCCAAAGCCUAAGCUUUGGGGAGUACGUAUUUCUCACUAACAUUACAUUUAUGUUCACACACUCAUUGCGACAUGUCGGUGCUUAUACUUUUUCAAUGUAUCAUCCAUGCUAGUUUAUUUGUCUUUUUAUGCUUUCUUCUUGUGUGUUUAAUAAACCUUAAGAAAAAUCAAAAAAUUAGUUAUAGCUUUUAAUUAGUUUACUUUCAAUGCUUGUAGUAGUAAUUAAAAAGAAAAUCCAAAAAGAUUUCCUGUUCUUCUUUUACUUGUUGGGAGCUUUCCCGUGUAAAUAGUUUUAUUUCUUUUCUUUUCUUUGGGGGUCGAUAGGAGAAGACCAUAAUUAAAUUGUUGAAGUGGCUCUUAUAUGCAUAAUUGUUGAUCUGACAAAAGAGCCCAUAUUGCCUUGUCUUCUCCUGUUUAUUGAAUGCUUGCAGAUUCCAGCUUAGUCCAAUGCACGCGCACUAUUAUUAUUAUUCACAUCAUUCGGUCGUGCAAGUGAAAGGCAAUUAUGACGAUAUAUGAUGGAUUGACUGAGAUGAGAAAAGCUGGUAUGAACUCGACCUCUUUUGUUUUUGUAAAUAUGAUUAGUUCAUCGUUCCUGAUUCAGCCUAUUAUGAAUAAACACUAGAUUAUUAAUGGCGCGCGUUGCUGCGCCCGUACAUUUUUACAAUAAAAUGGUAGGUAUUUCUAAAAAUACAUGGCAUACGACAUAACACUAAGAUUAUAUCUGUUAUAUUUUAGAAUAAUGAAACAUCAAGGCGAUAUAAAUAGCAUGAUGUAAUAGUUGGUACACUACAGGAGCAAUGCAACAGGGUGAUCGUUGGCCAGAACAUCAAAGGCCUUCGUGGUCUCAAUUUUGAUCUAUUACAUGAAUUUAUGCAUAAUUCGAGCAAUUUUGACAGCAACAAAAUUAUUCUUUAAGAAAAACAAUUCUCAAUUUAUUCAUGAAGCUGAACAAUGUUGAAAGCCUUCUGCCUUAUAAAAAAUUUAUUCUUUAAGAAAAGCAAGCCUGCAUUUACGCGUGAAACUGAACAAUGUUGAAAGCUUGAGAUCUAGCUUUUGCACACAAAAAUAACUCGGUUAAAAAAACCUUGAAAGCAGACGCAUCCACAAUAUCACAUCCGUCCGCAGAACCAAAAAUAUACUAACACUUGAUGCUUUAAUAGUCGUCAUUUUGCAAUUUUCUCUUCGUGGAGACAUGCAGACCCUGUGCAUCCCCAAAAAACGUUGAAACUUAGAGAUCAAGUAAAGAAAUGUAUGGAUGUAUAAUGGCUAUCUAUAUAUAUAAAGAGGAUAACAUGAUUUGUUGGCAUCAGGGUGAGAGACUAAUCUUUGAUGUACAGAUAGCUUGUAACAAUAAAGUUACCCAUAUGGUAGGCCAUACGAGAAUAUCAAAAGCCGACAUUCGAACUAUCUGGAGGUAUUUUUGGCCAAAUGUAGAACUGGAUGGUAGGUUCACAAGACUUUAGUAGACAAUUCGAAGCUACAAUAGCAUUAAUAAAAUCCCCACGUGGAUUGAAGUAACAUAUGGUUUGCUUUUUUCUAUGAUGAAGAAGCGGUUACAAUCAACUGAAACUUUUUUGUCCCAACAAUUAAACAUGUUCACAUAUAUUACCCAUAUAAAUAGAGAGGAAGACGCUUAGAGUACAGAAGUGCAGUUUCACAUUUUUUUAAAGUCGCCAAACCGCAGACAUCAGUAGUAUAUCGAGAGUAUACCAAUUGGCUGGAGAUCUGAUCACCCUCAAACAUGAUGAAGAGGACAGUGCACGAUAGACGCAAUGCCCUAUUACAGUAGAACAGUAAUAACAGUAAAAAAGGUUAAGGAAUAUGGCCUCUUAAUAAGUUAGCAAUAUGCAAAAGUAAAAAUAGACUGAAAGAUAAAUCAAUAAAUAAUUUCAGACUAUGCAAAAUGACAAAUAUGCCUCGUAAUACAUACAAACAUGUGAGAAAUUUAAUUAAAAACUGAAAAACAUGUCUUAAUAAACCAUUAUAAAAACUGAAUUAAUAUGCAACAUCAACUGUGAUUUUAGACGACUGCAAAUCAAUCUUGCACUUUUGGGAGGAUGUCAUAUGCAUUGCAAAUUCUGAUGGUUGUUUGCUUUAAUCGAUUUCUCAACCUUGGCUGUAGAAAAUAGUGGUUUACAUUUUAAUGCAAAAAGGGACGGUAUAAAUAUUCACCGGUUAACAUGAAUAUGAGUAGAAGAACAACAGAGGAUACAAAUAAGGCAAUUAAAUUUAUGAACAUGGUAUGACAUCACAGACUCUUAAUGCUGGUACGGUACAUAUAGUAUUUGAUCAAUACAUCGGUAGCCAUGGAACAAAUGAACGGGGAUUAAUAACAGUCAGAAACUAAGAUAUCUUUUUGAAAUAGAACACUAAAACUGUAUAUCAAUAGCUUAUUUCCACCACAUGGACACCCAAGAUUAUGUCCUGUAUAGUAACAACAAACUGAUCAUGAUAUUGAGAAUCAGAACCAAGAAACCAUAACGCUAAAUCUCACAACCACACCAACAUCACAUGCAUCACCGUCCCAGAAUUUACAUGAAACAAUUUAAGCUAAACUUAUAUUUUCAUAACCAAUUCCGGUAGAUGGACCAAAUUCAAGUUAUACUGCUGUGUUUCAGCAACAUAGAUAUUCUAAUUAUUGAAGUGACUUUCAAUUAGAGCUCUACGUUAUUCCUACUGGCUUUAUCCAUGCAAGAACUUGUCUUGGUGUAAGGAAGAUGAGGCAUUGUAAGUCCUACAACAUCUAAUUAGUGUGCAUCAGUAAAUCGCAUAUGUUGUUUAGAGCUAAUCCUCAACAACAAUAGUCAAUAGUAGCAGUGUUUGAGACUCUGGAACUGUAUACACAGUCAGUAGCAUCAAUUUUUACAAAUUGUAGGCACACAUACAUAUAUGGAUGAUAAGAUAUGUGAGUGAGACUCUGGAAGUGUAUACACAAUUAGACAUUCAGUAGCAUCAAAUUUUACAAAUCAUGGGCUUCCAUACAUAUGUACAAUAAGACAUGUGAGUACAUGUAUACUAACCUGGGCGCCAACCAUUGCAAAUCAUGAGCUUUAGAAGUGCCCGAAAUAACCACCAGAACCCGUCGGCGGUUCCAAUACAUCAACUGAGAUGUGAGAGCACCUGCAGCAGAACAAGUGCCUGUCAUGAAUCAGAAGGGACUCGGUAUCAGUAGUAACUGGAUGGAAGAUGUGAGGAAGGAGGGGCGAUAGGCCUGCAGUGGAAACCUGGCGAAGCAUGGCCAGAAGAUGUGACCCUGCCAAACAAAGUUGGGGAAUGAGCAGUAGCAGGGUGGGUGGAGAUUAUGUAGACGCGCAACGAUUAUAGGAAGAAACUGAACCAGAAUUGUGAGCGUCCUCGCGCAUCUAAUAAAGGAAGAAGAUGAAUCACAUGAAGGAAGAAACUGAAUAAGAGUCAUAAGCGAUCUGCAAUAAUCGGACGCCGGAAAGAGUGGCGCACAUCAAUUGUGGUUAAUGCCCGCAGCAACUGCGAUUGACUACGUGCUAAAUCAACGGCAAGUGGAGUCUAAUUGCAGCCGACGCUUCGGCCCCGCUUUCCCUUGGCGUCGCCAAGUGAGGCGACCAUGGCGUCGUUGGAGGUGCGGUCGCUCGCAUCGUAUAGAUCCGUCGUUCGCGAGACAAGUACUGGACGACGCACACCGGGAGCCUUGCUCGCUCCGGAAAGCUGUAUUUUUUCACGGGCUUUGUUACUCGUGGGUGUCAAGCCCGUAUACCCAGACAAUAGUAGAGCUCCAAUUUUGUUCUGGGAGCAGCGGCCCAGCCCGUCUAGCUCUCUCUGUUCGCAACUGAAACCCAUAGGGGAUUGCGCUCACAUCCAACGGCCUGAAACGCUUAGAAGAGCAUAUUCGACGGUCGAAAACGAUAAUGGUCUAAGAGGGCUGGAAAAGUGCUCGGUUAUAAUAUUUCUAAAUGUUUGCAAUGACAACUAGAGAUCAUAGCUUUUUGUGCCAUGCUUGAUUAGCUGGGAGCUUAUAAUAGUUUACCUUGCGUGCCAACAUGCUAUUAAAAUGGUUAUGAUGUGGUAUGAUAGGGUGGUAUCCUCCUCUGAAUGAUUUAAGUGACUUGACUUGGCGCAUGUUCACGCAUGUAGUUGAAAUAAAAUCAACAUAGCCAUGACGAUAUUUAUGUUCAUGGUGGAUCAUAUCCUACUCAUGCUUGCAUUCGGUGUUGAUUAAUUUUAAAGCAUGUUCAUGACUGUUGUCGCCCUCUAGCUGGUCGCUUCAUAGUCUUUUGCUAGCCUUCACUUGUACUAAGCGAGAAUACUGCUUGUGCAUCCAACUCCAUAAACCCCAAAGUUAUUCCACAUGAGUCCACUAUACCUACCUAUAUACGGUAUCUACCUGCCGUUCCAAGUAAAUUUGUAUGUGCCAAACUCUAAACCUUCAAAUAAAUAUCCUGUUUUGUAUGCUCGAAUAGCUCAUGUAUCAACUAGGAUUGUCCGUAUCUUCCAUGUUAGGCAGGUUAUUCUCAAGAGGAGUGGACUCUGCUCCUCACUCACGAGAAAAAUGGCUGGUCACCGGGAUGCCUAGUCCCAUGCUUUAUGCAAACUAAAUCAAAAUAAUUGCAAACAAAACUCCCCCUGAGACUCUUGUUAGUUGAAGGCACUCGUUGUUUCGAGAAAGCCAUGGAUUGAUGCUUGUUGAUGGAAGGGGGAGUAUAAACUUUACCAUUCUGUUUGGGAACCGCCAAUAAUGUGUGUAGCAUGGAAGAUAUCGCCAUCUCUUGGUUGUUAUGUUGACAAUGAAAGUAUACCACUCAAAAUAUUACUCACCUCUAUUUCAAAACCGAGCUCUGGCACCUCUACAAAUCCCGGUUCCCUCUGCGAAGGGCCUAUCUAUUUACUUUUAUGCUGACUCAUCAUCCUCUUAUUAAAAAGCACAAGUUGGAGAGCACCGCUGUCAUUUGCAUUCAUUACUGUUAGUUUGCAUUGAGUAUGACUUGACUGGAUCUCUUUUACCAUGAAUUACAAUGUCUAGUCAGUCCUUGAUCUUUAAAGGUGCUCUGCAUUUAUGUUUUGCAGUCUCAGAAAGGGCUAACGAGAUACCAUCUUAUUAUAUCAUAUUAUGAUUGUUUUGAGAAAGUGUUGUCAUCUGAGAUUUAUUAUUAUUGCUUGCUAGUUGAUUAUGGCAUUGAUAUGAGUAAACUUGAUACCUAAGCGUUAUUGUGAAUGUGGUUAGUUAUAAUCUUUGCUGAAAACUUGAAUGCUGGAUUUACAUAUUUACAACAACAAGAGCAAAUAGAGUUUGUAAAAGUUUUUCUUUAUCACUUUCAGUUUGUCAACUGAAUUGCUUGAGGACAAGCAAAGGUUUAAGCUUGGGGGAGUUGAUACGUCUCCGUCGUAUCUACUUUUCCAAAUACUUUUGCCCUUGUUUUGGAUUCUAACUUGCAUGAUUUAAAUGGAACUAACCCGGACUAACGCUGUUUUCAGCAGAAUUACCAUGGUGUUAUUUAUGUGCAGAAACAAAAGUUCUCGGAAUGACCUGAAACUUCACGAAACAUCUAUUCAGACAAUAUAAAAAUACCUACAAAAGAUGAAGACCAGGGGGCCCACCACCUGUCCACGAGGGUGGGGGGCACGCCCCCCUACCUCGUGGGCCCCUUGGAGCUCCUCCGACCUCAAGACCAACUCUAUAUAUUUGCUUUCGGGGAGAAAAAAUCAGAGAGAAGAAAUCAUCGCGUUUUACGAUACGGAGCCGCCGCCAAGCCCUAAAACCUCUCGGGAGGGCUGAUUUGGUGUCCGUUCGGGGCUCCGAAGAGGGGAAUCCAUCGCCAUCGGCAUCAUCAACCAUCCUCCACCAAUUUCAUGAUGCUCACCGCCGUGCGUGAGUAAUUCUAUCGUAGGCUUGCUGGACGGUGAUGGGUUGGAUGAGAUCUAUCAUGUAAUCGAGUUAGUUUUGUUAGGGUUUGAUCCCUAGUAUCCACUAUGUUCUGAGAUUGAUGUUGCUAUGACUUUUCUAUGCUUAAUGCUUGUCACUAGGGCCUGAGUGCCAUGAUUUCAGAUCUGAACCUAUUAUGUUUUCAUCAAUAUAUGAGAGUUUUGAUCCUAUCUUGCAAGUCUAUAGUCACCUAUUAUGCGUUAUGAUCCGUUAACCCCUAAGUGACAAUAAUCGGGAUACUUACCGGUGAUGACCGUAGUUUGAGGAGUUCAUGUAUUCACUAUGUGUUAAUGCUUUGUUCCAGUACUCUAUUAAAAGGAGGCCUUAAUAUCCCUUAGUUUCCGUAAGGACCCCGCUGCCACGGGAGGGUAGGACAAAAGAUUUCAUGCAAGUUCUUUUCCAUAAGCACGUAUGACUAUAUUCGGAAUACAUGCCUACAUUAUAUUGAUGAAUUGGAGCUAUUUCUGUGUCACCCUAGGUUAUGACUGCUACAUGAUGAACCGCAUCCGGCAUAAUUCUCCAUCAUUGAUCCAUUGCCUAUGAGCUUUCCAUAUAUUGUUCUUCGCUUAAUUACUUUUCCGUUGCUAUUGCUAUCAUCACUAGAAAAUACCAAAAACAUUACUUUUACUAUCAAUACCUUUUGCUACCGUUACCACUACUAUCAUAUUACUUUGCUACUAAAUACUUUGCUGCAGAUAUUAAGUUUCCAAGUGUGGUUGAAUUGACAACUCAGCUGCUAAUACUUGAGAAUAUUCUUUGGCUCCCCUUGUGUCGAAUCAAUAAAUUUGGGUUGAAUACUCUAUCCUCGAAAACUGUUGCGAUCCCCUAUACUUGUGGGUUAUCACCUCCAGUCCAGAAUCUUCUCCUGUACCCUCCUCCUGCAUCACCACCUUUUUCUGAUUUCCACUCCCUGUACUAGCAGUUUUUGCAGGAUGGGUGUCAGCAUUAGUUUGCUUGCCUCCAGCUUUAGGAGCUCCACCUCCCAGAUUCUCUCUUUUAUCAGUUUCCAUAUUGUCAUGUUCACUAGCAUCAUCAUCCCCAUCUUUCCUUGCCUCAGAGCUCUGCCCUUUGUUUGAUCUAUCCCGCACAGGGACCUCCACAGCAAAUUUCACUUUAAAGGUUAUGCCUUCCAUUUCAAACAUUCUUUCUGUAGGGAUUUUAGAUGGAUCUCUACAAUGGACUUUCACCCUAACAUACUCAAACAUGUUCUGGAACAUUCCUUGCCAGUCCAUGUCGAGAAGCAGCCCAAACGAGGAUGUGCAUUGGUCUACCACAGCCCAUUCACACCAUGGGGAGUAAACCCCUUAUCUGAAUCCAGACCUCAGCCAGUUCUUCCAUAUCUCCUAUCUCUUCUUUCCAGACCUCCACAUUAACCACCACAUCUUUUUCGUAAGUCCAAAGCUUGGAUACCCAGCUACUUGCUCCACUGAAAUGUGUGGUGGAAACUUCACCAGGUAUGACCACUCAUCCAAGGCCCUGAUUUGCCAGGGCCAAUUGGUCUUGUAUAUAGAUGAGAAUUCUUUAGCCAGCUCCUCCUUACUAAUCUCCCCCUCCUCAACAUAGACCACACCAUUGUUUUUCAGAACACCAAUGGAAUUUACACCCAUAUCGGCUACCUCCAGGUGAUAAAAACCCAAACCUGGAGCAGCACUCCCAAUGUACUUUGCCACCUGGUGAGGUCUCUUCUUGACAGGACAAGCAUCAACCUGGUGUGCUGUAGCUUUGCAAAUGAAACACUUCUUGGGGUUUUUCACAUAUAGCUCGAUGAUGUCCCGGAUCCCCACAGUUAUAGCAAGUGACCUGAGCAUAUUCAGUAAAUUCCACAGCAUGACCCCCUUGCUCACUCCUAUCCACUGUCCCAGGACCUGCAGUCACUUUGAUUUUCCCUUUCUUCUGCUUCCCCUCUUUUCCCUGAACCUGAUUCUGGCCUCGAGGCUUCUGUUGAUGCAUUUGCCCUUCUGUUUGCUGCCCUCCUCCAGAUCCCCACUACCCCUAUUGAGGAAACAUCCCCUAUGGAGGAUAAGGCGGAAAGCCACCCGCAAACAUCCAUGGAGGAGGAGCCCCUGGAUAGCCGAAGAAAGGCGGCGGGUAUCCAAAGGGUCCCAUCCCCCCUGAUCCGGCGCACCCUGCAUCUGCUGCGGAGGUAGAGGUCUUCCCGCACCUCUCCCCCUGCAUUGACCUCUUGCGUUAUCAGCCAUUUCUUUCUUCCUCUCCCACAGAUCUCUGGCCAAUCUCACCCCUCUAGAAACUAAGGUGGACCAGCUGAAAACGAUCGGAUCUUUGAACCUCAAAUCUCUUUCUGCUGUAGGAAAACAAUCAUCAACAUCAAAACUCUUCUCCUCCCACAAACCCCUACGGAUCCAGACUAUGGCUCCCCCUUCUCUAGGGUUUGCUUUUUUCACAUGGGCGCCGUGCAGCACGGGUUGUAUGUGUGUGUGUGGGGGGGGGUGUUGAUAACUGCUCCCCCCACAGCUGUCCAAAGUAGGUGGCAUCCACCUCCUCCCACUCACUGACAGCGGGGGCCACAUGUAAGUCACCAGGGCCCGAAUCUCUCCUGACCAAACUCCUCUCCAUGCGCAGCUCGAAGCUGAAGCCUCCAUGCUCCCCAAGCACUAGCAAUGGCGAUGAAACCCCUGAAUCCUUCGUCCUGUUGGGGUCCAGGACACGAAUUCCUCUCUCCCCAGUCUGAUCACCUCUCAAUCCCUUCUGAACAACCUCCAUUUCGCUCUCUGUGCCCUUGAGGUUGAACAUGCCUCCUCCUCCGCCCACCGCAAAAUCAGAUCCACUGUCAGCACAGGUGCCAUGGCGAAAAUCCUCUCUCGCUCGUUCGCAUCGGUCCUCGACAUUGCUUGUAGAGCUCUCGCUCGUUCGCAUCGGUCCUCGACAUUGCUCGUAGAGCCAGAGUCCUUUUGGCAUCGCGCAGAUUUCUCUCUGCAUGAUUCCUCGCGAACACCAGCACUUGGAUCUCUGCAUCUGACGCCACAUCUCGGGCUCCCGCUGCACUCAUCCUGUCGGCCGCCCACCGCCAACGCUCCCCGUCCGCCGCCCUCCGCCUCCUCCAGCGCAGCUCCAAUCCCAACCCCUGCCGCAGAAAAACGCACCUGUCGCCCGGGGUGAAGGAACUCGAUCAGGCUCCGAGUUGCUGCGAGGAACGUAGGCCGCGAGGGGCGCGACGUCACCGGCGAAAUCUGCCCAACGGUCUAAGCGGGAGGCGUCGCCGGAGAGGGGGGGGGUAGGUGGGGUGGGGUGGGGUGGGGUGGGAUGGGGUGCAGACUGCAGAGUCAUUCUAGUCCCCCGGUAAUAACAACCCCGCUUCCCUCUUGCUUCUCCCAUUUCCAGGCCCCAGGCGCCGGCGCCGCCACACGGCCGCACCCCGUCUGCCUGAUCUCCCACUCCAGUACUCUCUGUCACCACGGCCGCUCAGGGCGCCCGCAUCGUCCUCGUCACGUUAUCCCGCGCCACUCCUCGGCGGCAGGCAGGACGGCGCGGCCUCGACGUCGGCGUCUGUUGUGAGUUCUCUAAUCUUCUUCUUCUUCUAGGUUUCUGUAUUUCUCCAACCAAGAACAGAGGGUGACCCACAUCUAUUGAUCUGUCUGCCGCGGGCUUCUAGAAGCCAAUCGAGUUUCAGCAACCUUCUCUGCAAUUUGCAUUUGGUCGAGGGAGGAAGGAGCAAGGUGAAAUCUAUGCAUUACUUUUCUUGUGCGUGCUUCCAUGGUUUGCCUUGCCUGGUUACUUUUCUUGAACGUUAAUUUAUUCAUGCAAGUAAAAGAUGGUGCCGUUAUUCCCCUUUUCUAAAAGAGGAUUGUAGAGUUAACUUGUGAUUUCUCCGUGAUUUUGCGAUGUAACUCAACUACAGGAGAUGUUAUUGUUACAUACUCCCUCCGUCCCAGUACAAAGUUGAGUCACUUAUUUUGGGACGGAGGGUGUACUGUGUAACAGUUUGUUGUACUUUCAUUGUCGUUAAUUGUGAAUCUCCAUGUCGUAUUAUUGUUCUAAGAUAGUGUUUUUUUUAACUCCCCACAUUCAUGUUGAGAAUCCUGGCUCCACAACUGCAUUCCGACCAGUCAAAAAAGAAUCAUGAACCUUGCUUAUGACAAGGGAGCACACUCACCAGUUGAAGUUGUGCUUGCAAUAUCAUCCCUAUAACUUAGUUCAUAAAAAAACACCCUUAUAUUCAGCUCAGAUAACGGUACACUGUACAUAGAAACCAAAGCAUGAAGAAAACCAUCAAAUCCAAACCCAAAGAAAAUAGGUGUGCGGGCACACACGCAUAUCCUCUUCGCCCUUCAAACUAGUACUACCAUACAGCCAGAAUCACAUGGUUUAGCUCACGCACAUCCCCGAUCAUACGUACACGCUUGGGGUGAAAUCACUAUAUCUCGUAUGUGAUCCCAACUUUGAGCAACUGAUCUUUCGGAAUGGCUAGUGCCUUGUGCCCCUCCGUCAAGUUCUUCCUCAAGAAUGUGUAAACAUAGUUGACCACCAUCUUCUUGAACACCGACGAGUUGGCUUUGGCGGUGACAUUGGCCUCACCCAUCAGAUACACCAUCCCGUGUUCCACCUCUCUGUCGAUCAGUUGCUUCUCCUCCUCGACUGUCCGGUUGGAACGGAAGCUAGCGAUCCUCCCCGACGAGUGGCUGCUCACCCUGGCUUGGACCGUCUCCUCGCUGUGCACUGCAUUGCGCGUGGAUCGCCCCGAUGCCAUAGAUGGCUGAUCACUGGAAGCUUCACCACCAGCGGUGAUCUCCUCCACUUCGUUGUGUGCGAAUGCGCUCUCCUCCUGAAUGAACAUCUUGAGCCCAUCCAUGAGGAAGGCCACAAACUCCUUGGGCUCCUCCAGCGUGUCGGUAUAUCCAUACCGCGCCACGCAGCGGAACAUCCGCUGCUCCCUCGGGCCGACCUGCCGGAAGAGAAACCUCUCUGCGGGCAGGACACGCGAGAUGGGCAGGUGCUUGAUGGACAUGAACAUGAAGAUGGAGUGCACGGAUGGUAUCCUCUCGAUCAGCCGAGGGAACACCGGAGGGAUGCCCUGGACCAGCUCCGUGUAGAGGAGGCCAACCCCAGGGAUCCUCCUCACAUCGUUCUUCUCGAGCAGCACUGUCAGUUCACUGGUGGGCACGAUGUGAUCCAGCUCGUACCAGUACCUCUUGACUUGGACGUAGUGCCAUGCCGCCAUCAGGCUCAUCACGACCAGCGCGAAGCAGAUGGGGAGGUAGCCGCCCUCGAUGAAUUUCGACAGUAUGGAAGAGAGGUAGAUCAACUCUAUGGAGCCAAACACGACGUAGAAGAGCGCGAUGAAGAUGACGUGCUUCUUCCAUAUGAGGAGCAUCACGACGGUCAUCAGGUGGGUGGUGAUGAUGAAUGUAGUAACAACACAGAUCCCUGCGAGCCACCAACAUACGUAUCACAUCAAAUUUUGACCCAUCAGGCUGUUGAAAGGAUCAUCAAACACAAACCAUUGAAGUGGGAGUGGUGGGUACCAACUUACCAUAAGCAUGUCCGAUGCUGGUGGUGGUUCUGAAGGCGACGGUGACUACGAUGCUCGCCAAUCCCAUUAUGAAGUUGACUUCAGGAAUGUACACCUGCCCCUCGUACUUGUGUGAUGUGUGGAUGACUUGAACCCUGGGCAUGCAACCCAGAGACAGAGCCUUGGAGAGGAUGGCAAAUGCGCCGGACAGCAUAGCUUGGCUUGCUAUGAUGGCAGCAAGGAUGGCAACGAUGAAGGUUGGCCAGAACAUGGGUGCUGCAGGAGGAACAUGCACACAUAUUUAUCUAUUUAUUUACCAAGUACAUAUAUUUGCUGGGAAUAUGCUUAUUUGUUCUUGUACCUACCUGGGAUAGAUCUAUAGAAGGUGUUUGCCACGUUCUCUGGGAAUUUCCUCAGGUAAGCCGCCUGGCCGAUGUAACACAGCCCAACAGCCGGGAACAAGAUGCCGUUGAAGCUGAUCUGUGGGAUAUAUAUGCAUGGUUCUGUUAUGACUUGUGGCUAGGGAAAGAUAGUUGACUUCCAGAAUGAAUCUAUAUCUAAUAAACAUUGAAGUACCUGAACAGCCCUGAUGUUGAAAUGUCCCAGGUCAGCAAACAUACCUUCUGUGCCUGUACAUUCAGUGAAUUCAUCAUGUCAGAUUAACUAUUAUAUUACAGCCUAUGCAGGCAGGCAGGCAGGCAACACAAGGUCUUUUCAGUGAGUCAGAAAAGGUUAAAUUGUUGGUUACCUGUGACACACAAGAUGACUCCACCAAGUGAAACCCAUCCCUCCUUGCCAUUCCUCUUGAAGUACUGUAUGAUAUAUAUCGGAUUGAAGGCCCGUAGGACACCGACAUCAUGAACGACGAGGUUGUACAACCCGAUGCCCGCAAUGAAAAGGAACCACACCGAGAUGACCGGAGCAAACGUGUAGCCGACCUUGUCGGUCCCGAAACGCUGGACCGAGAAGAGCAUGAACAGGAUCGCCACCGAGAUGAGCACCACUUGUGCUGUUCAAACAACCACGGAAGGCCGUCAGAUCGGUGUGAUGGACUGAUGGGUAAGAAAUAUAAGCAAACAUCUUAGCUACUAAUCCUUCCUUGGAUUCACAUACUUUGAGUCAGGCUUGGCGCUUUUUCUCUGAUCCCACUCACUGCAGACAGCACUGCCAUGAACAAAAUAUAUGUAUGUUAGUAUUACUUCUCCUUUUAUGCAUGAGAAUAUUAAUACUGUAUAUAAUUAAUAGGCGUUGACUCUUUGAUACAUGAUUGAUUGAUUGAUUGAUUACCAGAGAUUGCGGGCGUCAAGGUUCCAUCGCCGAUCACCAUGGAUGUGCCGAGGAUGGUGAGGGUGAAGAGCGCGAUCUUGGCCGCCUUGCUAGACUCGAGCUUCUGCUUGGCCCACUGCGCCCUCCUCAGCUGCGAGUUGGGCGCUUCUAUCCGGUAAUUCGACACCGCAGCAUCCUCGGCCUGCUGGUCCGGUAUCAUCCUGAUCUUCGCAUACCGCGAUAUCAGCGAGUAAAGCGCAAACGUGCCACCUGCAAACAACAGCCAGCCAGCAAGAAGAGCAGCGUGCAGUCCAGCUUCAGCAAUCCAGCAAGCAGGUACGUAUGCUAAUUUGAUGGAACUAAUUGGGGUUAUAUAUGCGUAAAUGCGUAUGCAUAUAUACCAUCUCCGUUGUCGUUUGCGUAGAGCACGAUGAAGACGUACUUGAGCAUGGGUAUGAUGAUGAGGGUGUAGAUGAUGAGCGACAGGACGCCCAGGAGGUCGUCGUUGUGCUUGAUGCCGUCGGGGAAGGUGCUGGAGUAGACGUAGAGCGGCGACGUCCCGAUGUCGCCGUAGAUGAUGCCGACGCUCUGGAACGCGAGGCUCAGCGUCCGGACCCAGCUCACCUGCAUAUAUAUAUCAUGCAUGCGUCGCCCAGAGGAAGUUAAGUAGGGUACUCACACUGCUCCGUCAGAUAGAUUGCACCAUUGCUGCCGGCGAAUUGACAUGGCCCUCUGAAUUGCAGGGGAAGGACGACACAUGAUAUACAUACCCGGGAGCCAUGGUGGUUGGAAUGGGACACCUUCUCUGCAUCACCCCACAGCGAGUCAUGGCGCUUGAGCGGGGCAGGCACCGUCUCCGUGCCCCGCGGCUCCUCCGCCUGGGCCGACAUCUCCUUCAGGGGGUGUUGCAGCUUGCAGUUCUACUCCGGGUUAGCGGCGAAGGUCUGCAGCUGCAGGUAGCUAGCUCCCGUUGGAGGAAGAAGGUGAGGGCUUGUUUAAAUAGAGCGGUGCAGAUUUGAGCUAGCACAUGAGGUUGCUCCUGAGAGUUGACAUGAAGCUUUCGUUUGCUUGAGGUGGCACUGACCGUACACCCAGCAGCUGGUACAUUAUCAUACCUGGGUGAUAAUUGGUGCUAUUUUAAUCCAAGCCUCAUGAGCACUUAAAAGUCAUUGGUGUCUCUCUCGUGUUCACGCGGGUAAAACAUAUUCAAACGAAUGCUGCCACCAGAUCGAAGAAGAUUGGUUACUUAGCAAAUGAGGCCUCGGUUUGCGGCUGCCGAGAUUGCUUGCGUCCAUUGACUUAGCCGCCAGAUAAACAAAUCCCAAUCAUUGGUGCUAUUUUAACCAGAUCAGAGAACUCAUCUUCUCCAAGGUAGGUUACUUGCCGAUGUAGUACUUAGGUGUGUAUAUAUGGAGUAGGCGACAAAUAAUGCCUUUUUUUAAUUACGUCGACAAAUAAUGUCUUUUUUAAUUACGUCGACAAAUAAUGCCUUUACUUAACGCGACGGUGUGGUCUCCGGAUCGUUUUGGCAUCGCGUUUCACCUUUUUUUUACUUGUACAUGUGACCUCAGUUAUGCUUACGCAUAUGCCGGUGUGAGUUCACUGCUCGUAUGACCUGGGGCUUGUUUUAUAAGUCGAUAAAAAAACACGGUCGAAGAAAAGGGUAAAAUAUGCUUGCCUGUCGUCAAUACGUAAAACUCGGCAUCUAGUAAAACUAUUGGUGUUUUAAAUUUUAACAAAUUUUUGGAUAUGAAUUUCACUUCAUGUGGGGUACUACAUUUGGGUGAUAAUUGCGGUAAGGCAGGAGCACAUACGGUGUGAUAUACUUGGUUUAGAUUUCCUUGUGAAAGUGAGUCGAAAAAAAGUACAAACAUAGACGUUCAUAUACACAUGUUACUUACUUGAACACAUGUGCGCGCACACACAUAUCCUAGGAACACCUAUGACAAUCUACCGGCAUAUCUCGAGAGAUACCAUGUAGUUGAGGUACACUUAUCCCUACGAACACUUCCGAGAGAUUAAGUCAACACAUCUCAAAAUUGACGCAGUCAUCACAUGCACCUUGUAGUUGAGGCGCACGUUAUCCGUAUGAGCAUCUUCGAGAGACUAAGACGGCAUAUCAUGAGAUUGAGAAAGUCAUUAUAUACAUCAUAGUCGACAGGAACAUCAUAUAUCACUACACAGACAUCACUGUAAAACCUAGAAUAAAUUCAAAAAAAAAAUGCAAACACUCCUGACCAACUGAGACGCCCAUUCCAGAAAGUGACUCUCAUAUGAUAGUACUUCCUCUGUAAAUAAUAUAAUAGUAUUUAGAUUACUAUUUUAAUGAUCUAAACGCUUUUAUAUUAAUUUAUAGAGGGAGUACUUUUCAUCCAACACAAUAAUGAGCCAUGUGUCAAACAAAGCACAUGCAUAGCCGCGCUAAGUUUUCGGUUGUGCACGCCAAAGUACACCAAAGGACAAAUCGUACGGAAUGAUGCUCCCUGUCCAACACAGCUACGUACAUGGAUGUCCCGAAACUAGCAUUAUCAUAGCGUAUGGUGCAGCCGAGGGUUGACCUUGAAACCUUUACUAAUCAUUUCUUCGGAAAAGAAACACUUAAUCAUUGGCGUUACUUUACUCGAGAUGUCAUGAAACGAGGACAUAUUGGCCCUCAUCGCCAUCUUCGUUAAACAAAAGAAAGAUAAGAGUCUCGACGAAAUAAUUGUGGUUUGACAUUUCUAUCGCCAAUCUUUCAAGGAUAUAAAACUAAGAACAGCGAGGAGGAAAGUAAUAUAUUUUUCAUGCUGCUGGUGUGUGAUCGUCUACUUUCGCCGUGUCUUCUCCGUGUCUGGAUGCGACGUCAUAGCGCUUUGUAUGGAUCGCUAAUAUUUCAUACAACACAUAUAUUGGUGAAAAAAUCCUAUUACCCACCCCUUUCGAAAGCCGUGAAAAAAAUAAUCAUGUUUACAGUGAUAGAUCAGUGCAUGACAAGCUACCAAAUCGUAGUGAAUUUUAGUGACACAACAUGCCUAUAUGCAUGAUGUAAGAAUGGCAAUAAGGCCGUCUUGAUUUCUUUUCGUGUGUGUGCAGGAAGUAUUUAAUCAUAUUUUGGCACCAAAAUUCACUUGUUUAUAGUAUUAUUAAUUGUUAUGUACUCCCUCCUUUUCGGUUUAUAGGGCUUAUCUCAAAAUUUUAGUUUUUCCAUUUUAUAAGGCUCAAUUUGAUUGUUCUCCAUCACAUGUUCAGACUUUAAGGUGCAUUAAAUUAUUGCAUGCAAGUAUUAAGAGAAAAUUGACCAAUGCAUGCACUUUAUGCAUGCAUGCAUUGCAAUUAAUGCAUUCGUAAAUAUAAUUUUUUGAGGAAAACAAGAUCAUUAAUUGGGUGCUUUUGCAAACUACAAAAAAUAUUCCAUCACUCAUCAUCUAUCUUGGUUGGUGAGAUUUUUGAAUUGAGCCUUAUAAACCGGAAAAGAGGGAGUAAUGUUUACAACAAGCAACAGCACCAGCACCAGCAAGAUUAUGGAUGAUGAGCUUCCACAUACUUCUGUCCCAAACAAAUUGAGGUAGAUUAGAGUUGAAACACAUAAUAUCUUGCGAACAACUCAUGGUUUCGGCACAUGGAUGAUAAGGCUCUAGGCACAUCUGUCCAUGACUACUUCUUUGAUGAUACUCCAGUCCUUCAAAUAUCUCUUUACAGACUCCUCACAUGUCAAGUUCAGUUUAUCCUAGACCCGGUCAUGGACAACCCGGCCCGUCGGCCCGAACCCGAAGCCCGACAUUCAGGCCGGGCUCGGGCUCCAUUUUCUGACCCGAAGCCCGGCCCGAAAGCCCGAAUAAAGCCCGAAAUAUAUAAAAAACAUAUUUUAUUUGAAAUAUAGGUAUAAUAAAUUAAAAUAAUAUCCCGAAAAUGAUUAAUUUAAUUAAAAAGUGUCACUGUUCAUGUACUUCGGGCCGGGCCGGGCCGGGCUCGGGCUUGGGAAUUUCUCUUCGGGCUUUGUCAAGCCCGGCCCGAACCCGACCCGGCCCGACGUUUGCCCGGGUGUAGUUUAUCCCGACCUCUCUUGAAAUUAUCAAUACACUUUCAUCAUCCGCUAUGCACUGGAGUUUAUGGAGGUAACUAUCUUAUAUAAUGUUGAAUAAGCAUUUCUUCAAUCAAUGCUACCCCGACUCUAUCCCAUAUAUCAUCAUUUCUCAUUUGAUCCUUUCUUGUAUGACCACACAUUCAUUUCAACAUGUGCAUCUCCGCUACACCUAGCUGUUGAACAUGUCGCCUUUUACUCGGCUAACACUCAGCGCUAUACAACAUUGCGGGUCAAAUCGUCGUCUUAUGUAACCCGCCUUCUAGCUUGUAUGGCACUCUCGUCAUAGAGAACGUCAGAAGCUUGGCCGCACUUCAUCCAUCCGAUUUUGGUUCGAUGGUUCACAUCUUCAUCAAUAUCCUCGUCCUUCUGCAGCAUUGACCCAAAAUAUUGAAAGGUGCCCUCCUAAGGCAACACUUGUCCAUCAAGAUUAACCUCUUUCUCCUUGUGCCUAUUAGUACUGAAACCACACCUCAUGUUCAUUCAGAAUAAAGAAAAAGUAAUGCAAACAAUAUCGCAGCUAAAAAUGUUGCAUUUUCCAUAUCGAGCGGACAUCCACAGAGCGAGAAAAAAAUGCAUUCCUGCCUUCCCGCGGCCCGCCCUGCCUAACAGAAGUCCAUAUCACUGCCGACGGCCCACGGCCCACGGCCCACGCCCAUCGCAUCGUCCUCCAAAGCUCGCCACCGCAUCCCGUCGCCUCCUCUCUUACCUUGUCUCCCCCGCCGCUGCCGCUUCAUCCUCAGCCAUCGCCCACCGCCUCGCCGGUGACCUCCCCCGUCCACCGCCCCCCCGCCUGCGAGUUCGUUCAGGGAGAUGUCGUCAAGGCGCGAGAACGGGUCGGAAGGCGACGGGCUCGGAGCCGAGGGAGGCGUGCCUCCGUCGCCUCUGUACGCCGCUCCGGUCGUCUGCCUCCUCCGGUCUGCCGGGGACUUCGGCGCCGGCGCCUUCGUUGGAGGCGUCGUUGGAUACGGUAUUAUCCCCAUUCCCCAACCCCGCCCUUUUCUUCUCCCAGAUAACUCUAUUACGCGUCGCUGCAAUCAUUAUCUAUCUGCUGUUGCUGUCCCCAAAUUUUCAGUUUUCGUGGUCAGCUCUUAUUAGGGCAGAUAGUGAUAGGAAUUUCCCUUGCACUGACGCGUGCAAUUCUCACUCGAAUCCAAGCUUACGGAAAUUCCUAGAUAAGGUUAUACAGUGUUGCUGGAUAUAUUGCUUUGCAGAUAAUUGCACGUUGCACGCGAUACCUUUAGUUUGGUAGCCUGGACCUUUUAAUAGUUUCUGCUAGUCUGAAUGUUCUUAUACUGCGUUGAUAUGGUUUCACUAACUUAAAGAACCUGUGAACCCUAGUUAUCCCCCUCGCAUAUAAAAUCCUUAUGUGGCUCACUCGGUUCUUUUUUCAGGGCAAGGUUUGAUCACUAAGAAGGGCUUCAAGGGCUCACUCAGCAAUGCAGGCUCUGCUGCCAAGGUUUGUUGUUCAUAAUGCUUGUGGGGAUAUGUUCUCUCAAAUUGAGAUGCAUUAUCCUUUUCCAGACAGAAUGCUCAUGAUAGAAAUUUCUUGAAUUAGACUUUUGCAGUUCUCUCCGGCGUCCAGAGUUUUAUUGUGUGCUUAUUGAAAAAGCUACGCGGAAAAGAUGAUCGUAAGUUUACAUUUUUAUCUUUCUAUUUGUGUGUUGGAAUCUCGAUGGUUGAACAUAUAGUAUGAACUCAACUGACAUGUUCCUUUGACAGUUGUCAAUUCUGGCAUUGCUGGAUGUUGCACUGGCCUUGCCUUGAGCUUUCCAGGUACAUUUGUGUUGAACUAAUGUUACUUUCACAGCUCACUAGUGUACGUGACAAUGGUAUUGUCUGGUUACUGUACCUCAUAUGAAAAAGGAUGGUGUAUGAUAUUGGGUGUCAUUAUCAUUUUUUGUUAGUACUUACUAGUGGCAAACAUGUUUUGGUUUAUAGUGUACCAAAUAUUUGGUGCUCUGGCUACUUGAUUGUUCAACAGUUAUUUUUCUGAAAAUCUAGCGACCCUGAAUUGCUAUGUGUAAAUUCCUGGUUGGCAAUCUGUAAAAAACUCUUUACUUCCUAAAACUGUAUGGUUAGGACAAUAAUUUGCAUUUGGUAAACUGUGUAGUAUGUAGGUACUCCAUUGAGCGUAAGUUAUAUGUUGUGUGCUUGUAGUUCUUGAAUUGGAUUUCAACUGAUAUUUAUUUAGAGAGAUCGGGUGUGAAUGUAAACUGAAUUUUGCCUAUAAAUGCAUGACUGAAUUGCUUCCUCUAAUUGUUACUCCCUCCGUCCCAAAAUAAGUGUCUCAGCUUUAGUUUGAGACACUUAUUUUGGGAGGGAGGGAGUAUACUUUAUCAAAGCUGGUUUCCAAGCAGUUCAGUAUCAUGUCUAAGAAAUUAACAAAAUCAAGAUACCUUGUUCUUACUCAGGAGACACUUGAGUGCGUGUUUUGCUUGUCGUUGGAAUCUUGCACACACUGGAUAAGACGGGACAGGGUCCAAAUUAACUGUAAUGACACUUGAAAAAAAGUCGAGCUAUAUUCAUGUCUAACACAUCAUGCAGAAACUGAAUCACUCAUGCAUCUGUGGUGCUGAUUAGCACAUUUUAUUAAGAACAAUUCGCUGCAAUGUUCAGUUUCAGUUAGUGCUCAUGGGUAAUACGUUACCUGAAAAAGGUCAGUAAUAUUAGUGGCUAGCUGGACACAUUGUUAUGCAUGCAUCUCUUGUUAGCUCAAACUGCACCGCUAUGUCGCUUUACCGGCACAUAUGUUUUACCUGCAUAGCUUUUCUCUGUAAUAUUCAAGUGUCCAAGGAGGCAUGAGUCUAUAGCUGGCACAUUGGAAGGAUGUUUGAAGAUUGGAUUUUUGUUUGUGGGGAUCAUUUGUGCAUGUGCGCCAAGCUGCUCUUUAGAAUAAAUUAUUGAUACCAGCGACAGUUUAUCUCUUUACUAUCAGAGCUUUGGUUACAUCAUUUCUCAUGUGGUUGGUUCUCUUAACCCAGGAACACCUCAAGCGUUGAUUCAGAGCUGCGCCACCUUCGCAGCGUUCUCUUGCAUAAUGGAGGGGCUGAACAAGCAGCAGGCUGCAAUGGCCCACACGCUCGGCGGAAACGCUCUGACCUUUGGGCACGGGAAAGGCGGCGUCCUCCCCCCUUUCACGCUACCACCAAUCCUCGACGCAUCAGAUGCUCUAGCUUCAUGCUGCCAGACCUUAGUGAAGCCCAAGCACUAGGCAACAUCAUGGGGAGAGAAAGAGAGAGAGAGAGAGAUGAUCAGUAAAAACCUUAGCACCAGACUUCCUUAGCGUAUGGAAAUUCGUUUCUGGACUUGUCAAGAGUGUGUAGUUUUGCUUCCUUGCCAGUCUUUUUCUUGAUGCGUUCUGCAGCAUGUGCUCCUUUGACAUGGCAGAUAAAAAUCCUGAAAAACCUUCGCAUUUUGUUCUCCUGUUAACAUCUGAGACAUGGUUUUGUGACAAGUACAGUAAGAAUGAAGUGAUUGCAGUUCUUCAGAUUCUGAAUAUCUCUGAUCCAUACUGUAUAAUGGAGUACUAAGCAUUGCCACUGGUAUCUUCACAUUGAACUGGUAUCCUACUGAUUGCUCACUGGCCUACAAUCGAAGCUGCCUGUGGUCGACGGGGUCGGUUUGCAGAGGCCAGUGGUGCACCUAAUGAAUAAUUCAGGCUGCAGCUGCCGGCGUCCACUUCACCACUCUGACCUCGCCGGACGCGUCUCCGGUGAAGACCAUGCCGGGGGUCCUGAGCGACAUUGCCGUGACCUCGCCGUUGCAGUGAAUCUGGCCUCUGGGUUUGAACGACGGGAGGUCGUAGACACGAACGAUGCCGUCGCCGCGCGAGACCAGCAGGACGGGCUUCUUGUCGGCGUCGUGCGUCCCGUCCAUGGCGACCACCCGCUCGCCCUCUUCCCUGUGGGUGUAGUGCACCUCCAGCUCCGGCUCGACGUCGUCACGGUCCGGCUUGGACCUCCAGGCCUUGACGGUGCCGUCGACGGACGAGGAGAGCAGGAACCGGUCCCAGCACAGCAGCGCGGUGACCAUGGACGCGUGGCCGGCGAAUCUGCAGACGCACCGGCGCGUCUCGAGGUCCCAGACCCUGAUGCCGCCGUCCGACGCACCAGAGUAGAGCGCGCCCUUCCCCUGGGCCAGCGACGCGACGGCGUGCCCGCCGUGGCCCGCGAGCGCGGCGACCUCGUCGAAGCGCUGGUGGUCUCGGUCCAGCCUCCACAUGUAGAUGGCGCCGUCCUCCGCGCCGGCGAAGAGGCGCUCGUCGUCCUCUGCCAGGAGUGCGGUCACCUGCGCGCCGUCGGCGGGCAGCCGCAGCCGCAGCUCAUUGCCGCUCCCCGCGUGGAGCGCCCUGACGGCGCCGCGGACGCCGACGAGCACCCACGGGCCCAUGGCGAUCAGGCGGCCCACCUCCCCUUCCUGCACCGGCGCGACGCGGACGCACUGCCCGGUAGCGCAGUCCCAGGCGCGCACCGUGCCGUCCAGGCUGCCGGAGAAGAGCUUGCCGGACCCUUCGGGCACGGCGACGCCGGUGACCGCCUUGGAGUGGCCCUCGAGCCGGGCGACGCCGCGGAUGCCGUCGCCGACGCACCAUGCGCCGCCGACCGGUGGUUCCUGGACGCGAUCAGAAGCCGCCGGAGGGACCGCGGCCUCGCGGGCAUUGGUUGCGGGGCUGGGUUUGGUCGGCGGCGGCGGCGACACCGGAGGAACCGCGGCCUCUCCUUCAUCGGUUGUGGCGCUGGGCUUGGCGAUUUUGGAGGAAGUGUUGACCCAGGUGUUGCUGCGCUUCUUGGCGACGACGACGACGGCCGGCGGCGCCUCCGCCGGAUCGGCGUGGAGGAACCGGCAGGGGUUCCGGCCGCAGUGGCCGGACUUCCAGUAGCGGCAGACGGGCGGCGGCGCGGUGCCGGAACACGCGGUGUCGCCGCGGCGCAGCUGAUGCGAGGCGGGCGGGAGGAGGGGUUGGCGGCGCUGCACGGCCGCCAUGGAGGGGAGGCGGCGAUCGGUCGAAUGGGAGUGGGGGAAUUCCGCGUUCGCUGGUGGGUUCGCGUUCAGCUAUAUGUAGAUCGGCAGCCCGGCCCCGGUUCGUGCCAGUAGUGCUACUUACCGACCCCAGCAUGCAAAGCGCACACGGCGGCGCGUUUUCGUGAUUUUGUAAUAAAAAUCCCUACGCCGUGAAAUUAAAAAAAAUACAAUUAAUGUACAUUAGGUUUCUUUGGUAUUCAAUUUUGAGAAAGAUUUGUAUCACGCCAUAUCAAAAACAUAUGGCAUGGCAGUUUGACAGGAAGGGGUUAUUCUAUGUCCGCUCAGCAUAUAGGAUUCAUGUCGACCUUCUUCGGCGCCAAUGCCAGCGGCAAACUGGUGAAUGCUCGUCAGGGCGGGAGGAGGAAAAGAAAAUGUGGCGGCACCUCUGGCAAGUGAAUUGCCCCGGGAAGGUACAUCACUUCAUGUGGAGAUUGGCACACAAUAGUCAUCCUUUGCUGCGAAACGUGGAGCACAUUGGAGUUGAACUGGACACAAGUUGCGUGGUGUGCCAUCGUCUGCUGGAGGACGGAGGGCACUUGUUUCUGCGCUGCAAAGAGGUAAAGAAAAUGUGGAGUGCUUGUGGUCUGGAGGGUGUUCGUCAAAGCCUGCUUGAAUGCCAAACAUCUCGCCGGCUGCUGGAGGAACUCUUUCGUAUACCCGAGGAUGUAAAACUAAGAGCAAUUUGCCUCAUGUGGUUGUGGUGGACAGAGAGGAACAAAGCGAAUCAUAACCAAAACAGAGCAUCAGCGGAGGAGUUUCAGUCUUCAGUUACCAGACAUGUCACUAAAUGGCGGGAAUACAAUGCAAAACAUGUACAACCAAGAGUGCAGAGGAUUCAGAAAUGGGUCAAGCCAGCUCUGGAUGUGGUUAAAAUCAACAUUGAUGCAGCUUUUAGGGGCCUGUCAUAACCUGAUGGCUGGGGGUGCAUUGCUCGGGACCAUGCUGGAGACGUCCUCUUCGCGGCCGCCGGCGUGUUGGAAAACAUGUCCGAUGCUCUUCAUGCUGAAGCUUCGGCCCUGCUGCAUGCAGUCCGGUUUGCUGAAGACCAUAGCAUGGGUCGUGUUGUUUUUGAGACUGAUUGCUUGGCUCUUGUGCAGACCACUAAUCCUGGAACUCUUUCGAUCCCCACUGGGUGCCAUCUUUCGCGAGCUCAAAUACCUGCUCCAGUUCGGUUUUAUUAAGUGGAAUGUCUACCACUGUCCACGCGCUUGUAAUGCCCCAGCCCAUGAACUGGCUGCUUUAGGCUGUAGUGGUGUCUAUGGGAACCAAUUUGUUUGGCUUUCAAAUCUCCCUGAUAUUGUAACUCGUGUGGUGACCACCGAUCUGGUUGGUCCUUGGUAAUUGGAAUGCACGGUGUUCCAGUAAAAAAAAACAUAAUCAUAUCUUUGUACUUUGUAGAAGACAAAAUCACAGUUCCAUCCUCUUAAACCAGUGUCUCAAAAAUAUUUUCUCUUAUACCAUGGUAAAAGCGUAACUCCGCCUAUGUCUUCUAGGCAUAGCCGGUCCCAAGCCCGGGUAAAGGAGGAGGGUUGUGAUAGGCUUGGCGAGCCAACGUAAAAACUAGCCAGUCCCAUAGGUAUGAAACCCAUUUGAGCGAGAAUAGUACUAGGAUGGGUGACCUCCUAGGAAGUCCUCGUGAAAGGGUUUCAUAUCUAAGGGUUGUGAUAGGCUUGGCGAGCCAACGUAAAAACUAGCCAAUCUUUUGGGUAUGAAACCCAUUUGGGCGAGAGUAGUACUAGGAUGGGUGACCUCCUGGGAAGUCCUCGUGAAAGGGUUUCAUAUCUAGCCUACCCCAACUUGUUUGGGAUAAAAGGCUUCGUAAGUAAGUACCAUGGUAAAAGCGUAGCAACAGACUCCACGCCUGGUGAACGCGAGGGUGUGUUUGGUAGCCUUCUCACCCUUGUUCUCCACCGAGACACGCUGGCUCUAGACAUGCCCGAGUACAUACCUUACAGUAUUUAUGUAGUAGCAUCCAUCUAAUGAGACGACAUGCUAACCUGAGAUUUUUCUGUUUGAUAGCAUGUACUAUAUGAGUUCAGUGUGGUUACCUCAUUCCUGAUAUUGCCAGAAUGCCACCACAAUCAUCUGCUCCCUCUGUACACUAAUAAAAGACGUUUUGAAUCAUUACUUUAGUGAUCUAAAAUGUCGUAUAUUAAUUUACAGAUGGAGUAACAAUGAAAAAAAAAGGAUUGUAUACACAGUUCUAGCAAGAUUUCAACAUAAGUAAAUAUUUGCACAAAGUUUUGACAAUAGCUAGACAUGGAAAACAUUGAACCAAGUAUCAAAGAACAAGGCAAAAACAUUACUGCUCUUAACAAUGUAGAAUUUGCAUAGAUCAAUGACACAAACGGAUGAGCUCUACUCGCUGCCAUUUAGAAUUGCAACGAUCUACAAUAUAAACUGAGUAAGAAUUGUAAAAAAAAAAAAAUUUGUUGUUGCAGAAAUUCAUUGUUUUGCCACCAAACACACAAGAAUGCAAGCUAUUGAACAUUCAAGCCUCCUUCAAAAUUCCCAUAGACUCCACCAAACACGCCCCAAGUAACUUAAGCAAUUCAGUCUCAGGUUGUCAUGGACGAAAUAUUUCCUUCUUCAAAGUUCUCGCAAGGGUAAGAGCAAUCAUCAUGCUGGAAAAGCAGGGCAUAGAGUUCAACUAAUUGAGCCUUUGAUAUAACUCGAAAAAUACAGAUACAAAGGGCAAAUGGAGAAGCGCCAUGUCCUCCUCUCUGCACAUAAACUCCAUAGUUCUCAUGAUAACAGAAACGCAGUUCUCAUAGUAGGCAAGCUGUGUAUGGAGAUACUAAUAGUCUAAUACUACCACUCAUUUUACCACCCACUCAUCAUUUGAACGAUUUCAACCAAGGGUUCCCUCCGACAGGUCCAU